GAUAGAUAGGAAGAUAUAUGGAAAUACUACUACUAUAUCUAUUAUGCCAUCAAAUGCAAAGUAUGCAUGGAACAUCAUCUAGCAACAAUCUACUAUCAUGCUAAUAUGCCUCAACAGUGAAAUAAAUACAACAACAACAUAGUUAUGCAAUGCACUAUGUCUAAUCAAGGUAUGAAUGCAAUACUCUUAUGCUAUUCAUGUUAUUACCCAAUCCGCUAGGCUAACUUGCCUAAGAUCUCAAAUCUAGUAGGUGAAGAGCUACCUCACUCUUGUCUCACUCGACUCAUAUCUCAAAGGUCUGACCCAAUCUCGUGAGUCCCAGGCAAAGAGCUACCCCGCCCCUCGCCCGACUCACAUCUCAAGGUCCUAGACAAAGGCUACCCCGCACUUUGCCCGACUCACAUCUCGACCUACUAAGUACAGGGCUACUCCACUCAAAUCUCAUAGGUGAACAACAGCAACAACUAUGAAAGCAAGCUAUCAUGAACAACAAUAAUGAGUAUGACUCAAUAGGUACUCAAAUCUCAUAGGUGAAGGAAUAGUAUAUCAUGAAGGCAUGAGCAAUAAGUAAGCUACUAUGAACACUAGUAAGCUACUAUGAACAACAACAACAACUAUGGAAGCAAGCUAUCAUGAACAACAAUAAUGAGUAUGACUCAAUAGGUAACCAAAUCUCGUGGUGAACACAAGGUUCACAAGCAAGGCUCACAUAUCAAUCUCCUAGAGAUGCCUAGCUGGUCGAUCCCCGAGUACGCCUGCGGAUAACAAGCGGCUAUCCGAGCAGCAAGCAGGGCUGCCUCUCUAGUGACCAAACUCCGGAGCGCACAACCUGAGGGGAGCGACCCCACCAAGCGCAGACAGGCAAUGUGAGCGUGAUCAUCUCACGAGCAACAGCAACCUACCCUCUAAGGGUAAUCUCAUCAUGGAAUCAAGGUGUUCUUGUACCCAAUCUCAUAGUGUUUCAACUACACUAAGGUUCUCAUGUCAAGGUUAUCAACAAUCAUAUGCCACUCAUCAUAGUUUUCUAAACUAGAUGCCACUCGACAUUUAGACUCAUUUCAACACUAGUUACAUCAUACUAGUUCUUUAGCAACAUAAGCAUUAAUCACCUCACAUAGGGUCUAGGUCUUUAUCAUAAAGUUUUCAUCAUAUAAUCAUCAUGCAUACUAGAUCAUGGAUCAAUCAUCAAGAUGUAUAGCUACUAGCAUGCAAAUAUGAGCAAUGACCACAAUCAUUUAGCAUCUAAAUGCAAUAAAUACGAUAUGCAACUUGAUCGAUUAAUGUACUCAACUAAGGUUUAAUCUACAUUAAUCAUGCCCUUAUAGGGUUUCACCACACUAAGUCCCAAUCUCAUGCAUACUAGGUACAAGUAUUAAUCAAGUAACACUACAUCUCUCAUAGAUGCCAUGACAUUAACAAUUGCCAACUAGUACCUAUAAUGCAAUAUCCCAAUAUGCAACUUGAUCAAUGUUAACUAGAGUUUUCUAGUACAACAACAAAAUCCAUUACUAGUUCAAGUCAUAUGUGUUUUUAGCACAAUAAGUUCAAUUGCCAUUGUAAACUAAUGUCUUUAAACACAUACACUAUGUCUAUUCUCUUCAUUUAGCAUCAUAGUUUACCAAUUGUCAUUUAUAAUCCUUAUGUCCAUUACAUCAUAAUAUCCAUAUCAUAGUACUAUAUUGAUCAUAAAAUAUCAUAUAAGGAUUAGGAAUGCAUGUAUUGUCAUUCUAUAAUGCAUAGCAACAUACAAUAUGCUACAUGUGAACGGAUAAGCACUAAGACAUAGAAGAAGCCGAUGACUUCGGGAUGGCACUCCCCACCUUUUACAGCGUUCGAUUGCUUGUCGUCACGUGCAAUCGGCCUCCCGCGGCGCACGCCGUCGGGUCUCGACCCAAUCCGCGCGCGACCACCAAACGACUCUCCGAUCCGUAAUCCGAAAUAUAAAGGUCUUCGGUUUCUUGUACGAUGCUCAAAUCCGUUUUCGGAGAUUUUACGACGUCCGCCGUGCGCCUCCAGGCGGAAACGAAGCUAACGUCCGUUUCUUUAAUAACUUUGUACCGGCUCGACGAAUCGCCGAACCGUCGCUUCCAACGCGUUCUAGACCUAACAUAUAGGUAAACAGAGGUUAAAAGAGAUCAAACCCACAUACUUUGAAAUUUAGCAAUUUUGAGCCUAGGUUUAUAACUAUGCAAGAAAUCAUUAAAUUGCUCUAUGAUUCAAGCAUACGCAUCUAUUAGGCAUCAAUGGGUUCCAACUAAAAUCAUUUCCAAAGCAUUUAGACCUAUCUUUAGAGAUCUACCAUUAAAGCCCUCAUUUUGAGAGGCUCUAGGUUUCAAUAGGUAAAAAUCCACGAUUAGAACUUAGGAUCUAAGCAUAAAUCAUCAUACUUAGCAUCUAGGAAAGCUACUAAUAUCAUUUCUAGAGCUUAAAACCCAAGCAAUAGAGAAAUGCUCAUUAAAGCUCUUAAAGCUUACCUUCAAGCAUGCUCCAAUGAGAGGAAGAAGAUGAAAUUGAUGAAGAUCAACUCCAACUUACUUCUCCACAAUCCAUUCCAUUUGGGAGAGAUUUAGAGAGAGAAAAUGGAGGCUUCUCUUUCUCCCUCUUUCCAUGCGUGUGUUGUGUGGCGUGUGCGUGUGUGGUGUGCGGCCGAAGGAGAUGAAGAAGCAUCAAGUCUCUUAAUAAUACCACCUCAAUAUCAUCUAGGCAACUAAAAAUUGAUAACUUCUCGCCGGAGCUCCCUGAAUGUCGUUUGACGCUCAAACUGACAGUCAUGUUCGGUGUUUACUUAGCAACUUAAACAGCUGACGAUCACUGUUUCAGUUUCGACCUCGUUGUGUCACUGAAAACUGUACGAACUGCAAUCUUUAUCAGAUAGCUUUCGGAUUUUAUUUCUCACUCAACGGUGUCGAAAAUAUGAAACCUUAAAAUCUAGCCUCAUAAAAAUAUUUCUGACUUCUCUCUGCCAAUUUUCAUAAUUUUCUGAGACUGUGCAUUUUCUGCUAUUUAUCUGCCCCUUUCCAACAGAAAAUUCUAAAUCUUCUGUUUUAAUUCCGAUUUCAGCACAGGUCAUUCCCACUUAUAUUUCACUUCUCUAAUUCAAUAAAAAUAGUAAUCUCAAACUAUUUUUAUUUAUUUCUAUUUUUAUAUUUAAAUCCGGUAUAUUACAUUACACCGCAACCUUACCGGAACCAUUCAAAUGGCUCUCCAACCAAAUGGACACCGUAACCUCAUGAUUUUAGAAGUCCGGUACCUUACAGUAGGUCUCGCUCAUUUGGUAAAAUAAUCCACUGCCACUAUCAGAAAUUUGUGUCCAGCCGAAGAGUUCGACUAAAUUUCUCCAAUUAAAUCCAUGGCCCACUCUCGAAAAGGCCAAGGUUUGAUAAUUGCAUACAUUUCAGAAGCUGGAACUCUCUGUAUAGAGCUAUGGAAUUGACAGUCCUGGCACCCCCUAGCAUAUUUUAUACAAUCUUCAUACAUAGUUGGCCAAUAAUAACCUUAGUGCCGAAUGGUUCACCUUAAUCUCUUCCUAGCUAAAUGUGCUCCACAUAAGCCUUCAUAGACUUCGCCCAUGACUAAUAAGUCUUCCUCAGGUCCUAGGCAUUUCAUCAACACCUCCUCGGUUCUUUUUUUGUAAAGUUGUCCACUUAAUAGACAAUAGCCGAGUUGUAGUGUACCGAAUCCUCGGUGCGCUAAACCGAACUUCAGUCAAAUUGACCGAACUAUGGUAAUGGACGCUUUAGAGAGGUCCGUUGAAUGUCCGAAUGCUUCGGAAUACUUUAUAAGGGUGCAAGGGACCUUGGAGAGCAAGAUGGAGAAUUUCCAAAAUUUUUGUAUUGGAAUUGCUCUUGGGGUCCGAACCCUGCUUGUAGGGUCUAGAUCCCGUACACGUGAAAACGUGGGUUUUGUCAAACCUUGUUGUGUGAGGGGCUAGGGUGAAAAUGUGCAAGUGGGAAGCCUUAUAUGAAGGUAUCAUGUUGUUUUUCCCUUAUUUCCCCUCACACCCUCACAUAAGAGAGAGUUUCUCUCUCUCUCUCUCUCUCUCUCUCUCUCUCUCUAAACCCCCCUCUCUCUCUAGGGUUUGCUCCAAAAGGUGGAGUAUAGUGGAGAGGAGUUUGCUUGGAGGUGAAGCUACCUCCUUCUACACCCUUGGCCAUGAAGAGAGCUUGAGUUUGAGGUAAGCCUUGUGAUAUUUCAAGGUUUAUGGUUAGAGUUUUGUAUAAAUCCCUUAGAAAUGAGUUUUACUGGAACCCUAGAUGAUUCUAAUCUAUGUUAUUGCAUAAAUUAUCAUGGGAUUUGGAUUUUAUGCGGGUUUUUAGGGUUCCAAAAGAGGGUUUUGUGGUUAGUGGGUUUUGAUCUCAAUUGAUCCUAUGUUUCCGCAAUUGAAGGUAAAACUGACGGAGGAUCACUUGGAUUGAGUUUACGUUGAGCCGGCGGUGGUCAAUUGGAAGAAAUUGUCAUUUUUGCUUCGUUUGCCGCAAUCGGAGAAAUAGAUGACCAUAAAUCGCGUUGCUUGGCUUCCCGCUUCGUGACGACGACACGAGGUGGGGGGUGCUAUCCGAAUUAGCCGAAUUUCAUUCUAUGUCUAAGUUUUAGUUAUAUUGAUCAUAUAUCGUCAUGCAUUAAGUUAUGUGGGAAGCCUAUGAGUUCUUGGUAAAUUUAUGCUUAGAGUGAGGGAUGAUGACCAUGUUGCAUGAUACUUGUAGGUGCAUUAUUUGCAUGAUGUUGAGAUAGAUGUAUAUAUGUGUAUGCAUGAGAUGCUAGAGGACAUAUGCAUGUUGACAUAUUGUGAGAAUAUGUUAGAUUCAUGUGAACCAGAUAUGUGGACUUAUAGUACUUGGACAUAUGUAUGUGGACAUAUUCUGAGAAUAUGCUAGAUAUGUGCAUGAGAUGUUAGAGGGCAUGUGUAUGUGGACAUAUUAUGAUAAUUGGAAAUUAUUGCAUAUGUAGCAUAUUCUCACUUAUGAGAAUUGUGAACUUAUGGCAUUAUGAGAACUAGUGAAGCAUCCCGCGCUUCGCAGCGGGUAGAUAUCACAAAAUAAUAAAAUUUUAUAUUUCAAUAUAAAAUUGUAAUAUUUAUUAUAAUAUAAAUUUAAUAUUUUCAGACAAAUAAUAAAUAGAAAUAAAAUUAAAUAUGUGAAAAAAUAUAAUCAUAUUUGGUUGGACGUAAAACCGAACAAAAUAAUUAUUUUUAGAAAAAAUAUUUAAAUUGAAAUUAAAAUUUUGAAGUGUUACAUAAUUGUCAAAUAGAAAAAUAAUCGAACAAAAAAAAAUAGUUCCCAAAUAAAAAAUUCUCGAAUCAUAAAAUUUUUAGAGUAAAAAUUUUAUUUUUUUUAGGAUGAAAUAGCUCUCAAAUACUUUAUUGAAAAAAUUGAGAAAAAAGGUAAAAAUAUUAUUAUUAUUAUUAUUUCACAUUAAAGUAUAAUGCAUUUCUAACUUCAGAAACUGUAAGUCAACUUCAAAGUGGAUCUGUUGUGCUAAGAGUGCGUUAUGAACCGUGGCCGCCUGCCUGCUUUGGUUGGUGGGGGCAGCACCUCCGUUGUGGGUAAACGGGAAACCCGACUCUACGAACCCGAGGAAAGGCUGCACAGCUUCCGUAGGGGUGUUAAGACCGGAGCUAAGCUGAUAAUAUAUUUUACACUUAAUAUAUUAUUAUGACUAAAAUUAGAAUUAGAAAUAUUUGUUUACUCUACUCUUCUCUUUCUUCAAAGGAGGAGGAUAAUUAAUAAGAAGAGAUUGAGCCUAAUUAAUCUUGAACUCAAACGCCGCGCAUGUUCGCCGCUGACGCCACCCCCAAAGUAAAGAUCCUUUUUUAACAUUGGAAUCACAAUUGGGAAAAAAAAGAAAAAGAAAACAAAAAAUCAACCAAACAACACACUUUAGCAGAGUUAUUCAAUAAAAAUAUUUAAUCUCAUAAAACAUAAAAUAACAAAUAUUUAAAGAAGGGAAAGAAAGAAAAAGAAAAAGAAAACAAAAAAUCAACCAAACAACACACUUUAGAAGAGUUAUUCAAUAAAAAUAUUUAAUCUCAUAAAACAUAAUAUAACAAAUACUACUUCAUCAUCAGUGCCAAAAAUUAAAUGCAAGUCCAAAGGAUUAGCAAGUAUUAUUUCUUAUAAACCUCAUCAACACAAUAGUUCAGAUAUUUUUACAGAGCUUCAGAACAAAAGUAACCUAAAUCUAACAAAUAUUUUACCUUUUGUUCCCCUAAAUGGAGCUCAUAGAAGCUAAUACAACUAAAGAUUCCUUUUUUUACAUUGAAAUCACAAUUGGGGGGAAAAAAAAAAGAAAAAUCAACCGAACAAUACACUUAAGCAGAGUUAUUCAACAAAAAUAUUUAAAGGGCACUUCACAAAUCAUCAAAAAAUUUUAAAAAAAAUUCAAAACCCAUGAAAGAGGAGAUAAAACACAACAGAUCUACAGCAUAAAGUUGAGAUCUUUAGCUAGCAACAUCAAAAAGAUCAGAUGUAAGGGAAGUGAAUUCUCGAAACUCGAGGAUUAGACUUCGUCAAGAAUCGACUGAUUGUCGAGCGUGCGAGCUUCGGAGAGUCCGAAGAUGGUCAUAAUGCAUAAAGUGCAUUGAGGGAAUGUCCGCGAGAGUACCAGUGCAAAAGCAGCACUGGAGCAGAAAUGCUCUCGGGGACCGGUCCCUGGCAGGGAGGGACCGGUUCCAUCGGGCUGGGCUGCGGGGGUCUCUGAUGAGACCGGUCCCUGGCAGGCAGGGACCGGUUCCCGAACGUUGGCCCAGCGAGAGAAGCCGAAAUUUGGCUAAGUCCCGAAAGUGUUGCUCUCGGGAACCGGUCUCUCGGACAAGGACCGGUCUCCCGGGGACCGGUCUCUCAGGCAAGGACCGGUUCCCGAACGCGAAAUGUAAUAUACCGAAAAUUCGGAAAAUAAAUGUCGAACUUUAGUCAAAUUGACCAAAGUGCGAGGAUGGUACACUUCGGAAAGUCCGAAGGUAUUAAAAUGAGUAAAAGUGAGUUAUGGGAGGUUUUCGAGAGCUAAAGAAUCAAAUUCUGCAAAACUGCAGAUUUUGAGCUCUCGGGGACCGGUCCCUGGUGGGAGAGACCGGUCCCCGAACGCGUAUGAUGUGAGACAGCCGAAAAAUCGGCUAAGUCCUGAGGAGUUAGCUCUCCGGAACCGGUCUCUGUCUGAGAGACCGGUCCCCCGGAGACCGGUCCCACAAGGAGAGACCGGUUGCACUGCGCGCAGUAGCUCUGGCUGCGCUGGGACGACGUUCGGGAACCGGUCCCUGAAGGAGAGACCGGUCCCUGCCUGCGCGAUCCGCCCAGUUCGGGCAGUGUAUUAAAGUGAAAGUUGAGGGGUUUAGCUGCAAUUUUGCAACCCAAUAGGCUAUGUAUUAGGGUAAAUGAGAGAUUUCUCUCAUUUCUACCCUCUCAUUCCCUCUCAUCCCUCUUUCUCUCUCUAGAAGACAAAGAAGGAGAAGAAGAAGACAAGGAAAGGAGGGAAAAGAAGGAAAAGAAAAAGGAGAAGAAGAAGAGGAAGUGAAGAAAACCUCUCCUCUCCUUCUCUAGCUUGGAAAAGGAGCAAGUUUAAAGGUAAGCCUUGCCCCUUCUCAUGCUAAAUUCCAAACUAGGGUUUGGAUUAACCUAGAAAUGGUUUUAAGGGAGUAUUUGAAGGGUUUUGAAGCUUUCUUUUGCUUCUUAAGAGAUCAAAACCUAGAUUUGCUAUAGAGGUAAGCUUGGACCACCUCUAAUGGUGAAAUCUAAUCUAGGGUUUUGGAAAGCCUAAAAAUGGUUCUAAUGGACUAAUUAGAGUAUAAUGAAGCUACUUUUGCUUCUCUUUGAGAUCAAACCCUAGGUUUGACAUUGUGUAUUGGAGCUAGGGACACAAUUGGGCUUUUGCUCAUGAGGGUUUAUAAGUGCAAUUGACCUUUAGAACUAAUUGGGGGUAUUCCGACGCGUUGGUGCGCUGCAUUAACGUUACGAAAAACCGGAUGAAAGUUAUGGGCAAAAUGGCUAAGUUGCUUCGUUUUGCCGCAGGUAAAGAAGAAGGAUCUAAAAAUCCCGAGAAAAAUGUCGGAGCACUAAAGAGACCUACGAAGUGGUGUGGCUUUUCAAAACAUUGAAAUUUCUCUAUGCCUAAUGUGCAUCUCUUUGAGCAUAUGUUCUAUAUAUUGUUAUUGCAUUUUAGGUAAAGUAAUGAUAAUGUAUGAUUGCAUGAUUGUGAGCACAAAUGCAUAAUGAGAUGGUUGAGAACCUAAUAAUGUAGAACCCUAGAUGUGUGAGAUAAAAUGUGAGUACACAAAGUGAGCAAUAAGAACAGAGUGGCACAUGACAUAGAUCGAGUGCAUUUGAAAAUGUAAAGUAAGAGACACUAAGAUAGUGUGAGUAAAGACGCAAUUAAUGUAAAGAAUGCUGAAAUGAUAAUGCUUAAAGUUAACGCAACUGGGGAAGUAAAGAAGUGAAAAUGCUAGAGUACCAAAAGUAAAGAAUGUAAAGAUAUAAUACUAGAGUUAGCAAAAGUAAAGAAAUGUAAAGAAUGAUUGCAUGAGUUUGCAACAUGAAGUGAUAUAAUGAACACUAGAGCUGUGUAAAGUCAAUGAUUGAACUUAUAGUAUUUGAUUAAGGAUAUGAUCAUGCUUGCUAUGAGUUCCGUGCUCGAGGCGUGUCCCCUCGAGCGAUGCGCUCGAGUUAUGAGCUCGGGUGGAGUAAACCGACGGCGGUCCUAGCUGGUGAGAUUCUGCGAUGAGGACUUAAUAGUGUAAGCAAGUUAAUGUGGCGAAGCCCCCGGUUAGCUUAAUGAUUAAAGAACAAAGAACAAAGAACAAAGAGCAAAGAAUAAAGCACAAAGCACAAAGUAAGUCAACAGAAUUUAAAGAAUUUGCAUAAUCUGCAUUUAUUUAAUGUGAGCAUACUUCUUCUUAUUGUUCAGGCAUAUUAGCAUCAUGUAUAUAGAUUGGUUAUAUACAGCUUAUUCUUUUACUAUGCCUGAGUUAGACCUAGUGGGAAAGUCGGUGAUGUUGAGGCCGAACCCACUGGGAACUUUGUUGUAGUUCUCACCCCACUAUUUCCACAGAGCCGGGACCGAGCGAGCCGGCGAGCGACCGAGGUAAAGGUAUCGCGCCUUAGUAAGAGGCCACCAAAGUUGGGUACAUUUUGUUAGCAAACACGCUUUUGUCAUCUUUUGUAUUUGAUGAUUAGCAAUGUGAAGAAAAGAAUGUAAAGCUUAUUUUGAGGUAAACGUGAUGUAAGAAAGAAAUGAUGGAAUUAUGUAAUGAAAUGUAAAGAAUCCUAAAUGUAACAGAUGGAUGCAAUGUAUAUGAUCUAAUAUGAAUCAUAGUACUUGUGUAGAAGUUUAGUUUUCCUAUCUUUCACUAAUGGCUACGGCUUACCCUCGUGUAAGCCGUUUGUGUAUGUUUCCGCUAGUGCAAUUCUUGUUUGAAUUUUGCACAUGUGAUGAGCCUUGGGCGGACAGGGGAAACUCUGUCCGUUCGGCGUCUGUUUGACGUGCUCGGGUCGGGCCAAAUUGGCAUCGGUCUCGGGGCGUGACACGAAAUCCCCUCUGCCUGUUGUGUAGCUUUCGGGGACCGGUCUCCCCGAGCAGGGACCGGUCCCUCACUGCGAAAAUAGCCCAGGGAGGGCUGUUUCAAGAAGUGAAAAGUUGAGGGGUUUAUUUGCAAAGUGGCUUAUAAGAGAGGCUAUGGGACCCCUCUCUCUCUCAGUUGCCCUUUUCCUCUCUCACACUCUUUCCCUCUCUCUCUCUAGAAAGGAAAAGAAGGAGAAGGAGAAGAAGAAGAAGGAGAGGAAGGAAAAGAAGGAGAAAGAGAAGGAGAAGACUAAGAAGAAGAAGAAGAUCGUCUUCUUCUCUCCCUCUUCAAGCUUGGAGCUUGGUAUUGAGGUAAACCUCAAACCCUUUAAUGGCGGAUUUUGGAAGCUAGGGUUUUAUAGCUUGGAAUUGGUUCAAGUGGAACCUAUUGAAGCUAGGGAGAAGGUUCGAGCUCGAAAUCGAAGCUCGCACCGCGGAUUUCUCCAAUGUCGAGAUCUAGGGCUUCGAUUUGGGAUUUUGGCAAAUCUAGGGUUUUGAUCUAAUUUGAAUGGUCGCAAACCUAAUUGCUAGGUCCCUGAACGUGUAGGCGGAGACAGUUCGUCGAUCCGUCGAGUAGGUGCGAAGUUAUCGCCAAGAAGACCUUCGGAGCUUCGUUCUCGCCUAGAAGGCCAACGAGGCGUCGAGACAUCGGCGAAUCGCAAUCGAAGAGUCACGGCAUCACCACGAGGUGGGGGAGUGCCAUCCCGAAGCAGUCGGGCUGCUCUUUAUGUCUGAGUAUCAUUAUUGAUCAUUUACAUAUUGCGAUAUAGCAUUAUAGGGUGUUAAAUGUGAUUGUGCAUAUCCUUGCAUGCUAGUGAUGUUUUAGGUUGUGGAUACCAUGAAUGAAAACCUAGUAUGCAUGAGUUAAAUAUUAUGAGAUAGUUCACCCUAUAUAUGAUGAAUAUGUUUAUGUGAAUAUGAACCUAGUGUAUUAGAAACUAGUGUAUCAAGAACUUGUCAAGAGAACGAGUGGCAUCUAGUUAAUCUUAAACAUUGAACGAGUGGCAUUAAGUAGUGCAAGAGCGGCAUGAGGACAUUAGUAUAGUGAGAUACUAUGUUGCUAUCACCCCUGGUUGGUUAGGGUGUUCCCAGUUCAUGAGAUUGGAUCGAGCUCACUUAGCCUGUCUGCACCUGUGGAAGUAGCUCCUCACAGGUAGUGCACUCCGGAGUUUGGCACGCGAGGGGGCCAGUGUAGUGCCCUUGGACCAGUGUAGUGUCUGCAGGCGGUCUCGGGGUAGGUGAAUAGCUAGCCACCUCUCCUAUGAGACUUAGAGACGUGAGACUGUGAGCGGGCCUUGCGUUCGCCGAGAGAUUGCGUUCGCCGAGAGAUUGGGUAAUCAGAUGAGUGACCUUGUUGUUGAACAUGGUAGUGAGACAGCCAGCAUUCUUACCAUGAGUUGUGCAUGCAUUUCAUUAGAUUGAGGCAUUGAUAGAUCAUAGUUGUUUAUUACUGUUACUGCUUUCAGUUUAUGUAUCUAUCUAUCUGCAUAUCUAUCUGUGCCUGCUUAAGACCUAGUGGGGAGAUCGGCGGAGUCGGCGGCCGAACCCACUGGGAACUAUUCGUAGUUCUCACUCCACCACAUUGCAGGUCCGAGCUCGAGCGUCCCCGGUGAGGAUCGCGGCAAGGGCGUAGCGCCCUAGUGACAUUGGUAGAGGCUACUUCCUUUAUGCAUUAGUUACACCCUGUACCUAUUUUGAGAGUAGACGAUGUAUAGGGUGAGAUUUUGAGUGGAUUGUAUCUACAUUUUGUAUAAAUGUAAAGAAUGGAUAAUUGUAUAAGUUAAUGAGUUAAUAGUUAAGUACAUCUCUCUUUUAUCACUUGUAUGCCUUACAUGUGUUGCUUGCUCUUGUUUGGUAAGCACUGGUUGUGCUCUCGUAAUUGUUGUGGUUGGUUGAUUGUGUAUGUAUCCAAGUUGUUCCUGGGAACUUGUUGUACACAAUCUAGUGGUUGAGCCUUGGGCGGACAGAGGAGGUGCUGUCCGUUCGGCGGUCCGCUCGCCGCGCCCGAAUCGUGCCAAAUAGGUAGCGGACUCGGGGCGGGGCGUGACAUCAGAACUUCCACACAGAUCAAGAGAUUUGUAAUGGCAAAACCCUAAAAUUUGCCGUAAAAUUGCAUGAUUCAAAAUUGGUAACCUGGAAAAGGGGAAAAAUACUCUAAAAAAAGGAGCUUUUUUUUUUGCAGAAACAAAAUUUAAUCUGUAGAUAAGGAGCAAUUAAAGGGUGAGAGAGAGAAGGAGAGGGAAAAAAUAUAUACCUAAAAUGAAAAUUUUAUCUAAGAAGCUCAAAAUACCUACCCUAAAAUGGAGAGAGAGAGAGAGAUAUAUAUAAAAGAGGGUCGAAAUUAACCGCCACCGCCGGCACCGCCCAAGCCACCAUCACCAUUGCACGCAAGAAGUUAGAAAAAAAAGGGCAAAAGUGAGAAGAAGAAGAAGAAGAAGAAGAAGAAGAAGAGGAAGUUACAGAGAAUAAGAAAAAGAGAAGGAGAAGACUAAAAAAAGAAGAAGAAAAAGAAGAAAUUCCUCUACUCUUCACUGUCCUCCCUCUCUCCCUCUAUCUCUCUCAAGGGAACUAUUUCUGGAUGUGAUUCUCCACCAUCUCUCCACCAUAACCUUGAAAUAAUCUGAUUAGAAAGAGGAAGAACCUAUUAAACGAUAGAGAAUUAUUUUUUUUUUAAAAAAUGGUUCAUCGUUGCUGACUACUGUAAUUAAUCCUAAUUAUUUAAUCAAUAGCCAGCUAACACCACAUAUAUAUUAAUAAUAAUAAUAAUAAUAAUAGUAAUAGUUAAUUAUUUAAUUUAAAAAAAAGAACGGGGUUAAAAGAAAUUAGUGGGCUGGGUGAACGUACCAGGAAGGAGAGGAAGGAGGAGUAGAGGACGAUGCGGUAUCGGCCAAGCCAGAAGUCGGCGACGACUACGCCAACGGGCGCGAGCGUGGACGCGGCGCCCGACCACGCGUUCUCGUUGGCCGCGCCCGCCGCCGUCGACUCCCGCAGCGGGCGCCCGACCGCGCGUUCUCGCUGGCCGCGCCCGCCGCCGUCGACUCCCGCAGCGGGCGCCCGACCACGCGUUCUCGCUGGCCGCGCCCGCCGCCGUCGACUCCCGCAGCGGACGCCCGACCACGCGUUCUCGUUGGCCCCGCCCACCGCCGUCGACUCUCGCAGCGGGCCCGUCAGGUAGCUUAUCAGGGAGAGAUGGGGGGCUAAGACAGAGAGGAGAGGAGAGAGAGAGAGGAGAGGAGAGAGAGAGAGAGUGAGAGGAGGAGAGAGAGAAAGAUGGUAGGGAAAGGAGGAGAGAGAGAAAGAGGGGGCCAGCUNGAGAGAGAGAGAGAGAGAAAGUGAGAGGAGGAGAGAGAGAAAGAUGGUAGGGAAAGGAGGAGAGAGAGAAAGAGGGGGCCAGCUGUAUGAGAGAAAAGAAAGAGGGGCCCACCUUAAGAGAGGAAGAGAAAGAUAGGAGGGGAGAGAGAGAGAGAGGGGAAGAGAUAGAAAUAGGUUAGGAAGGAAGAGAGAGAAUGCCAGGUGGAGGUGAAGUGAGGAGAGAGAGGCUCGGGUAUGAGGCUGGAGGAAGAGAGAGAAGGGGGUAGGAGAAUAGGGAAGAGAGAGAAAGGGCCAGCCGUAGAGGUGGGGCGAGAGGACUCGUCGCCACGUGGAAUAGAGAAUAGAGAGGCAUGCCACAUAGGAUUUGUAGAAAGUGUCAAAUAGUAUAGUUAAUAGAUUGGGAUGUGGGAUUCCCUGAGGUCCUCGGGCGGGAGGACUUGAGCAUAUGCAUAUGAGGCCGACUUUGAGCAUUACAUGCCUUGUGAUGGUUUGGGAUGUGGGAUUCCCGCGGUCCUCGGGCGGGAGGACUAUGAUCAUACUCGCGUCGUCUGUUGUGGUUUGAGGAGGUCACGCCUCCCAGGCUGUGUGUCACGCCCCGCGACCCGCCAAUUUGGUCGGAUCUGGGCACGUCGAACAGACGCCGGACGGACAGCACCUCCCCUAUCCGCCCAAGGCUAAACAACAACAAUAUCAUGUACAAGAGUUGCCCAAAAAAAAAACUCAUUCAACAUACAUGAUACAUGCAAGUGUAAGAAGCACCACAAGUGCGAUACAAUUAAGAGCAAGAAUCACAAGUAACGUAUAAGUGAAAUAAAGAGAGAUAGUUCUAGCUAUUACAUCACAUUCAACAUUUACAUUUUGAUUGCAUUCUUUUCAUCUACCAAAAUGAAUACAUAUUCUUCUCAUAAUACAAAAUGGCUCUCCAACUAGCACCCUCACCAAUAUACAAUACAUAUCACUCAUGUACACGAGGGUACUCUAAUGCAAAAUGAAAGCCGCUAGCUAAUUAGGGCGCUAUGCCCUUACCGCGAUCAACUGCCGGUACGCUCUCACUAGGCCCUGCAACAAAGUGGGGUGAAAACUAUAUGAAUAUAGUUUCCAGUGGGUUCGGUUGCCGACUCCACCGAUCUUCCCACUAGGUCUAAGAAGGCAUAAGCCGAUAGAUAGAUAGAUAGAUAUGAAAUUGAAAUGCAACAUAAUAAAAUAAUCUGCAACAUUCUACUAUGCCUUCAACAAUCCAAUGUAUGAGCUACUACACAGUAUGCAAUCUACACAUGCGACUAUGCCUCAACAAUCCAAUGUAUGAGCUACUACAUAGUAUGCAAUCUACACAUGCAACUAUGCCUCAACAAUAAAGAAAUGAGCUACUACAUAGCAUGUGUCCUCUACUAACAUGAUACUAUGCCUCAAUAAUCCAAUCUCAUGGCUAACUCGAAGGUUGCUGCCCCGACUCACAUCUCAAAUCUCACUAGUGGGGAGACUCUGUGCUACACCCACCUGAGACCCAUCUGUAGGACAACUAUGUCUGUGUAACAUAUCACAUCCCUCGUAAAUCGUGCCGAGUUCCGUCGAAAUGAGCGGAAUGCGGAGUGGAACAAGUUGAUAUGGGCUAGUGGUGCUUUGGAGCCCUUAUAUUGUAAGGAAGUGAAUUCUCGAAAACUGAGGAUUGUACUUCGCCCAGGAUCGACUAACUGUCGAGAGUGUACCUUUUGUGGGAGUUGGAGAUGUCCAAAACACAAAAAGUGCUUUGGAGUUGAGUCUGCGAGAGCAAAUAGGCAAAAUCUGGACUCAGCAGAUUUUUGCUCUCGGGGACCGGUCCCUGGAGGGAAGGACCGGUCCUCGUAGCUGAUGGUCGCGGGGGAGGUCGAUGCGACCAGUCCCUGGUUGAGGGGACCGGUCCUCGUGCGCGACACCCGCGGGAGAAAGCCAAAAUUUGGCUAAGUCCUGAAGGUUCCCUGUUCGGGAACCGGUCUCUUAGGAGAGACCGGUCUCCCAGGAACCGGUCCCUCAGGUGAGGACCGGUUCCCGAACGCGAAAAGUCCCCAGACUGCAGGGAGAGCUCUCGGAGACCGGUCUCCCCGACCAGGGACAGGUCCCUCUGGGCGAAAACUGCCCAGUGAGGGCUGUGCAAUGGUUGAAAAGUUAAGGGGUCUAAAUGCAAAAUGGCCUUUAUUAGAGUAGGCUGGGCCCUCUAUUUCCCUCACAGCCUCUCAUUCUCUCUCUUUCUCACACUCUCUCUUGCUCCCUCUCUCUCUCUCUAGGAAAGAAAGAACAAAAGAGAAGGAGAAGAAGAAAGAGAAGAAGAAGAAGGAGGAGAAGAAGAAGAAGGAGGAGGAGAACAAGAUAGAGAAGGCUUGGAGCAUCUUCCUCUCUUUCUCUCCUCUCCAUUGGUGUAGCUUAAGAGGUAAGCUACAAACCCUAGCUUGUAGAACUUGGGGUUUUGGGUUUUUAUGCCUUGGAAUGGGUCAAAUGGACCCUAAGCUUGCUUCUAAAUAGAUCAAUCCCAAGAAUAUAGGGAUUUAUUGGAUGGUUUGCUAUAGGUGCAAACCUAGGGCUCCAAAAUGGGGUUUUUGUGAAAGCAUGAGAUUGAUCUCAUUUGAAGCCUUGGAAAUCCUAUUGUUAGGUCACAAAACGUGGGGGCGAAGUCGAUUUCACGAUUCCGCUAGUGGAUUGGGAGCUAUCGGCGAAAUACGGCCGAUUUAGCCUUAUUUUUGGACCAAGAAGGCCGAGCCCUCGUCGUAAGGCUCGCCGAGGAGCGUUUCUAAAGCCUCUACAUCGAUAAAAGGUGGGGGGGUGCCAUCCCGAAGCUUUCGAACUCCUUUCUAUGUCUUAGAUUGCAUUUAAUCUUAUCUCUUUAUGUUGCAUUGUAGGAUUGCAUAGUAGCACCAGUCCUUAUGCUUUCUAAAUGAUAAUCUAGUGUACUUGGAACGCUUGGUAACUUAGAUAGGUGAGGAUUGGGUCGGAACGUGGAUCCUAUGAUGCGAAAGAUAGAGAUGAACCCGAUGGGGGUGUUGAUGACAUAGAAAGUAGUGUUAUUGUUAAAGAACAAACGAGUGGCAUCCAAAUGUUAAUUAAUGACGAGUGGCAUUAAUGUAGUGUAAAUGACACUAGAGGUCGAUGGACCUAGGGAUAGGUGGAUCCCUUAGAAAAUACCUUGUGAACAAUGAAUUUAGAAAAGCUAAAUAGCAUUGCAUGAGUGUCGGGAACAAAUGACCCCGCGAGAAAUGUUGACUCUAGUUGUAGAGCAUCCUCACUUGGAGAGGAUUUGAUUGGGUUGUGGACCCUAGUUAUAGUGCAUCCUCACUUGGAGAGGACUUGAUUGAGUUGUUGACCCUAGAUGUAGGGCAUCCUCACUUGGAGAGGAUAGAUCUAGCUCACAGUCUGCGUUUGGGAUGGUAUAGCCAUCCAAUCCCCACAUGGAGGGGAUUGUCGUCGAGUACUCCGGAGUGUCGCGCGACUAGGACCACUUGGAGGUCCGGACCACAUGGAGGUCCGCAGACGGUCCCGGGCUUGGGUGCACUUGGAGCUCCCUCCCCACAUUGGGAUUGAAAGGUGAGUCAUGGGCGAGCCCAAGGGCCUCGCCACAGAUUGGGUAACUGAAAGGUUAAAGGUUUAACAAUGUCAUUGAACAUUUCCAUUCGAACAUGGAUCGAAUUUGUUAGCAUGGUAGCAAACUUUUAUUAUAUGAUGCAUGCAUUCAUACUCAUGAUUAUGGGUAUAGUAGUAUAGUUUUCCUACUAUCGCAUUUACAUUUUUCAGAUACAUAUCUAUCUAUCUAUCUGUUGUUACUUGUGCCCACUUGGACCUAGUGGGGAGAUCGGCAGAGUCGGCGGCCGAGCCCACUGGGAACUAUGGAAGAUAGUUCUCACCCCACUCUAUUUCCAGUGGUAGGUUCAGGGCUGCAGAGAGAGGACCGCGGCAAGGGCAUCGCACCUGACCAGUGAGACCGUGAUAGUAUAGUAGCUUUACUUUUUGCAUUAGUCACCUAUGUAUUGAGAGGGAGAUUUAUUGUAGGUGAGGAUCUGGAGAGCUAUGUAUUUUGGAGAUGAAAAAUGUACUCAUUUAAAGAACAUGAUGUAAAUAAAAAUGAUGGAACUAAUGUAUUAGUUAGCAAGGUACUCUCUUUAUUUCACAUGCUUUAUCUUGUGGAUUACUUGCUCUUUGUAUUGUUGGCACUGUUUGUGCCCUUGUGAAUGUGUAUGUUUAGAAUUUAAUUUCCUGGGUAAAUUCUUGUACACAUCCUUGUUGUUGAGCCUUGGGCGGACAGGGGAGGUGCUGUCCGUUCGGCGGCCCGCCGCUGCGGCCGAACCGUGCCAAAUUGGUAGUGGUUUCGGGGCGGGGCGUGACAGCCUUUGUGGUAUCAGAGCAAUAAGAGCAAGUAAAGAGAGAGUUUAGGAUGACCUAGGAGACCCUAAGUUGGUAAGCCCUAAGGUUAUAGGUGCGUGAGCGGAACGUGAACCUAUAGUGAUGGCGGAAGUUGAUUCGAUUGGGUCGAAGUUGGUAAUAUGUCUCUAGUUGUGAUUAGAGACGGAUUCAAGUGGUAUGAGUUCUUGUCUUGAGGUGGUUGUGUCGGCGGCCGAUGACAUGAUACCAAGAGUCUAGAAUGAGUACACUUGUGUGCUUCUGCCCGAUUUUGUGGUUGAGUCGUCAUGUGUUGUAAUUGCGACAAGGUAAUUGGUUAAGAUGACUGAUCAAGUAAUUACGUUUCAGGGACUAAUGUCUCCAAGACGCUACACGCGUAGGACUGCCCCAGCACCGACUCCUGAGGUGCCCGAACAGGAGGAAUCGAGCGUGAUCGAUCGGUUGCAAGUGCAGGUGACCGCGCUGACCAGUGUGGUGCAGCGCCAGGAGACCUGUAAGGGAAGUGAAUUCUCAAAAUCCGGGGAUUAGACUUCGUUGGGAAUCGACUGAUUGUCGAGUGUGUAAGCUUCAGAAAGUCCGAAGGUGGUUAUAAUGCAUAAAGUGCAUUGAGGAAAUGUCCGCGAGAGCCCUAGUGCAAAAACAGCAUUGGGGCAGAAAUGCUCUCGGGGACCGGUCCCUGGCAGGGAGGGACCGGUCCCAUCGGGCUGGGCUGCCGGGGUCUCUGAUGAGACCGGUCCCUGGCAGGCAGGGACCGGUUCCCGAACGUUUGCCUAGUGAGAAUUAGCCGAAAUUUGGCUAAGUCCCGAGAACCCAGCUCUCGGGAACCGGUCUCUCGGACAAGGACCGGUCUCCCGAGGACCGGUCUCUCGAGCAGGGACCGGUUCCCGAACGCGAAAACCCCUCUGCCUGAUUAUGCAGCUCUCAGGGACCGUUCUCCCCGAGCUGGGACCGGUCCCUCACUGCGAAAAUAGCCCAGGGAGGGCUGUUUCAAGAGGUGAAAAGUUGAGGGGCUUAUUUGCAAAUUGGCUUAUAUGAGAGGCUAGGGGACCCUCUCUCCCUCUCAGUUGCUCUCUCUCCCUCUCUCACACCUUUUGCUCUCUCUCUCUCUAGAAAGGGAAGAGAAAGAAGAGAGAAAGGAAGGAGAAGGCUAAGAAGAAGAAGAUGAUCAUCUUCUUCUCUCCCUCUUCAAGCUCCAAACCCUUUGAUGGUGGGUUUUGUAAGCUAGGGUUUUAAAGUUUAGAAAUGGUUCGAACGGAACCUAUUGAAGCUAGGGAGAUGGUUCGAGCUCGAAAUCGAAGCUCGCACCGUGGAUUUCUCCAUUGUUGAGACCUAGGGCUCCGAUUUGGGAUUUUGGUAAAUCUAGGGUUUUGAUCUAAUUUGAGUGGUCGCAAACCUAAUUACUAGGUCUCUGAACGCGUCGGCGAAGACGGUUCGUUGAUCCGUCAAGUAGGUGCGGAGUUAUCGCCUAAGGAGACCCUCGGAGCAUCGUUCUCGCUUAGAAGGCCAACGAGGCAUCAAAACGUCGGCGAAUCGCAUUUGAAGACUCACGGCAUCACCACGAGGUGGGGGAGUGCCAUCCCGAAGCAGUCGGGCUACUUUCUAUGUCUGAGUACUAAUGUCGAUCAAUUACAUAUUGUAAUAUAGCAUUAUAGGGUGUUAAAUGUAAUUGUACAUAUCUUUGCAUGCUAGUGAUAGUUUGGGUUGUGGAUACAAUGAAUGAGAACCUAGUAUGCAUGAGUGGAAUACUAUGAGAUAGUUCGCCCUAUAUGUACGUCUAUGUAAAUAAGAACCUAGCGUAUUGGAAACUAGUGUAUCAAGAACUUGUCAAGAGAACGAGUGGCAUCUAGUAAACAGUGAACCCAAAACGAGUGGCACCUAGUUGAUAUUGAACUUGAGAACCUUAGUGUAGUUGGGACACUAGGAGAUUGAGCAGAUGAACACCUGAUUCAAUAGUGACACCAAUGCUAGUUGGUUAGGGUGUUUCCAGUUCAUGAGAUUGGAUCGAGUUCACGUAGCCUGUCUGCAUCUGUGGAGGUAGCUCCUCACAGGUAGUGCACUCCGAAGUUUGGCACGCGAGGGGGCCAGUGUAGUGCCCUUGGACCAGUGUAGUGUCCGCAGGCGGUCUCGGGGAAGGUGAAUAGCUAGCCACCUCCCCUAUGAGGCUUAGAGACGUCAGACUAUGAGCGAACCCUGCGUUCGCCGAGAGAUUGGGUAAUUGGUUGAAUGAUUUAAUUAUUGAGCAUGGUAGUUGAUAGCCAGCCUUCUCACUAUGGGUCUCAUGCAUGCAUCAUACUGGAUUGAGGCAUCGAUAGAUCAUAGUUGCUCAUUACUGUUAAUGCUUUCAGUUUUACAUAUCUAUCUAUCUGCAUAUCUAUCUGUGCCUGCUUAGACCUAGUGGGGAGAUCGGCGGAGUCGGCGGCGGAACCCAUUGGGAACUAUUCGUAGUUCUCACUCCACCAUGUUGCAGGUCCGAGUUCGAGCGCCCCCGGUGAGGACCGCGGCAAGGGCGUAGCGCCCUAGUGAUAUUAGUAGAGGUUUACUUCCCUUUAUGCAUUAGUUGCACCCUGUACUAUUUUGAGAGUAGUUGGAUGUAUAGGGUGAGGUUUUGAGAGGUUUGUGUAUUCUCUGUACAGUUUUGGAAGAAUAUAAAGGAUGAAAUAAUUGUAUAAAGUUAAAUGAAUUAAUAGUUAAGUACAUCUCUCUUUUACCACUUGUAUACGUUACAUGUGUUGCUUGCUCUUGGUUGAAGAGCACUGUUUGUGCUCUCGUGAUUGUUGUGUGAUUGUGUAUGUAUUCAAGUUGUUUCCUGGGAACUUGAUGUACACAAUCUAGUUGUUCCAGCCUUGGGCGGACAGUAGAGGUGCUGUCCGUUCAGCGGUCCGUUCGCCGCGCCCGAACCGUGCCAAAUUAGUAGCGGCCUCGGGCGGGGGCGUGACAAGACCAGAUUCGAGCGGCUCCAGGAUCUAUUGGAGCGGCAGAUCGCGGCGGCAGCUGCGACGGCAAAUGAAGGCGGUGGUCCGCCCGCACCCUCGACUCAUAUACAUAGAGCGGCAGAGGGUGAGGGCAUAGCGGCGGUUCCGGUAACGGCACGCCCACCGCCAGCGAUUGUACCACAGGCGGCAUCGGGAUCGAUGUCAACGUUCACAAGAACCAAAAUCGGAACAAUAUUAGACUACUCAGUUGUGCCCUAAGUUAUACACUUAGGGCACAACUGAGUAGUCUAAUAUUGUUCCGAUUUUGGUUCUUGUGAACGUUAACAUCGAUUCGUAUGAAAUUUACCCUCUCGAGACAAAAUAGAACAAGAUAAUUAGGUUUUACUCUUUGUUCGAUUGAAUAAGAAAAAGUAUUCGUUGCAAAGUUAUACUGUUAGGGCGCAACUAAGUAGUCUAAUGUUGUUCCGGCAUUGGUUAUUGUGAACGUUGACAUCGAUUCAUUCGAAAUUUACACUCUUGGGGCAUAAUAGAACAAUAUAAUUAGGUUUAACUGUUUGUUUGAUUGAAUGAGAAAAAGUACUCGUUGCAAAGUUAUACUGCUAUGGCGCAACUAAGUAGUCUAAUGUUGUUCCGAUUUUGGUUCUUGUGAACGUUGACAUCGAUUCGUUCGAAAUUUACCCUCUCGAGGUAAACUAGAACAAGAUAAUUAGGUUUUACUCUUUGUUCGAUAAAAUGAGAAAAAGUACUCGUUGCAAAGUUAUACUGUUAGGGCGCAACUGAGUAGUCUAAUGUUGUUCUGGUUUUGGUUCUUGUGAACGUCGACGUCGAUUCGUUCCAAAUUUACAUUCUCGGGGCAUAAUAAAAAGAUUUUACUCUAUGUUCGAUAGAAUGAGGAAAAGUACUCGUUGCAAAGUUAUACUGUUAGGGCGCAACUGAGUAGUCUAAUGUUGUUCUGGUUUUGGUUCUUGUGAACGUCGACGUCGAUUCGUUCCAAAUUUACAUUCUCGGGGCAUAAUAAAAAGAUUUUACUCUAUGUUCGAUAGAAUGAGGAAAAGUACUCGUUGCAAAGUUAUACUGUUAGGGCGCAACUGAGUAGUCUAAUGUUGUUCUGGUUUUGGUUCUUGUGAACGUCGACGUCGAUUCGUUCCAAAUUUACAUUCUCGGGGCAUAAUAAAAAGAUUUUACUCUAUGUUCGAUAGAAUGAGGAAAAGUACUCGUUGCAAAGUUAUACUGUUAGGGCGCAACUGAGUAGUCUAAUGUUGUUCUGGUUUUGGUUCUUGUGAACGUCGACGUCGAUUCGUUCCAAAUUUACAUUCUCGGGGCAUAAUAAAAAGAUUUUACUCUAUGUUCGAUAGAAUGAGGAAAAGUACUCGUUGCAAAGUUAUACUGUUAGGGCGCAACUGAGUAGUCUAAUGUUGUUCUGGUUUUGGUUCUUGUGAACGUCGACGUCGAUUCGUUCCAAAUUUACAUUCUCGGGGCAUAAUAAAAAGAUUUUACUCUAUGUUCGAUAGAAUGAGGAAAAGUACUCGUUGCAAAGUUAUACUGUUAGGGCGCAACUGAGUAGUCUAAUGUUGUUCUGGUUUUGGUUCUUGUGAACGUCGACGUCGAUUCGUUCCAAAUUUACAUUCUCGGGGCAUAAUAAAAAGAUUUUACUCUAUGUUCGAUAGAAUGAGGAAAAGUACUCGUUGCAAAGUUAUACUGUUAGGGCGCAACUGAGUAGUCUAAUGUUGUUCUGGUUUUGGUUCUUGUGAACGUCGACGUCGAUUCGUUCCAAAUUUACAUUCUCGGGGCAUAAUAAAAAGAUUUUACUCUAUGUUCGAUAGAAUGAGGAAAAGUACUCGUUGCAAAGUUAUACUGUUAGGGCGCAACUGAGUAGUCUAAUGUUGUUCUGGUUUUGGUUCUUGUGAACGUCGACGUCGAUUCGUUCCAAAUUUACAUUCUCGGGGCAUAAUAAAAAGAUUUUACUCUAUGUUCGAUAGAAUGAGGAAAAGUACUCGUUGCAAAGUUAUACUGUUAGGGCGCAACUGAGUAGUCUAAUGUUGUUCUGGUUUUGGUUCUUGUGAACGUCGACGUCGAUUCGUUCCAAAUUUACAUUCUCGGGGCAUAAUAAAAAGAUUUUACUCUAUGUUCGAUAGAAUGAGGAAAAGUACUCGUUGCAAAGUUAUACUGUUAGGGCGCAACUGAGUAGUCUAAUGUUGUUCUGGUUUUGGUUCUUGUGAACGUCGACGUCGAUUCGUUCCAAAUUUACAUUCUCGGGGCAUAAUAAAAAGAUUUUACUCUAUGUUCGAUAGAANUGCAUGCUUCUUAGUAGUGUACUUACGAGUUGAACACCUAGACUAGGGUAGCAUGAGGAUUGGGUCUUAUGGCAUAGAAUCCUAUAGCGGCAUAAAGAGCCGAACUUGGACAUAGCCUAGUAGAGAGGCAUUGAACUAGUGUAGUAGAGACACUAAACUUGAACGAGUGGCAUGUCAACUAUUAGAAAACUUACUACAAUGAUCGAACGAGUGGCAUCGAGUCUAGUGUAGUAAACUUGACAUGGACCUGGGGAUAGUAGGAGUCCCAACAUUGAUCAUAUAUUGUGACUGUGCAGCAGAUGCACAUUGACCCUAGUAGACAGGGUAUCCUCUUGUGAGGAUUGGAUCAUACUCACUAGUCUGUUUUUGCUUGUCGGUGGUCGCUCCACCGAGGCACGAGUCUCCGGAGUACUUCACUAGGGGCAGACGUAGUUGUCCCGCAGACGGUCUCGGUGUGCGAGUGCAGUUUCUCCUCACCUAUGAGAUUGAGAGUGAGUCGAGGGUUUAACCUUCGGGUUAACCAAGUGAAUUGGGUAAGAAACAUGAAAUGCAUAGUAGACUUGCAUUAUUACCUUGAGUAGACAUAGUGUAUGUUGUAGUUUACAUUACUAUGCACCCUUAUAUACUCAUGACAUGAUACUAGCAUGAUAGUAGUUGUUGCAUGCAUUAUUAUCAUUGGUGGCAUGAUAGAGUAGUUGCAGUUAAUUUUUAUAUAUCUAUCUAUCUCUCUAUCUGUGCCAGCUUAGACCUAUUGGGAAAACCGGUGGCGUCGGCGGCCGAACCCACUGGGAACUAUAUUUUUAUAGUUCUCACCCCGUGUGGUUUUGGGGUACAGGUACACACAGAGGCGAGUCAAGCGAGGACCGCGGCAAGGGCAUAGCGCCCUAAGUGAGUUUAGUUGGUAGCUUUUCCUUUAUGCAUUAGGGUACCCUCGUGUGCUAGAUGAUGUUUGGAUAGAUAUGGGAGAGCUACUUGUAUUUUGAGGAAAAUAUGUAUUUACAUUUUGGUAGAUGGAAAAUGUAAUGCAAUCAAAUGAUGUAACUAUUGAAUGAAUGUAAUAGUUAGACUAUCUCUCUUUAUACACUAGCAUAUUACUUGUGGUUCUUGCUCUUAGAUGUAUUGCACUUGUGUGCGCUAUAUUCGAUCAUGUAUGUCACCUAAGCAUUCCUGGGCGCUUACUUAUACAUGAUCCGGUUGUUUAGCCUUGGGCGGGCAGGCGAGGUGCUGUCCGUUCGGCGUCUGUUCGACGCGCCCGAACCGGACCAAAUUGGUAGCGGCAUCGGGGCGUGACAAAAGCAGUCAAGUAAAAGUAGAAUUAAAAUGAUCUACUAGAUGUUGCAUGUUGUUCAUAUCGCAUAUCGUGAGGCAUGGCAUGUAUUUCAAUUAAAUAUAUAUAUCUGUUGUAUAUUGUUGAACUAACAUGUUGCAGUGCCUCCUCGGACCUAUCGGUCGAGCUUUUCCCUUGGGUGGCCGUACCCACUGGGAACAAUGGAGUUUGUUCUCACCCCACGUUGUUUUGGGGUUUUCAGGUCGUUCGUGUGCGUCGCGGCGGCGCGAGGCGAGGGCGUAGCUCAGUAGAUAGUGCCCCACCACAGAGACCGAGGUAGCAGUACCCUGAGACAGUCUAGCUUAGGGGUCUAGAAGACAAGAAAAGAAAAUGUAUCAAACUUGUAAACUCUGAUGUAAUAGUAAGAUUGUAAUUGGGAAGUAAAAAUGUAAACUGAAACUGUGAUGUAUAACGUAAUUGUGAAAUGAAUGCUUGUAAUAGCAAGUAGAUUAUGUAUUUGAUACUUCCUUAUGCAAUCUGGAUUGAUAUCCGUUCCUUGUUGGAACAUUCGUUGAUUGUUUGGAUUGCGACGCCUUGGACGUACUGGGGAGACUCUGUCCGCGUACAGGGGAAUUCCCGGUCCGUUCGGCGGUCUGUCGGCGGCGCCGCGACCCGGUCCAAAUUGGCGGUUGGUCGCGGGGCGUGACACUGUUGGUGCUCCUCGUGAUCGUGUGAACGUUGACAUCGAUUCGUCCAUCUUUACACUCUUGGGGCUUAAUAGAACAAUAUAAUUAGGUUUUACACUUUGUUCGAUUGAAUGAGAAAAAGUACUCGUUGCAAAGUUAUACUGUUAUGGCGCAACUUAGUAGUCUAAUGUUGUUCCUAUUUUGGUUAUUGUGAACGUUGACAUCGAUUCGUUCGAAAUUUACCCUCUCGAAGCAAAAUAGAACAAGAUAAUUAGGUUUUACUCUUUGUUCGAUUGAAUGAGAAAAAGUACUCGAUGCAAAGUUAUACUGCUAGGGCGCUGGGCGCAAGUGAGUAGUCUAAUGUUGUUCCGGCUUUGGUUCUUGUGAACGUUGACAUCGAUUCAUUCGAAAUUUACACUCUCGGGGCAUAAUAGAACAAUAUAAUUAGGUUUAACUGUUUGUUCGAUUGAANUCAUGAAUUGAUUCCUGGGUAAAUUCUUAUACAUGAUCAGUUGGUUAGCCUUGGGCGGACAGGGGAGGUCCUGUCCGUUCGGCGUCUGUUCGACGCGCCCGGACUGGGCCAAAUUGGUAGCGGUCUCGGGGCGUGACAAUAUUACCGUCUUGAUGUUUACUACACUUUAGUUUUGUGAUUGUGUAUUACUGUAGCACACUGAACUUUAGCAUAUUGCAAUGUUCUAGUAUAAGAAUAGUAUUUUGUGCUAUUCUGGAAGUUUUGAGGGUUGUUGGCUGUGUGUCGGCCUAUUUUUGGAGCUUAUUAGGCGCGAGAACGGGUUCCUGACAUCAAAACCUGCAAAUUGCAGAUUUCAGUGUUGAGUACCGAUACUGGAUUGAGGUACCGGAACCCAAUUGAGUGCUAGUUUGGGCAAUUCUCAGGUUCUGCCGAAUCAAGUAGUGGGUACCAGUACUGGGCUGAGUACUGGUAUUGCAUCGAAUGAGUACCAGAAUGCAGUGAAAAAUAGAAUUUUCCAGCGUUCGGGGUUUACGGUACUGGACCCCUGGUACCGGAACAGAUUGUCGAGUACCGGUACUCCAAACUGUGUACCGUUACUCAAUGUUGUAGAACCUAUUUCGUGUAGAGUGUGAUUUCUGAGUUUUGGAGGGGCUUUUGGGGUAUUGUUACAACUAGUAUAACACACCCCACACCCCCUCUCAUUUCCUCUUGUUGGUUGAGAGGUUGAGAGAAGCAGGAGGUAGGUUUUUUCUCUCCAACUUCUCUUGGGUUUCCUUUCCCAACCCUUUGAUUCAUAGGGUUUGAUCUCUAUUUCUUCCUCUCUACUUUGAAUGCAAGCACCUUCACUUAGAGGGGAGCUCAGGAUUGAGGAGAUGAGCUUGUUGGAGAAGCAAACUUCAACCCUAGCACGUCAUGGCUUGAGUUGGAGCUUAAUUCGAGAUUAGUAUCCUUCUUGUUUUCCCUAUUUAGGAGAUUUGCAAGAGAUCUUGGUGGAAAGCCUUUUGUAGAAACUAGGGUUUGUUUUAGGGCUUUUCUUUUGAAAACCUUUUGGAUGGAAUAAUGAGUGUUGAACACUCUUGUAGGUUGGAUUUGAAGAUCCAUCGGGUUGAUUUGAGCCUUGGGCAAGUUUUGCUUGGUUAAAGGUAAUUUUCACCUAUUAUCUUUUGGAUUUUUGGUGAAUUUCGUGGUGAGCUUUUUAGAAGCUCAUAACCCUUUGAGAAUUUUUCUUAGGGUGCUAGAAGUCUUGGAGAUAACUUCGUCGAAGAAACGAACGAGGUUUCGGAAGCUUUUCGGUGGGUUUGACCUUACCAAAAUGGAUGAAUUUUCUCUAUGUCUUCUAUAUUGCUAUAAGACAUAAAUUGAUGCAUAUUUAUGUUAGAUAUGACAUGGUAGAAUUUUUGAAUGCAUGAUUGUAAGGUACUGAACUUCUUAAAUUAUAAAGUUACGGUGGGAUGUAAUAUGCUGAAAUUUUAAUAUAAAAAUAAAUAUAAAUAAAAAUAGUGUGGGAUACUAUUUUAUUGGACUUAUAGACAUACAAUAUAAGUCUGGAAUGACCCGUGUUGAAAUCAGAGCGAAAACAGAAGAUUUAGAAUUUUAUGUGUGAAACGGGGCAGAUAAAUUAGCAGAAAAUGCACAGUAUCAGAAAAUUCUGAAAACUGGAGGAUAAGCCAGAAUUAUUUUUGUGAGGUUAGAUUUAAAGUUUCAUAUCAUUCUGACACCUGGAAGGUGAAAAAUAAAAUCCGAUAGUGAUCUGAUAAAGAUUACAGUUCGGUACGGCUUUCGGUGACCAAACGGGGUCGAAACUGAAAGAUUAAAAUUUCUUUCUUUAAGUUAAGCAAAACCGAACAUGACUGUUAAAUUUGAGCUCAAACGGAUAUUCAGAGGGCUCCGGCGAAAGAUAUCAGAUUUCGAACUGCCUGAAGUGAAUAGUGUAUGCUACUAUGGGGGUGUUGACUAUAAGUAGAAGCUUCUAGUGACUUGGCUUCUUCUUACACAAGCCGAGCACCACCCCCACAAGCACACGUUCAUGGUGGUAGUGAGAGAAAUCCUCACUUUCUCUCUCUAAAUAACUCUCUCAUCUCUCUAGAUCUUUCGCCCAAAUUCGCGGCGUUGGCGGAAAACGAGCUUGCAAACGCGUUGGGAGCGACGGAUCGAGCUUUCGUACGCCCGUUGGAGCAGCGUGCUUCCGUCUCAGCAUUCACAUUUUGGUAAACUUUUGGGAUUUGGCUUAAUCCUUAACCUUAAGUGUUCUAGUAGCCUCUAAUGAGCAUUCUUAGCAUGUUGCUCCAUUUAAUUUGGAUUAUUUGGGGGUAAUUGCAUGUUAAGGCUCAAAAAUAGGAUUUUGCAAUAUGUGAGGGUUUGAUCUAAAUUGAUCAUGUAUAAACCUAAUUGCUAGGUUUUCUAACGCGUUGGCGAAGUUGGUUCGGCGAUACGACGAGCGUACGCGAAGAUAUUAAAGAACGAAGCCGUUAGGGUACAGAUUGCCGCAACUUGCGGCGAAAGCUUCCAAAAAUCUUGGAAACGGAAUCGUAGCUUCAGGACAUCACCAAGAGGUGGGGGGUGUCAUCCCGAAGCAACUGGGCUUCUCCCUAUGUCUAAGUAUUUCUAUGUUGAACAUACUACAUAUAUAGUAUCAUGCAUGUUAGGGUAUUUAGAUGUUACUUUUACUAUUCUUGCAUGCUCCCUUGUAUUGCGGCAUAGUAGGCUUGGCAUGUGAACUUAGGGUGCAUGAGAAUGAGUUUGUGACAUAGAACCCUAAAGAGAUAAGUUAAACAAUAACUUGAUCUUGCAUAGAGGAUAUAUGACUAGUAUAGUCGGGACAAUUGCAUUAUGGCAAGUGACAUGUGAACCAAGUACAUACUUGACGAGUGGCAUAUGUAUACCAAGUAAACAACUUAACGAGUGGCAUUAGAACGUAGUGUUAAAAGAACACUUGUGCAUGUUGGUCAUAGUGACCGGGUACCUUCGUUGGAAAAGAAUUUGAUUAUACUCACACAGUCUGUUCAGCGCUUGUGGCGGUCGCCCCGCACAAGUAGUGUGAGCUCCGGAGUCUUGGCACGUGAAACGAUUGGGAUAGCCUAUGUGGGGUCCCAAGGGAUAGCCUAUGUGGGGUCCCGCAGACAAUCCCUCGGGUGGUUCGAGUCCUCCUUCAUAGACGGAUUUGAGUUGUGAGUCGAGGGCGCGCCUUUGGGCCAGCCAGAUGAUUGGGUGAUGAACUCAAGAGAAUUAUGCAUAUUGAGCAUAGUAAGCAUAUUGAGCAUGUUGAGCAUGUUGGACAUAGUAGAAUUGCAUGUAUACUUGAUAGAGUUAUUAUAGCAUGUUAGAGAUUACAUGGCUAUGUGAUUUACUCUUGUUCUCCAGGCAUAGUAGAAUCUUGCAAUUCCUUAUAUAUGCAUCAAUUACAGUUACAAAUAUCUAUCUAUCUGCUUAUGCCUGCUUAGACUUAGUGGGAAGAUCGGCGGAGUCGGCGGCCGAACCCACUGGAAACUAUAUUUAUAUAGUUCUCACCCCACUUUGUUGCAGGGCCUAGCGAGAGAGCACCGGCAGAGGACCGUGGUAAGGGCAUCGCGCCCUAGGUGUAGUUAGCAGCUUCCACUUGCAUUAGUGUACCCUCGUGUACCCCGUGACAUAUGAUGUACUUUGGGAGGUUGCUUGUGUAUUUUGGAGAUCAUCAUGAAUGUUCAUUUUAGAGAUAUAAAUGUAAUCAAGGAUCUAAAUGUUGAAUGCCUUGUGGAUGUAAUAGAUAGAUGUAUCUCUCCUUAUUUCACUUGUAUAGUAUACUUGUGCCUUGCUCUUACUUGUUAGCACUUAUGGUGCUCCGUGCUUUAUCAUGUAUGUAAUUGAAUUUAUUCCUGGGCAAUUCUAUGUACAUGAUCUUAUUUUUGAGCCUUGGGCGGACAGGGGAGGUCCUGUCCGUCCGGCGUCUGUUCGACGCACCCGAACCGGACCGAAUUGGUAGCGGUCUCGGGGUGUGACAAUGAUACACUCAUGUUACAUAUAGAAGUUUUUAUACUCUAUGUAGUAGAGGCUUAUAAUGUAGAUUGGUACACUAAAUAGCAUGAUAUUGUAUUUCCUCUUAUGCAACAUUAGAAUGCAUGAUAGAGAUGAGUAAAUAAUGUCCUAUGGGACCUUACAUGAUUAGUGAAAUUAUUGAAUUCAACUUGCAUGAUAACUAAUAUACUUGUUUUAAACAAGGGCAAAUAUGACCUAUUGCAUAGUAGAGAUAAAUAGUGAUGUUAAGCAUGUUGCACUUAACUUAGUUGAACAACUAAUUAGGCAUUAUGACAUUGUACUUGACCUGUAGGUCGUUAGUUGCAUUCCAUGUUUUAGACAUGACGAAAAAGAUUUCUAUGCUUUUGGGCAAAUAAAAAAGGGCAAUUGCUUAUAAUUGCUUAGUUGAAUGAAAGUUACUUACAUGAUGACCAUCAUACUCCAUGAAGUAGAGGCUUGUGUAGCAAGGCAUGUGCAUAACUUAAAUCAUGAUCUAGUUGACAUCCUCGUAGUUCAUUGAAUAUGGCAUUGGUAAAUUGUUCACUUUACACUAUAUUGGAAACAGUAUACUUAUGAAACCACUGUGUUUUGGGUCUUGAAUAAAAUAUAGAACCGUCCUUGAUAGGAUAAAUGAAAUGUAAACCAAUACAUGCUUUAGGCAUGUCAUGUAUUGAAAGAGACAUACCACUAAGUUACUUGAGAAUGAAACUUGAUAUAUAUAAUAUAGUACCCGACCUAUGAGUCGAUGAUUGUGAUUCUUUUAAACAUAAUGAUUAUUAGGAUAUGUGGUCUUUAGACCUUAUGCUAAUGAUCACGUUUGCUUGCCAUUGUGCUCAUGCGCAUAAGCUUGUGAGUGUCGCUGCCUACAAGCCGGCUCUUCGGAGUUAGCCUUUGCGACGACAGAUCACCCGUGCGGGAUUGGGCACCAAAGUGGAUUGCUAUGGGGGAGGCAUGAUCAUUCCUAGAGGAGGAAUGUUGACUAUCACGGGGCCAUUAGACACGGCACAAGCCGGGACGUUACCAUGUGUAAGUUACUCGUUAAUUGGGUAAAGGUUAAGUAAACUUGACAUAGUACAUCACAAUUAGUUGGUGCAUAUAUAGUAGAUGGACAACACCAAUACUGGUACCCAGCACCCCAAAUCUCAAACCCAAGAGCAUCUGCUCUCGGUCACGUAAUGGGGUUCCGGUACCCUACCCAGGUACUGGUAUUUAGCACCCAAAAAUCUAAAUUUACGGAUUUUGGUGCUAAGUACUCCUUCUCGCGUUCUCAGAACACGAGUAACAAGUCGGUACUCAAUCAACGACUUUCAAAAAUACAAGGAAUAGCACAAAACACUAUUCUAACACUGGAACCUUACAGUUUGCUAAAAUUCAGUGUGUUACAUUCUCCACUCCUAAAAGGAGUUUCGUUCGCGAAAAUAGAAACCAACCACAUCACAAAUCCAUCUGAAAAAGUGGAAGAAAUGCUCUAGCAGCGCACAAUCCAGUUCCCAAAAGUCUCGAGCAUGCCAACUGUCACGCCUCGGGACCGGCGAAGGCCCUCCCGGUAGCGUGCCCAGACCCGCCAUAUGUCUACACAUAUAAGGCGUCUACAACAAAAGCGGAAGUAAAGCAGGAGGUAGAACAAAUAAAAGAAGUGAAAUAACUAGCAACUAAUAAUAUCAGAGCAAGUAAGGUUCUACCAUCUACACCAAAGUAAAGAAAAUUAAAGCUAGUCAACCAAAGAUAACCAUAAGUAGUACAAUAACCGUCGCUAGUACAAAAAUGGUGGUCUCUAUACAUAUACGGGUACAACUCUCAACCUCUCACAAAAAGAAAACACGAGAGGUGGACCACCUAUCGAACGAUCCCUCGGUAAGCGCGCUAGCCCGAGGUGAUACCCUUUCCGCGAUCCCUGGCCUCUCCCUGCGUGGAAGGCUCUGAAAAACAUCGAGAAAAAGAGGGCGUGAGAACUAUAAUUUAUAGUUCCCAGUGGGCAAUUACUGACCUCAGCUCUAUGCACCACUAGGCCCCAAAAGAAAAGGGUAAGUACAAUAAUAAUAGCAAUAAUGACUGCGAUGUAAAGGCAUAAUUAAAAUGCUAAAUUACUAAACUCAAGUAUAAACGAUGUCAUGGUGAUGUACAUCUACGAUAUCAUAAUAGUAUGUCCAAUGGCAAUAGCUAAGUGUCAUUAACUUUUAUCAAUACAUGAUGCAUAAGUUCUGUCAUUGCAACCAAGUAUGCUCUAAUGCAAAAGGAGACUAUCAAGUAUACUACAUGUCUCAACACUAUGCUAAAAGCAUAUAAAUGUAAUUCAACUACUAAACCUAUCUAGUAGUGAUUAACCAUUCUCAACACCGUGUCAAUUUUCAUUUCCAAUUAAGGACCUACCAAAGGUAGUCCAGCUUGUGCUGCCUAAGUGUCUGUGGUAGCCCAACAUCCCUGCUCUUGGAAUGUGUCUGUCCCACUCGACCCCGUAGGCUUUUCAAUACCGCACGAACGAACAUAAGUCGCGUAGACUAACUCCGGAGUGCCGGCUUGUAGGGAGCGACCCUCACAAGCAUGUGCGAAUGAGCACAAAUGGCAAGCAAGCAUAGUCCAAGUCUCAAGUAUCCAAUCCUCAUGUCUCUAACAUGGUAUGGUCACUAGCAUCCCGAAGAUCUAGUUUAAGUCACAAUGUGAAGUUUCAACAUUUGCUACGCCUAGUGCCCCUUGAUGACACUUAGGCAAUUUGAUGUUCAACAUGUAUUCCAAAUCCCUCAAUGGCCCUAUCCGCUAGGUUCUCACAUGUCCCGAGCUCAAUGCCGCUUGAUGACAUUAGCUCUCUAGUUCACAUACCUUCUAAAUGGCAAUCUUGUCAUCUUUCAUGUCACAAGUAAACUCAAGUUUAAAUGCAUGAAUCCGAACUCAUUUAUACUAUAGAAGCAUGAAACCAAGUCUCAUAAAGAAUGCUAAAUGCAACCAAAGAUCUCCCAAGCAACUCUCUACUACAUAGAGGUCCAAAAUUUCAUCAUACAUAACAUAUGCAUUUUAAGCAUUCUAAAAAUCAUAAUAAAUACAUUUAGUAUGAACAUGCAUGCUUUUUCAAUUUACGGAGCAUAUAUAACCAUAUAUGAGAAUUCCUCAUAGGUAGGCUAGGUCAAACCCACCGAACCGUCGCGUAGGGUCUCGAUCCGCCGAACAAAGUUGUCCCCGAAUCUCAAAAUACCCUAAAAGUAUUGAGCGACAAGAUACACGGGCAUUACGAUCAACUAUAAGAUCAAACUUUAACAAAUUUAGCAAAAAGGCUAAAUCUCACCCAAUGAGUGGAAAAUCUCUCUCAAGCUCCAAAAGAGAGCAAAAUUCCUUCCAAUCCAAGCCCAAGGAAGGUUCUAAACCAACUAAUUAAGCUCCAAAAGCCCUAGAUUCAAAACGCCCAAAAUAAGCCCUAAAACCUCAUUCUAGGGUUUCAUCUCAAAACCAUCAAUAAAAAUCCAAUCUAAAGGGAGAGGAUAAGUGGAUUACCUCAUAGAAGCUUCAAUCUAAGCUCUAAACUCUUGAAAUCCCAAGAUCUUCCCUCAACAAUCCACCAAGACCAAGCUCCAAGCUUCACAAGGGUGGAAAAGCAAAGAAAAGGGAAAAGAAAAGGAUCAACACUUAAAUCCCAAGCUAAAAAGAGAUCAAAUCCAAAGGGGGUGAAGGGGAGAGGUGCCCUACCUUUCUUCCUGCAAUGGUGAGCUCAAAGGAGGGCCCUAGAGGCGUGGGUGCUGAUAUAAGAGACCCACAAACGCAAAAACACCCCUGCAGUUCAAACUGCUCAAAUUCUGCCGCCUUGUACCGGUACACGGGCCCUUGUACCGGUACAAGGUCCACGAAAUCCAAACCCGAAGCUCGGGAUGCUGGGCUCUGCGGCUCUGUACCGGUACAAGCUCCGAUGGCUGUACCGGUACAACCAUCAACCUUGUACCGAUACAAGCACAGCCUUGUACCGGUACAAGCCUGCCAGAACUCAAUCCGAGAGUCAGCCAAAUCCCGUUUUUUCGGAUUUUGGUGCAAGGCUUCGUACCGCAAAUUUCGGGACACGUGCCAUAGGUCGGAACACAGUCAACGACCCACCAGAAAAUCUGGAAAAGCCCAGAACACGGCCAAUCACUCGAACCUCGCAAUUUGCAAAGGCCUAGUGUGUUACACCAACAUUGCUCCAAGGCAUCUUUGCAUAGGAAAACCCACGAUUCCGAAGGUUUAGCACAUCGCAAGCCAAGUCUUCCACAAUUGUUUCUCGAACUCAAAUCCUCAUAGUAAGAAGUUCCACCUCUUAUCUGUGCUCAUCCAACAAGUUCUUUAGUUGCUUCACAUAAAGUCAAUCGCCUCCGAGAGGGCUAAAUUUCAUUUCCCGCUUUUCUCAAGUAUGUCGAGAGCGAAGAUUAGCUUUCCUCUACACUGCUCUUAUGAACAGAAAUUGAUCAUUCAUCCUUUUAAGGAGGAUUCAAACAGUAUCAUCCACUAGAGGAAUCCAAGGGUUAUACCCGGUACACAUCUCUCCAAAUUCAAUUGGUGUUCCCAGAAUGAUUAUCACAUAACAAAAGGAGGCGACGUGGAAUUUUCAAUCGUUGACCAAAACUCCUACGAUGAUCCUCCAUAAUCCAAGGGUCAAAUACAUUAAGAAAUUGCACAAUUUGGUGCAAUUCCAUCCCACGGUCAAGCAUGGUGAAUAGGUAGACUGUAGUGUACCGAGCCCUCGAUGCGCAAAAAUCGAACUUUAGUCAAAUUGACCAAAGUAUGGUAUUGGAUGCUUUAGUGAGGUCCGUUCAGUGUUCCAAGUGAUCGGAAUGACUUAUAAGGGUGUAAGGGACCAUGUAAUAUACCGAAAAUUCGGAAAAUAAAUAUCGAACUUUAGUCAAAUUGACCAAAGUGCGAGGACGGAACACUUCGGAAAGUCCGAAGGUGUUAAAAUGAUUAAAAGUGAGUUGUGGAAGGUUUUCGAGAGCUAAAGAAUCAAAUUCUGCAAAACUGCAGAUUUUGAGCUCUCGGGGACCGGUCCCUGGUGGGAGAGACCGGUCCCCGAACGCGUAUGAAAUGAGACAGCCGAAAAAUCGGCUAAGUCCUGGAAGAUCAGCUCUCGGGAACCGGUCUGUGCCUGAGAGACCGGUCCCCCAGAGACCGGUCCCAUCAGAGAGAAACCGGUCGCAUCGCGCUCAGCGGCUCUGGCUGCGCAGGGUGGACGUUCGGGAACCGGUCCCUACUCGGGGAGACCGGUCUCUGCCUGCGAAAACUGCCCAGUCCAGGCAGUGCACAGAGGUAAAAGUUAGGUUUUAAGCUGCAAUUUUAUCAACCGAAGUAGGCUAAUAUGAGGGCAAAUGAGAUAUUUCUCGGUCAUUUCCUCAUCCUAUCACACUCUCUCUCUCCCUCUCUCUCUACGAAAGCAAAGGAGAAGAAGAUAGAAAGGAAGAAAGUGAGGAAAAGAAGGAAAUAGAAGGUGAAAAGAAGAAUCAAGUAGUCAAAGCUUACCUCUUUUCGCUUCCUCCUUGGAGCAACUUGGGAAGCUUGAGGUACAGCUUUGAUCCAGUAUAGUAAAACCCUAGAAUUGAGUUUUUGAUGACCUAGCAGUAGUUUAAUGGAAUUUUUAAAGAGUUUUGAAGCUUUCUUUUUGCUUCUAAAGAGAUCAAUAAUCUAGGUUUUGCCUAUAGAGGUGAGCUUUGGACCACCUCUCAUGGUGAAAUCCAAAACUAGGGUUUGGAGUGAGCUAUGGAUGUUCUAGUGGACCUAUUUAUGAGUGUUAAAAUGAAGCUAUUUUUGUCAAUUACCGCAAUGAGAUCAAACCUGGGUUUGACAUGAGUAUUGGAGGCUAUGGGCCAUGGGGCUUUUGCUCCAUAGGGUUUCUAAGUGCAAUUGACGCUCUCUUAAACAACGCUAAUGGGGCGUAUUUCGCGACCUGCGAUUGGUGGCGCUCGGAUUAACUUACGAAAAGCGAUGAACAAGUUAUGGGCAAAUGGGCCUAAUAAGGGUUCGUUUGCGCAGUAAAGAACGAAGGAUCUAAAAAUCCUGAGAAUAAUCGUCGGAUACCUAAAGAACCUACAAGUGGGUGGUGCUUUCCAAAAUCAUUGAAUCUCUCUAUGCCUAAUGUGUCAUUCUUGACAUCUGUUCUAUAUAUUGUUUGCAUGCAUUUUAGUGGUAAAGUAAUGAUGAAAUGUGAUGAUGUGUAUGAAUUGUGAGCACAACUUGCAUAAUGAGAUGGUUGGCAAUUAAUAAUGGCAAACAACCCUAGAUUAUGCAUGAGAAGAAAAUGUGAGCACCCAAAGGAGCAAAAGAACAGAUGUGCACAAUGCAUAGCAUCGUUGCAAUUUGAAAACGUAAAGUAAAGUGACACUAGAGUUAGUGUGAGCCAAAUGAACAAAGUGAUGUAAAGAAUGAGGAAAAGACAAUAUUAAAGUUAAAGUAAAGUGGGGCAAGAAGAACGAAAAGUAAAGAAUUAUGAUUGCUAGAGUUAGCAAAAGUAAAAGAAAUGCCAAAAGAUCCAUGAUUUCUAGAGUGGCAACAGUAAAAGUGACGUAAUUAACUAGAGUUAGUGUACAAGUCCGAGAUUGAACAUACAGUCCUUGAGUUAACGAUUCGAUCAUGCUGCUAUGAGUUCCGUGCUUCGGGGCGGUCCCGCUUCCCCUCGGCGAUGCGCAUUCGGAGUUAUGCAUAGCCGGGUUGGAGUAGACCCGUAAGGACGGUCCUAGCUGUGAGUUCCUGGCAAUGAUGGACCUUUAAUGUGAAGCAAGUCAAUGUGGGCGAAACCCGGUUACCUUAGAGAUUAAAGAACAAAGAGCAAAGAAAAAGUGUACAGAAGCAAAGAACAAGAGAAGUGAAAGAAUAAAGAAUUUGUCAUAUGCUGCAUAUUUAAUGUGAGCAUAUUCUUGUUUUGUUCAGGCAAUUAUCACCCUGUUAUAGAUUGGUUUACUAUAUCUACUUAUCCUUUCUAUUAUGCCUGAGUUCGUCUAGGGGAAAGUCGGUGAUUUGGGCCGAACACUGGUAGACUUUGUUAAUACGUCUCAACCCCACUAUUUUCCACAGGAGCCGGGACCGAGCGAGCCGGCGAGCGACCGCGGUAAAGGUAUCGCACCGUAGUCAGAGGCCACCGGAGUUGGGUUACAUUUUGUUAGUAGACACCCUUUUAUCAUCUUUUGUACUUGAUGAUUAGUGAAGUAAAGAAAGAAUGUAAAGCUUAUUUUGAGGAAAAAGUGAUGUAAGAAAGAAAUGAUGUAAUGAAUGUAAGAAUUCGAUAAAUUACUAGAUGAAUGUAAUGUAUAUGAUCAAAAAUGAAUCAUAGUACAAGUGAAUGUUUAGUUUCCUUUUUCUUUCACUAAUGGCUAUUGCUUACCCUCGUGUAAGCCGUUUGUGUAUGUUUCCGCUAGUGCAUUUCUUGUUUGAAUUUGUACAUGUGAUGAGCCUUGGGCGGACAGGGGAAACUCUGUCCGUUCGGCGUCUGUUUGACGUGCUCGGGUCGGGCCAAAUUGGCAUCGGGCCCGGGGCGUGACAGACCAAAAAGGAUCUUGGAGAGCAAGAUUUGAGAUUUUUGAAUUUUUUUGUAUUGGAAGUGCUCUCGGGGUCCGAACCCUGCAUGUAGGGUUUGAACCUCGUACACGGGAAAACGUGCACAUCAGCAAAUGGGUCGUUUGUGUGAGGGGCUAAGUGCAUUGUGCAAGUGGAAGUGUAUAUAAAUGGGUUUUAUCCCAUUUCCUCUCAUUUCCCUUCACUUCACCAACAAAAGAGAAGAGCUUCUCUCUCUAAACCCCUCUCUCUCUCUCUUAGGGUUGCUCCCAUGGUGGAGUUUUGGUGGAGAGGAGCUUGCUUAGUGAUGAAGCAACCUCUUGUACAACAAGCUUGGCUUGGGAGAGAGCUUUGAUUUGAGGUAGGCUUUAAGAGAUUUAAGGGUUUAUGGUUAGGUUUUGUUUAAAUCCCUUAGAAAUGUGAUAAAUUGGAACCCUAGGUGAUUCUAAUCUAUGCUAUUGCAUGAAUCAUGAAGAGAUUUGAAUAUUGUGCAAAUAUUGGGAUUAUAGGGUUUCAAAAGAGGGUUUCUGAUCAUGAUGGGUUUUGGUCUUAAUUGAUCCCUUAAUUCCACAAUUGAAGGUAAAGCUGACGCGGUGGAUCGCUUAGAUUGAGGUUUUGUUGAGCUUUCGAUGGUCAAUUUGAAGAAAUUGCCAUUUCGGCUUCGUUUGCCGCAGUCGGGAGAAAUCGAUGAUGAUAAAUUGCGCAGCUUGGAUUUCCCGCUUCGUGGCGUCGACACGAGGUGGGGGGUGCUAUCCGAAAUAGCCGGAUUUCAUUCUAUAUCUAAGUUCUACAUUUUGAUCAUAUAGCAUCAUGGCGGGACGGACCGGUCCCCGUACGCGUAAAAGCAGGCAGACUGUAAGGAAGUGAAUUCUCUAAAUGCGAGGAUUGUACUCCAUCCAGGAUCGACUAAUUGUCGAGAGUAUACCCUUUGUGGGAGUUGGGAAUGUCCAAAGCACAAAAAGUGCCUUGGAGUUGAGUUCGCGAGAGCAAAUGAGGCAAAUGGCAUCAUUGGGCUGAUGUUGCUCUCGGGGACCGGUCUCUGCAGGUGAGAGACCGGUUCCCCUGGCUGGAUGUAGCGGGGUUGCGUGAUGCAACCGGUCCCUGGCAGGGAGGGACCGGUUCCCGAACGUGGUCCCAGCGAGAGAUGCCAAAAAAUUGGCUAAGUCCUGAAAAUCAAGCUCUCGGGGACCGGUCUCUCAGGUGAGGACCGGUCUCCCGAGGACCGGUCUCCCGGGGAGAGACCGGUUCCCGAACGCGUGCGCCCGAGGGAAGCUCUCGGGGACCGGUCCCAAGUCGGGGAGACCGGUCCCUCCGCGCGAAAACUGCCCAGUAAGGGCAGUGCACAGGGGUGAAAGUUGAGGGGCUUUUAUGCAAAAUGGCCUUUAUUUGAGUGGGCUGAGCCCUCUCUCUCCCUCACACUCUCUCAUUUCACUCUCUCUCACUCUCAUUUCUCUCUUGCUCUCUCUCUCUCUAGAAAGGAAAGAAGGAGAAGAAGAACAAGAAGGAGAGGAAGGAAAAGAAGAGGAAGAUAAGGAAGGAGAAGAAGAAGGAGAUCAAGAGAAAGGCUUUGAGCACCUCCAUCUCCCUCUCCUCUUCCCAUUGGUGUAGCUCUUGAGGUAAGCUACUAAACCCUAGCUUUGUAAACUUAGGGUUUUUGGGUUUUAUACCUUGGAAUGGGUCAAAUGGACCCUAAGCUAGCUUCUAAAUAGAUCAAUCCCAAGAAUCUAGGGAUUUAUUGGGUGGUUUGCUAUAGGUGCAAACCUAGGGCUCCAAAAAUGGGGUUUUUGUAAAAGUAUGAGAUUGAUCUCAUUUGAAGCCUUGGAAACCCUAUUGAUAGAUACCAAAACGCGGGGGCGAAGUCGAUUUCGGCAUUCGGCGAACCGACGUGAAGUUCUCGGCAAAAUCGGGCCGGGAUAGUUUGGAUUUGGGCGAGGAAGGCUAAAGCCUCUUCGUGAAGCUCGCCGAGAAGAAUUUCCAAAGCCUCUACAUCGAUAAAAAGGUGGGGGGUGUCAUCCGAAACUUUCGAACUCCUUUCUAUGUCUUAGAUUGCAUUUAAUCUCAUCUCUUCAUGUUGCAUUGUAGGAUUGCAUAGCAGCUCCAUUCCUUAUGCUUUCUAAUGGAUGACCUAGUGUACUUGGAACGCUUGGUAACUAGAUAGGUGAGGAUUGGGUCGGAACGUGGAUCCUAUAAUGCUAGAGAUAGAGAUGAACCCGAUGGGGGUAUUGAUGACAUAGAAAGUAGUGUUAUUGUCAAAGAACAAACGAGUGGCAUCCAAAUAUUGAAUGAUAACGAGUGGCAUUAAUGUAGUGUAAAUAACACUAGAGGUCGAUGGACCUAGGGAUAGGUGGAUCCCUUAGAAAAUGCCUUGUGAACAAUGAAUUUAGAAAACUAAAUAGCAUUGCAUGAAUGUCGGGAACCGAUGAUUCCGCGAUAGUCGUUGACCCUUGUGUAGGGCGUCCUCACUUGGAGAGGAUUCGAUUGGGUUAUUGACUCUAGUUGUAGAGCCUCCUCACUUGGAGAGGAUUGGAUUGGGUGUUGACCCUAGUUACAGUGUAUCCUCACUUGGAGAGGAUAGAUCUAGCUCACAGUCUGCGUUUAGGGUGGUAUAGCCAUCCAAUCCCAACAUGGAGGGGAUUGUCGUCGAGUACUCCGGAGUGUCGCGCGACUAGGACCACUUGGAGGUCCGGACCACAUGGAGGUCCGCAGACGGUCCCGGGCUUGGGUGCACUUGGAGCUCCCUCCCCACUUUGGGAUUUGAAGGUGAGUCAUGGGCGAGCCCUAGGGCCUCGCCACAGAUUGGGUAAAUGAAAAAGGUUAAAGGUUUAUAAAUGUCAGUGAACAUUACUAUUCGAACAUGGAUCGAAUUUGUUAGCAUGGUAGCAAACCUUUAUUAUAUGAUGCAUGCAUUCAUAUUCAUGAUUAUGGGCAUAGUAGCAUAGUUUUCCUACUACUGCAUUUACAGCUUUCAGAUACAUAUCUAUCUAUCUAUCUAUUUGUUGUUACUUGUGCCCACUUGGACCUAGUGGGGAGAUCGGCAGAGUCGGCGGCCGAGCCCACUGGGUAUGGAAGAUAGUUCUCACCCCACUCUAAUUCCAGUGGUAGGUUCAGGGCUGCAGAGAGAGGACCGCGGCAAGGGCGUCGCGCCCGACCAGUGAGACCGUGGUAGUAUAGUAGCUUUCCUUUUCGCAUUAGUCACCUAUGUAUUGAGAGAGAUUCAUGUAGGUGAGAUCGGAGAGCUAUGUAUUUUGAGGAUCAAAUGUAUUCAUUUUGGAAAAUGAUGUAAAGGUAAAGAAUGUAACUAUUGUAAUAGUUAGUAAAGUACUCUCUUUAUUUCACUCGUAUAUCUUGUGGAUUACUUGCUCUUCUUGUUGUUGGCACUGUUUGUGCCCUCGUUGAAUGUGUAUAUUUAGAGUUUAAAGUCCUGGGUAAAUUCUUAUACACAUUCCUGUGGUUGAGCCUUGGGCGGGCAGGGGAGGUGCUGUCCGUUCGGCGGUCUGUCGCCGCGGCCGAAUCGCGCCAAAUUGGUAGNCCCUCGUUGAAUGUGUAUAUUUAGAGUUUAAAGUCCUGGGUAAAUUCUUAUACACAUUCCUGUGGUUGAGCCUUGGGCGGGCAGGGGAGGUGCUGUCCGUUCGGCGGUCUGUCGCCGCGGCCGAAUCGCGCCAAAUUGGUAGUGGUUUCGGGGCGGGGCGUGACACAAACAGCCUCUGCUCGCAAAGGCUGCUCUCGGGGACCGGUCCCUCUAGGGACAGACCGGUCCCCGAGCGCGAAAAUUGCCCAGGCAGACUGGGUCAUAUUGGAAGAGUGGAGGGGUUUAUUAGCAAUUGUUACAUGAGUUGAGGGGUAUAGAGGGGAAUGAGCUCUCUCUCUCGCCCCCUCAUUUCUCUCCCAACACUCAACCCUAGCUCUUCCUUUCUCUCUCUAAACUCCUUUCUCUCUCUCUAGAAGGUGAAGGAGGAGAUUUUGGUGGAGGAGCAAGCAAGGAGGAGGGCUAGCAUCAUCUUCUUCUUCCUCUCCUCCAUUAGAGCAAGUUUCUUGAGGUAAGCUUUGAGAGCUUUCAUGGUAGAUCCCUCUAGAUGGAUUUUUAUCUUCUAGAAUUGGUUUUGUUGGAACCCUAGCUUGCCAAAUAGAAGGUUUAUACUUGAAUCUAGGAUUUGAGAUGGGAUUUUUGCAAGUUGCAAACCUAGGGUUCCAAAUUGGGGUUUUUGGAAAUAGAGGGUUUUGAUCUAAAUUGAUCAUGUGUUAACCUAAUUACUAGGUAUCUAAACGCAUUGGAAAGGUCGGUUCGUCGAUUCAUCGAGCCGGUGCAAAGAUAUUGCCGAAACAAGCGUUUGAGGCUUCGUAUUGACUCGUAGAGUUGAAGCGACGACCGGGGAUCGCGAAGUCGAGUACCUAGCCUCGCUACGUUAUCAAGAGGUAGGGGGUGUCAUCCUCCUCCCUAUGUCUAAGUACUUAUAUGUUGAUCAUAUUCCAUAUGUGUAUAUCAUGCAUAUUACGGUGUUUAGAUGUUGCAUUUACUAUUCUUGCAUGCUCCUUAUAGUGUGGCAUAGUAGGCUUGACACGUGAACAUAGGGUGCAUGAGAAUGAGCUAUUGUGACAUAGAACCCUAUAGAGAUAAGUUAAAUGAUAACUUGAUCUUGCAUCGAUGAUAUAUGACUAGUAUAGUCAAGACAUUGCAUUAUGACGAGUGGCAUGUGAACCAAGUAAACAACUUGACGAGUGGCAAUAGAAUUUAGUGUUAAAGGAACACUAGUGACAUGAUGGAAUUAGGGGAUAGGUGAGUCUCCCCAUUUGACACUGUCACGCCCCGAGCCCGCUACCACUUUGGUCCGGUUCAGGCGCGUCAAACAGACGCCGAAUGGACAGAACCUCCCCUGUCCGCCCAAGGCUCAAGCGACUAGAUCGUGUACAACAAGUUCCAAGAAAUACACUUGAAUACAUACACGAUCAAACAACAAAAGCAAGAGCACAGACAGUGCUAAACAAAUCAAGAACAAGCAUCACGAGUAACGAACAUACAAGUGAAUAGAAGAAAGAGAUACUACACUAAUACAUUUAUUUAACCACUUUAAAACAUUUGAUUACAUUUAACUUCCAAAAUGCAAACAUAAGCCUUACAUUACAUUCAUCCCAAAAUACCUCACAUCCUAUACAUCAUCUACUCUCAAGCAUAUGUACAAGGUAGCUCUAAUGCAAUAGGAAGGUAUACUACCAACGCUAGGGCGCUAAGCCCUUACCAUGAUCCUCAGCUGGCGCACCCGAACUCAGACCUGCAACAAAGUGGGGUGAGAACUAUUGUCCAUAGUUCCCAGUGGGUUCGGCCGCCGACUCCGUCGAUCUCCCCACUAGGUCUAAGCAGGCAUAGGCAGAUAGAUAUAUAGAUAGAUAAACGGGAAAGUGAUAAUAAUAAGAAGUAACAAUAAGUAAAGGUGAAAGUACCCUACCAUGCCUCAAUUCAAUAUCAUGCAUGCAUGCAACUCAUAGUAAAAGAACUAGCUACUAUGCUACUAUGUUCAACAAUAAAGUUCAUUAAACUGUUUACCCAAUUGCUUGGCCAACCCACGGGUUUGCCUCAAACUCUCAUCUCAAAGUCUCAAAGGGGGAGGAGACUUUAAACGGUCUACCCACCGAGACCGCCUGCGGACAAGUACGUUAGUCCAACCUGUGACAAACCUCCAGAGUGCACGGCUUGUGUGGAGUGACCACGACAAGCGCAACAGGCUACACAGCACGAUCCAAUCCUCAAACUAGAGAUGAUACCGUACCGACUAGGGUUAUAUUCAUCAAAUCCAACAUAUGUUCAAUACUCAACCUCCUAGUGCUUCAACUACACUAAGGUACUCGUAUGCCACUCGUUAUAAGUUUACAUUGACUAGCUGCCACUCGUUAUAGUUCAAUGUUUUCAUACGCUAGCUAUAUUCUACUAGGUUUUUUUUUCAUCCACAUAAGCACAACCACUUGGUUAUCAUUUGCCUAGAUUCUAAUCCAUCACGUAUCAUCUCAUAUAGGGUUCAGUUAUACAAACUAACAUCAUGCAUACUAGAUUCAAGUGUUAUAUCAACCAAGCUACAUUAACACUAGCAUGCAAAUAUGGUUACAAGUAUCUAAAUACCCUAUAUGUAUUAUGCUCAAUAUGCAACAUAGUCAACAAUAAACUUAGACAUAGGGAGCAGCUCAACUGCUUUGGGAUGGUCACCACCCACCUUUUGAUAGUGCCGCAAGGUUAGGAAACUCGACUUUGCGAUCCUUGGUCGCCGCCUUGACUCUUCGGGUCAAUACGAACCUACGAGCACUUGUUUCGGCGAUACCUCCGUACUCGCUCGACGAAUCGAUGAACCGUCUUCGCCAACGCGUUUAGAGACCUAGAAAUUAGGUUUACGACCAAUUAAAAGAGAUCAAAACGCAUUAACUAUCAAAAACUCAUUUUGAUGCCCUAGGUUACAAUCAAUGGGGAAAACCAUGAUUCAAGCCCCAGAUUCAUGCUAGAAUCAUCCUCCUAGCAUCAAUAGGUCUCAACAAAAAAAUCUCCAAGCUAUAAAAACCCAAACCCAAAAAGAUACCAUUGUAGGGUUUAGAGCUUACCUCCAAAAGCUUCUCCAAACUUGAGGAAGAAGAUGAAGAAGGUGAUGCUCUUCUUCUUUGUCUCCUUCUCCUUCUACUCCUUCUCCUUCUUCUCUAGUUUCUUUUCUUUCUAGAGGGAGAGAGGGAAAGAAAAUGUGAGUGUGGGAGAGGGGAAAUGGGAAAAGAGAGAGAGGAAAUACCAUAUAAUUGCUGAAACACCCUUCAACUUUGCUAUAAUUGCUGAAACACCCUUCAACUUUGCUUAUAUCACCCAGCCCAACCUGGGCCAUUUCGGCUACGAGGACCGGUCCCUCUGAGGGAGGACCGGUCCCCGAGAGCAAUUCCCAAUAUCAUGCGUACGAGAACCGGUCCCCUCCCUGAGGGACCGGUCCCCGAGAGCAUUUCUGGGCAGCAAGCUUACGGGAACUGGUCCCCUCCCAGAGGGACCGGUCCCCGAGAGCUGGAAAUCUGCAUUUAUGCAGAUUUUUGCACAGUUUCUCUCGCGGGUCCUUCUUAAUGCACUUUUUGCAUUUUUGAUGUUUUCAGACUUUCCGAAACACCCCAACUCGACAACUAGUUGACUUUAAACGUAGUCUAACUCUCGAAUUUCGAGAAUUCACUUCCUUACAGACAUCUUGCAUGAGAUCGGUGUGACAGUGUUGACCCUAGAGACAGGAUAUCCUCAGUGGACGAGGAUUCGAUCAUACUCACAUAGUCUGUUCAGCGCUUGUGGCGGUCGCUCCGCACAAGUAGUGCUGUCACGCCCCGAGACCGCUACCAAUUUGGUCCGGUCCGGGCGCGUCGAACAGACGCCGAACGGACAGGACCUCCCCCGUCCGCCCAAGGCUAACCAACUGAUCAUGUAUAAGAAUUUACCCAAGAAUCAAUUCAUGAAUACACGAUCACGAGUGGCACCACCAGUGCCAACCAACACAAGAGCAAGAUACAAGUAUGAGACAUACAAGUAAAUAAAGAGAGAAGGUUCUAUCUAUUACAUUCAUUCAACUUAAUACAUUUAAUUCCACCUUUCACAUUCUUCCAAAACAUGUAUACAAGCACUCUCAAACCUCACCCUAUACAACAUCUACUCUCAACAUAAAUACAGGGUAGAGCUACUGCAAAAUGGGUGGAUAGCUAAUGCAACUAGGGCGCUAAGCCCUUACCAUGAGCCUAGCGCUCGCCGGGGACACCCGAGCUCGAACCUGAAAAGAGUGGGGUGAGAAUUUUCUUCCAUAGUUCCCAGUGGGUUCGGCCGCCAACUCCGCCGGUCUUCCCACUAGGUCCAAGUGGGCACAGGUAGAUAAACAGAUAGAUAGAUAUGGAAAGCUGUAAUAACAGAAUAGCAAAGCUACGCUACCGUGCCCGAAUCAUAUAUAUAAAGAUGCAUGCACAAUGAAAUGGAUAAUCAACUAGCUCUUCAUAUGUCCAAGAAGUAAGGUUGUUUACUUGUUUAUUAAUCUCGUGGCUCAUUCAAGGAUCCGCCUACUACUCACAUAGCCGUCUCGAUACUACGAAUCCGAGACUGUCUGCAGGACCCCACAUAGGCCAUCCCUCGGGACCCCAAAUAGGCCAUCCCUAUCCCACGGGACCCCAAAUAGGCCAUCCCUCAUGACUGACUCCGGAGCGCACAACUUGUGUGGAGCGACCACCACAAGUCGGGAACAGACAAUGAGUAGGAUCCAAUUCUCUCACCUCAAGGGUAUCCUGUUGUAACGCACUGGACCUUGCAAAUUGCAGGGUUCGAGUGAUUGAUUGUGUCCUGAGCUUUUCCAGACCUUCUGGUGGGUCGUUGACAGUGUUUCGACCUAUGGUUCGAGUCCCGAGAAUUGAGGUUUUAAGCUUGGCACCAAAACCCGAAAAGUCGGAUUUUUGGUCAGCUCUCGGGUAGGCAUCAGCAGACCGCGUACCGGUACGGGGUUGCUUGCUGUACCGGUACGGGGUUGAUGGCUGUACCGGUACGAGCUCGCGUAUCGGUACACAGAGCACUUCUCAGCGAACCCGAGGCUCGGGUUUGGCAUUUUCGUGGGUUGUGUACCGGUACGCGGGCCCCUGUACCGGUACGCAGUGCAAUUUCUGAGCAGUUCGAACUGCAGGGGUGUUUUUGCGAUUGUGGCUACUCUAUAUAACACCCAUGCCCCUUGGACCUCUCCUUGAGCUUGGAACAGCAGACGAAGAGGUAGGGUUGCCCUCUCCACCAUUCCAUUUGGUUUUGAUCCUCUUUUAGCUUAAGUUUUGGUGGAUUAAACCUCUCUUUUGUUCCUUUUGCUUGAUUGGAGGCUUUCCACCAGGAGUUUAGCUUAAGUUUUGGUGGAUUAAACCUCUCUUUUGUUCCUUUUGCUUGAUUGGAGGCUUUCCACCAGGAGUUUAGCUUAAGUUUUGGUGGAUUAAACCUCUCUUUUGUUCCUUUUGCUUGAUUGGAGGCUUUCCACCAGCGAGCUCUGGACUAGCGAGUCUUGAUAGAGCGAAGGAACUUCAACCGUAGAGCACUUGGAGCUUGUUGCGGAGUUCUAGAGACCAAGAGGUAGUAGACAUGUGCUUUUUUGCCGACAUGUUUGAUUGGAUUUAUGCUAGAUAUGAAACCCUAGGAUUUGGCCAUAUUAGGGUAUUAAAUGGGGAUUUGUUGAUUUGAGACGGCUUUGAAACCUAUUUGAUGCCGUGUUUAGAACCUUUGUUAUAGGUUAGCAUUAAGAACAUCAAAAUCAAAAAUGAAGGCAUCUAACUCCAUUUGGAGAUCGUGAGAGCUUCCUUCGCAAACUCGGUGACUUUUCUUCAACCUAGCCCGAAAUAGGUUAUUGUUAUUGAAGCCAAUCAGUUGUUAGUUGUUUAGGAUAACACUUGUUCCUACAUUUAGGGUAUUUGGAGGCUAUGCUGGACACCUUGUUCGGGAAACGAAAUGAGUUCGAAAGAUUGGUGCGGUUUACUUCAAGUGGAAAUGGGCAAAUGGCCCCUAUGUUCCCAUAUAUUGUAGCGUAAGUAUUUUUAAGCAUUUCUAUGCUAAUUGGAAUUUAUGUGAAUUUUAGCAACACUUAAAAUGCCCAUGCGUUAUGUGUAAGUUAAAUGUUCACUCUAUAUAGCUGGUUUAUUAGGUUAAUUUCAAUGCUGUGAGAGGAAUGCCGGAUUUCGUUUCUAGUAUGCUAAAUUAGCUCUUAUUACGUGGUAUGUGGAACAUUGUACUAUGUUAUGAUUUGAUAAUAGUUCAUCAAGAGGCCUUGAAAUAGUAAAUAUGAAACUACAAACAUAGAGACAUAAUGUUAGGCAUUGUACAUCUGCCUAUAUCAUAUUCCAUGUUAGCAAGAUGCCAUGACAUAGAGAUAGCGCCUUUGGGACAUUCGCAGUACCAUUCCAAUGUUAUUAGACAUGAGACUUUAGUAUUGCUGACAGACAUCUGACUACUUGACAUGUGCUCAUAUCGCAACAUGCUUAUUCGAGGUCGCUCCCUACAGCCGGGCACUCCGAGAUAUCCAUCGCCGAUCAAUUCGCCCAUGCGGGGUGGCCGCCGAAGUGGAUUGCCGUGGCAGGCUCUAUUCCUAGGGUGGCCGAUUGAUGACUACCCACGAGACAUUAGGCUCGCACGCAGACAGCGUACGGUGCGGUCCAAAGCCAUUAACAGCUCUUCGUGGUCUCUUCAGAUUUGUCUUUGAGUAUUCACUAUGACAUGUGGACAGAUGAUGACUUAGUGUAUUGACUGGACAUCGACUAGAAAUGUAAAUAAUAACAUCUUUACUAAUUGCAUUGAGGACAUCGUAUUGGUUGCAUACCUAUGAGCAUUCAUGUAUACACAUCCAUGUACAUUAUGUAUAGUUGCUUAUUCUUAUGCCUAUCAUGCUAAGUAGAGACAUCUGGUUAUAGUAUGUUACACUUUUACUUACCUUUCGCUUUAUUGCUUUCAUAGUUACUGACCACUUCCCUUGUAGCUUUGGGCCUUGUGGUGCAUUCACUGAAGUCAGUAAUUGCCCAUUAGGAACUAUUUUUAAUAGUUCUCACGCCCUCUUUUUGUGGUUUCUUUCAGAGCCUUCUGCACCGGCGGAGGCACGGGAUCGCGGCAAGGGGAUCGCAUAGCUAGCUAGCGAGGAGCGGUUCUUUGCCUAGGUGGUUUACUCUUUCUUUUUAUAGUUGAGAGAGUGAGAGUUUUUGUAUCCAUGUAUAGAGACCACCUAUGUAUCUACCUUUAGCACUUGUAUUUGGGAUUUCCUUUGUAUUACUUUAUACUUUUAUUAGUGGAUCCCAGCUUUGUGUUCCUUUCUCUAUUGUAGAACUUAGUAUUAUAUCAUGCUCUGAUACUCUUAGAAGUCUUUUAUUACUGCUUUUAUUAUCGUUGCUAUUAGACGUCUUAUAUGUUUUAGAAAUAUGGCGGGUCUGGGCACACGCCGGGCGGGCUUCCGCUGGGUCCCGAGGCGUGACAGAUAAAUUUGGUAUCAGAGCCUAGGAUUGAGUCUUAGGGGACCUAGCAAACCUUAGGCCGGUUGGACUAUAGAAAAUAGGCUCGUGAGAGACGAGGUCUAUUUGAUUCGCGAAGCGAAAGUACCAUGAUUGGGUAUCUUGAUAACUCUAAAAAGUUAGAGUUGGAUCGAAGUGUCUGGCUUCUAACUUCGCGGAGGGUUACGUUUGCGGCCGACAACGUAACAUCGGGAGUUAGUAGUGUAUAACACUUCUUUACUUUCGCAUGAUUUGGGUAUUGCUUAUUGGGCGAGGAUGAGAUAGCGCGGGUUUUACUAACUUGCGCUUUCAUGUUUUGUAGUGACGAUGCCGAUUACACGCUCUCAAUCUGCCGGAGCGGACAAUACGGCGAACUUUGAGGAGGUCGAGACCUCCGCUACCUCCGGAUCCAGCGAGGUUCGUGAGUUGAGGGGCCAGCUUGCGGCCCUCACUGAUUUAGUCACUCAGCAGGCGGAGGCGGCCCGACAGCAGACUUAGGCGGCGCGCCGACAGGAGGCGCGGAUGAAGCACCUGGAGGACCUUUUACUGUAGCAGGCAGCAGCCUCUAGGGAGACUCAGGACCCUACACCGCCAGCACCAGUUGUGGACGUCGCACCGAGAGCGCCGUCCCCCGCGCCGAGUUCUUCGCGUGCGGCGCCUGUGGCCGCACCCCAGGAGGAGGUUUUGGUGGCACCACCUGUGCAGAGGCCCCCGGUUGGAGCUACAUUCCCUACCUUGGUUGAGGGGGCGGAGCGAGACAGACUGAUAGAGCGCCUCAAUAAGUUCAGGCGGUGCAGUCCUCGAGUCUUCGACGGCAAGAAGGUCGACCACUGGAUUGUGGAGAAGUGGUUGAUGCAUAUGGAGAAGCUCUUCCGCGACACCUUCAUGGAGGAGAGGGAUCGAGUUUGGCUCGCCACUCACCACUUGGACGACGAGGCCUACCGCUGGUGGUUGGAUCUCCAGGAGCACCCCAGCACUGACUUGGCGGCUAUCACUUGGACGAGGUUCAAGGAGCUUCUUUUGGCCCAUUACUUUCCGACUAGCGUCAUGCGAAAGAUGGAAACCUACGCAACUUGCGCCAAGGCGACCGGACUGUGGCCGAGUACGAGCGGGAGUUUUCUCGUCUUUUGCAUUACGUGCCUUUCGUCGUGCGGGACGACGAGCACAAGGCACGCAUUUUCAAACGAGGAUUGAGACCGUCCAUCUUUCGGUUCGUGCAAUCCUCUAACCUCCAAACCUACCAGGAGGUAGUGGAUCGCGCGCUCAUUGUGGAGAGCGGCGCGACAGAUGUCCAGGAGCAGCGAGAGGCUAGGGACAAGGGUAAGGCCAAGAGGCCUGCGGCAGAGGGUGCGAGCCAGACGCACUCUAGGAGGCCGCCGAAACAUCCGAGGAGUCAGCAGUGUGGACGCGGCUCAGCAGCCUAUCGAGGAGGAUCCGAUCGGCACCGGCCUUCCCCGUGUGUGAUCUGCGGUGGUCCCCAUUUCCGACCGCCGUGUCGACAGCGGGCGGGCAGGUGUUUCCAGUGUGGCCAGGAGGGCCACGUUCGUACUGAGUGCCCGAGAGGUUCUUCACCGGCACCGUCGACUGCAUCGGCACAGGCCCUACCAGCCGCCAGCCAGGGGACUCCAUUGGCGCAGUACCAGUCUGGGCGGCCACUCAUCCAGCGCCAGAGCGAGGGAUCCCGACAGGCCCUGAGUGGGCGCAUGUAUGCCGCUCAGACCGAGGAGGCGGCAGCAGCCAAGGAUGUGGUUGCAGGUAUCAUUUUACUUGAUGGCAUUAGAGUACGUGCUUUAUUUGAUACCGGUGCAUCGUAUUCAUUUAUAGAUCGGCUGUUUGCCGAGUUGCAUGGCAUCCCAUUGGUUUCUUUGUUGCAUCCGGGACACGUUGUUGUACCCAAUCACAUUUUGGAUAUUAGAGAGUACAGCCCCAGUUGCCCUGUUCGGAUAGGAGAUUGGAUCAUGCCGGUAGAUUUGCUAGCUUUGCGCAAGCUUGGGGAUUUUGAUGUAGUCUUGGGAAUGGAUUGGUUAACCAAAUAUUAUGCCACGAUUGAUUGCAAGAAUCGCACGGUUACUUUUAGAGAACCGGGGCAGACCGAGGUGAUAUUUAGUGGAUGCUGGAGUUCGCUGUUUGCGAUGACGAUCAGCUCGUCUCGAGCUAGGCAGGUGAUCAGCAGAGGUUGUGUAGCCUAUUUGGCUAGUGUUGUGCUGAGGGGCGAGGAUGACACCCCUAGGAUCGAGGAUAUUCCGGUGGUGCGGGAGUUCCAGGAUGUGUUUCCAGCUGAGCUACCGGGCAUGCCUCCUGAUAGGGAGAUUGAGUUUGUGGUAGAUCUCGUCCCUGGGACUACCCCAAUCUCAAAGGCACCCUAUAGGAUGGCACCGGCAGAGCUGAGGGAGCUGAGGGCACAGCUGUAGGAUUUGUUGGACAAAGGCUUCAUACGGCCGAGCGUUUCACCUUGCGGAGCACCCGUUUUGUUCGUCAAGAGGAAGGACGGAUCACUUCGCCUUUGCGUGGACUAUCGUGAACUUAAUAAGGUCACGAUUAAGAACAAGUAUCCGUUGCCGAGGAUCGACGACUUGUUUGAUCAGCUUCAGGGAUCGUGUGUGUAUUUCAAGAUAGACUUGCUGUCACAGCCCGCGAGCCCCGCCUAUUUGGUCGAGGUCGCGGCGCCGACAGCGCCGAACGGACCGGGGAUUCCCCUGUACCGCGGACAGAGUCUCCCCUGUACGUUCAAGGCAUCGCAAUCAAUACAAUUACAACAGGUUCCAAACAGGAACAGUAUUCAACAUACAACGAUUGCAUAAGGAAGGUAUCAAACAACAUAAACACAUCCUAAGUUAUUACAAGCAUUCACAUUCAUACUUUUUACAUCCCAAUUACUAUUCCUUUACAUCCCAAUGCAAUCUAAGUUAUUACAUCAUUUACUCAUUACAAUUUGAUACAUUGUGUUCUUUCUAUUUUCUAUACCCCUAAGCUAUGUCGACGGGGUACUACUAGCUCUGGUCUCUGUGGUAGGGUGCUAACUACGGAGCUACGCCCUCGCCUCGCGCCAUCGCGCCGCACUCGUGCAAACCUGUAACACCCCAAAAGCAACGUGGGGUGAGAACUAACUCCAUAGUUCCCAGUGGGUACGGCCACCCAAGGAAAAAGCUCGACCGACAUGUCCGAAGGAGGCAAGCUACAGGUUAGUUCAAUAAACAGAUAGAUAUGAUAAUAAGAUCAUGCAACUAACAAUGCCAUGCAUUGCCUCGCGAUAUGCAAUCUGAAGAUCAUGCAAUAAUGCAACUAUACAACCAACUAGUAAUUCAAUCGAUUACUACUUUCAUCCAAUUGACAUUUAAGGUUUUCUGUCAUGUACCAUUUUAAUCAUAAGGUUUCAUCUACCUUUACAAAGCUAGCCGCCCGACUCGGUCUUGAGUCAAUCAUCUGCGGAGUACCGCACAAAGCCAGGCACGAGGCGAAGGACAUCUCACUUGCACCUCGGCCUUAAAUCCCCUCAAGUAGGACAAUCACUAUAGGUCAUAAGCUUGUUACCCAAUCACUUGGCUAACCCGAAGGGGGUCGCCCUCAAUCUCACAUCUCAAAGUCUCAUAGGGGAGAAGUCUCACUGAACUGUCCCCCGAGACCGCCUGCGGACAGCACACAGACCGUCCAGACAGCACACUGACUGUUCCCCUAGUGACCAACCUCCGGAGUGCACAGCUUGUGGGGAGCGACCCCUCCAAGCGCAGACAGGCUAUGUGAGCACGAUCAACUCACGAACAGCAGCAACCUACCCUCUAAGGGUAAUCUCAUCAUGGAAUCAAGGUAUAAUUGUACCCAAUCUCAUAGUGUCUCAACUACACUAAUGUUCUCAUAUCAAGGUCAUCAACAAUCAUAUGCCAUUCAUCAUAGUUUUCUAACUAGAUGCCACUCGUCAUUUAGACUCAUCAUCAACACUAGUUACAUCAUACUAGUUCUUUAGCAACAUAAGCAUCAACCAUCACAUAUAGGGUCUAGGUUCUUAUCCACAUUUAUCAUCCCAUUGUAGGAAACCAAACAUAUCAUUAUAUUAAUACUACAUUGUAUUCCUAAUGUCAAGUUUUCUAAUCAUCCAAGAGUUUUAGACCCAAGUCAACAUGCAUAUGCUAAUUAGCAUAUGUUACUCAACAUAGUCCACAAAUACAUUAACAUGCUUAUGUUCCAACUUGCAUAAUAUAACCUAUGCAUUCAUACAACAUCAUUUUCAUGCAUCUCUCUAACAUUUAGUUCAUGCAUCUCUCUAACAUUUAGUUCAUGCUUUCAUCUAACAUUCAACAUAUUAAUUGCCAUUGUCCACUAGCAUGCAUUAUAUUCAUAUGCAAUUAUCAUGUAAUAUACAUUUCUCACAUUAUAUGCAUUUACCCAAUCUUCACAUCAUAUGCAUCAUAUAGCAUUUAACCCAUUAUAUGCAUCAACUAGGAAAUCAUAUUUUUUUCUUCGACAUGAGGGCGACCUAGUCGCUUCGGUAAGCACAACCCCCCUGUUAGCGCAUUCCGAUUGCUUGUCGACACUUGCAAUCGGCCUCCCGCGGCAUCCGGUGCCCGGUUUGGCGUGAUCUCUCGCGCGAUCACCCGAACAGCCUCCAAUUCACAAUCCGAAAAUUAAAGGUCUUCGGUUAUGUGCCACGAUGCUUCAAAUCCGUUUUCAUGAGUAUACGACGUCGCCUCGGCCCUCCAGGCGAAAAUGAAGCCUAAACGUCCGUUUCUUUAAUAACUUUGUAACGGCUCGUCGGAUUGCCGAACCGUCUUCGCCAACGCGUUUCGUUACCUAGCAAUUAGGUUUACGGAGGGUCAAAUUAGAUCAAACCCUCAUAUUUUAAAAAUUAGCAUUUUGAACCCUAGGUUUACAACUAGAUAAAAAUCCACCAAAUUUCUUCGUGAAUCAAGCAUCAUUCAUCUAGUUAGCGUGCUAGGAUUCCUCUAAAUCCAUUUGUAAGGUAUUUAGACCAACCAUUAAGGAUCUACCAUUAAAGGGGUUUGAAGCUUACCUCUCAAGCAAGCUCCAAUGGAGAGGAAGAACAUGAAGGAGAUGAAGAUCCAUUUCCAAGCUUGCUUCUCCACCAAUUUCAUCAAUUUUGGGAGAGAAUUAGAGAGAGAAAAGGGAGGUUUUGUCUCUCCCAUUCCAUGUAUGCGUGUGUGUGCGUGAUGCGUGUGUGUGUGUGUUGCAUUCGGCUGAGGAGGAAGGAGGAGAAAAGGGAUUUAAUCCCAUUUUGCAAGUUAGCCCCUCAACUAUUCAACCUUCCAAUUUAGUCNUUUUUCUUCGACAUGAGGGCGACCUAGUCGCUUCGGUAAGCACAACCCACCUGUUAGUGCAUUCCGAUUUCUUGUCGACACUUGCAAUCGGCCUCCCGCGGCAUCCGGUGCCCGGUUUGGCGUGAUCUCUCGCGCGAUCACCCGAACAGCCUCCAAUUCACAAUCCGAAAAUUAAAGGUCUUCGGUUAUGUGCCACGAUGCUUCAAAUCCGUUUUCAUGAGUAUACGACGUCGCCUCGGCCCUCCAGGCGAAAAUGAAGCCUAAACGUCCGUUUCUUUAAUAACUUUGUAACGGCUCGUCGGAUUGCCGAACCGUCUUCGCCAACGCGUUUCGUUACCUAGCAAUUAGGUUUACGGAGGGUCAAAUUAGAUCAAACCCUCAUAUUUUCAAAAUUAACAUUUUUGAGCCCUAACAUGAAAUAACCUCCAAAUAAUCCAAAUUAAAUGGAGCAAUAUGCUAAUAAUGAUCAUUAGAGACUACUAGAACUCUUAAAGCUAAGGAUUAAGCCAAAUCCCAAAAGCUUACCCCAAUGUGAACGCCGCAACGAAAACACGCCGCUCCAACGGGCGCACGAAAGCUCGAUCCGUCGCCUCCAACGCGUUCGCAAGCUCGAUCUCCACCAACCCUCCAAUUUUUAGAGAGAGAUAUAGAGAGAUGAGAGAGAUAUUUAGAGAGAGAAAGGAGGGUUUCUCUCCCCCUUCCAUGCGUGCGUGUGUGUGUCCAUGGUGGCGGUGGUCGGUUGAAGGAGAAGAAGCUGAUGCUUCUAAUUAAAGUCAACACCAACAUUAUUCACUCCAAGCAACUUAAAAUCUGAUAUCUUUCACCGGAGCUCCCUGAAUGUCCGUUUGAGCUCAAACUUGACAGUCAUGUUCGGUUUUACGUACUGAGUAAGAAUAUAUUUUAAGUUUUCAGUUUCGACCCCGUUUGGUUACCGAAAACUGUACCGAACUGUAAUCUUUAUCAGAUAACUGUCGGAUUUUAUUUCUCACUCUACGGGCGUCAGAAAAAUAUGAAACUUUAAAUCUAGCCUCAUUAAAAUAUUACUGACAUCCCCGCCAAUUUUCAUAAUUUUCUGAGACUGUGCAUUUUCUACUAAUUUAUCUGUCCCGUUUCUCACAGAAAAUUUUAAAUUUUUUAUUUUCGCUCCGAUUUCAGCACAAAUCAUUUCUGAUUUAUGUUUUACUCCUCUAAAUCCAAUAAAAAUAGUAUCUCACACUAUUUUUAUUUAUUUUUUAUUUUUAUAUUUAAAAUCCGGUAUGUUACAUUACACCGUAACUUCACCGGAACCAUUUAAAUGUACACCGUAACUUCAUAGCUUUAGAAGUCCGGUACCAUACACUUGCAGUCGGGAUAACACCAAUUGAAGAUCAAACCCGAUGAUGUUUCGAAGACGGCUUUUAGAACACGGUAUGGACACUAUGAGUUCAUUGUCAUGCCGUUUGGGCUUACUAAUGCCCCGGUAGCUUUUAUGGAUCUAAUGAACCGUGUUUUUAAGCCUUAUCUAGACAGGUUCGUCGUGGUAUUCAUCGACGACAUUUUGGUAUAUUCCCGAAGUGAUGCAGAUCACGAGGAGCAUUUGAGUUUUGUACUCCAAGUACUUCGGGAAAAGGAGCUUUUUGCCAAGCCGAAAAAGUAUGAAUUUUGGCUUCGAGAGGUAGCCUUCCUUGGACAUUUGAUAUCGGGAUCAGGUAUUGCGGUGGAUCCCAAGAAGAUUGAGGCUAUCCAGGAUUGGCCGAGACCGACGAGCGUCACGGAGAUUCGGAGUUUCCGUGGACUGGCCGGCUACUACCGGAGAUUUGUCGAGGGGUUUGUUAAGUUAUCUACUCCCCUCGCGAGGCUCACGCAUAAAGGAGUCAAGUUCAUUUGGAAUGAUGCAUGUGAGAGAAGCUUCCAAGAGUUGAAACAACGAUUGACUACCGCCCCGAUCCUGACCCUACCAGUAACUGGAGCAGGGUAUGUGGUAUAUAGUGAUGCUUCACUUAAUGGUUUGGGCUGUGUGUUGAUGCAGAAUGGUAAGGUGAUCGCGUAUGCUUCUCGCCAACUGAAGGAAUAUGAAAGGAACUACCCAACGCAUGAUUUGGAGCUGGCCGCCGUAGUGUUCGCAUUGAAGCUAUGGCGCCACUAUCUUUAUGGCGAGCGGUGUGAAGUAUACACGGAUCACAAGAGCUUAAAGUACCUGUUUACUCAGAAGGAGUUGAACUUGAGGCAGCGCAGAUGGUUGGAGCUACUCAAGAAUUAUGAUCUGACGAUCCUUUACCACCCGGGCAAGGCUAACGUGGUAGCGGAUGCGCUAAGUAGGAAAUCGAUGAAAAACUUAGCGAUGCAUGUUGUGACUCAACCGCAGUUGAUCGAGCAGAUGAAGCGGUUGGAGUUGGAGAUAGUGACUCCUGACACACCCUUGAGGUUGAUGACCUUGGUAGUGCAACCUACUCUUUUGGAUAAAAUCAAAGAGAAGCAAGUUUCCGAUUUGGAAUUGCGAAAGAUUCGAGGUAAAAUGGUUGAUGGUUGCACCGGCGAGUUCCUAGUGGACGACCGAGGGUUGAUGCAUUUUCGCGGACGGACUUGUGUAUCGGCGGAUUCAGGAAUUAAAGAGGAUAUUCUUCAAGAAGCGCACCGAACGCCGUAUGCUAUACAUCCGGGAGGCACCAAGAUGUACAAGGAUUUAAAGUUGCUAUAUUGGUGGCUCGGGAUGAAAAAGGACGUUGGUGAGUUUGUUGCUAGAUGUUUAACUUGCCAACAAGUAAAGGCUGAGCACCGAGUUUUCGCGGGAAAACUUCAGAGUUUACCUAUUCCCGUAUGGAAAUGGGAGAAGAUCACCAUGGACUUUGUGACAGGAUUGCCACGCUCACAGGCUGGGUAUGAUGCUAUUUGGGUGAUUGUGGAUAGGUUGACGAAAUCGGCGCACUUCAUACCUAUUCAUACGACUUGGACCGGAGAGAAGCUCGCACAAGUGUACCUUGAUGAGAUCGUGCGGCUUCAUGGAGUGCCUACAUCGAUUGUUUCAGAUCGAGACAACCGCUUUGUGUCUCACUUUUAGAGGAGUCUGCAAGACGCCUUAGGCACCCGAUUAGAUUUCAGUACAGCAUUCCACCCGCAGAGUGAUGGACAGUCGGAACGCACUAUACAGACCUUAGAGGAUAUGCUCCGGGCAUGUGUGAUAGAUUUCCAGGGAGGAUGGUCACAGCAUCUACCUAUGGCGGAGUUUGCUUAUAACAACAGUUAUCAAGCAAGCAUCAAGAUGGCACCUGUAAGAAAGUAAAUUCUCGAGAUCCGAGGAUUGUACUUCAUCCAGGAUCGACUAAUUGUCGAGAGAAUAUCCUUUGUGAGAGUUGAAAAUGUCCAAAACACAAAAAGUGCUUUGGAGUUGAGUCCGCGAGAGCAAAUGAGGCAAACUGCAUCAUUGGGCUGAUGUUGCUCUCGGGGACCAGUCUCUGGAGGUGAGAGACCGGUUCCCUUGGCUGGGUGUUGCGGGGUUGCAUGAUGCAACCGGUACCUGGUAGGGAGGGACCGGUUGCCGAACGUUGCCCCUGCGAGAAAUACCAAAAAUUGGCUAAGUCCUGAAAAUUUAGCUCUCGGGGACCGGUCUCUCAGGUGAGGACCGGUCUCCCGAGGACCGGUCUCCCGGGGAGAGACCGGUUCCCGAACGCAUACGCCCAAGGGAAGCUCUCGGGGGACCGGUCCCAAGUUGGGGAGACCGGUCCCUCCGCGCGAAAACUGCCCAGUAAGGGCAGUGCACAGGAGCGAAAGUUGAGGGGCUUUCAUGCAAAAUAGCUUUUAUUUGAGUGGGUUGAGCCCUCUCUCUCCCUCACACUCUCAUUUUCUCCCUCUCAUUCUCUCUCAUUGCUCUCUCUCUCUCUAGAAAGGAAAGGAGAAGGAGAAGAACAAGAAGGAGAGGAAGGAAAAAAAGGAGAAGGAAAGGAAGGAGAAGAAAAAGGAGAUCAAGGAGAAGGCUUUGGGCAACUUCAUCUCCCUCUCCUCUUCUCUUUGGUGUAGCACAAGAGGUAGGCUCUUGAACCCUAGCUUCUAAACCUUGGAGUUUUGGGUUUUGAUGCCUAGGAAUGGGUCAAAUGGACCCUAAGCAAGCUUCUAAAUAGAUCAAUCCUAAGAAAUUUAGGGAUUUAUUGGAUGGUUUGCUAUAGGGGCAAACCUAGGGCUCCAAAAUGGGGUUUUUUUUUGUGAAAGUAUGAGAUUGAUCUCAUUUGAAGCCUUGGAAACCCUGUUGUUAGGUCACAAAACGCGGGGGCGAAGUCGAUUUCACGAUUCGGCUAGUGGAUUGGGAGCUAUCGGCGAAAUACGGCCGAUUUAGCCUUGUUUUGGACCAAGAAGGCCGAGACCUCGUCGUAAGGUCCGCCGAGGAGCGUUUCUAAAGCCUCUACAUCGAUAAAAGGUGGGGGGUGCCAUCCCGAAGCUUUCGAACUCCUUUCUAUGUCUUAGAUUGCAUUUAAUCUCAUCUCUUCAGGUUGCAUUGUAGGAUUGCAUAGUAGCUCCAUUCCUUAUGCUUUCUAAAUAAUAACCUAGUCUACUUGGAACGCUUGGUAACUUAGAUAGGUGAGGAUUGGGUCGGAACGUAGAUCCUAUGAUGCGAAAGAAAAGAGAUGUACCCGAUGGGGGUGUUGAUGACAUAGAAAGUGGUGUCAAUGUCAAAGGACAAACGAGUGGCAUCCAAAUGUUAAAUGAUGACGAGUGGCAUUAAUGUAGUGUAAAUAACACUAGAGGUCGAUGGACCUAGGGAUAGGCGGAUCUUAGAAAAUUGCUUGUACAAUGAAUUAUAGGACAAGCUAUUGUGCAAUUACAUGAUAUCGGAACAAGUGAUUCCCGGCGAGAGGAUGUUGAUCAUAGUUAGAGCCUAUUCCUCACUUAGAUGCGGAUGUGAUUGCGGUUGUGGACCCAGGUAUGUGCUUCCUCCUUGGAGAGGCUUUGGAUUUGGUACUUGAUCCUAGAUGUAGGGCAAUCUCAUAAUUGAUGAGGAUAGAUCUAGCUCACAGUCUGGCGUUUGGGGAUGGUUAUAGCCAUCCAAUCCACAAUGGAGGCGGUUAAUUAUCUUCGCAGGUACUCCGGUAGUAGUGUCGUGCGACUAGGCGACUUUGGAGUCUGGACCACCAUGGAGGUCGCAGACGGUCCGGGCUUGGCUGCACUUGGGAGUCCUCUUCCCACUUGGAUGAAAGUGUGAAGUCAUGCGUGAACCUUACAAGGCUCGCCACAGAUUCGGUAAAUGGAAAGGUUAAGGUUUAUUAUAUCAUAUAAAACAUUGCUAUUCGACAUAGAUCGAAUUGUUAGCUAUGAUAGCCAAACUUCGAUUGUUUGUCAGCCCAGGGAACUGCCAAUUUGAAGCCGACCGAAGACGUCAACAGACGACGAACGGACAGAGAGUUUUCUUCCAUAUACGACCAGGUUCAUCACAUGUACAUUUUCAACAAUAGAGAAAAGCAUAGCGGAAAUACACAACAGGCUUAAAGAAGGUAUAGCAAUAGCCAUUAGUGAAUAGAAAAGGAAAGCUAAACAUUCCAAGUAACUAUGAUUUCAUUUUAGAUCAUUAACAUUGCACAUUCAUUGUUAAUUUUAUCGAAUUAAAUUCAUUACAUUCAUUUCAUCAUUUCUUUUUACAUCACAUUUUACCUCAAAAUAGUUUAAUUCUUCUUUACAUCAUAAUCAUCAAAUACAAAAGAUGGAUAUAUAAGGUACUUUACUACAAAAUGAACACAUUGGUGACUCUGACUAAGGGCAGAUAACUUACUCGGAUCGACUCGCCGGCUCGCUCAGGUCCCGGCUCUGUGUGGAAUAGUGAAGGCUAGGAAACUACAACAAAGUUCCAGUGGGUUCUGGACCCAAACAUCACGACUUUACCCCGUAGGACUAACUCAGGCAUAAUAGAAAGGAUAAGUAGGAAUUAUAGUUAACCAUAUCUAUAAAUGAUGUUAAUAUAUGCCCUGAACAAUAGCAGAAAUAUGCUCAGCUUAAAAUAAUGCCAGAGUUAUGCAAAUUCUUUUCGUUCUUUAUCUUUACGAUUUGUUCUUUGUUUAUUAUAUACUUUGUCUUAUGUUCUUUGUUCUUUGUUCUUGUUCUUUAAUUCAAGGCUAAUCAGGGUCGGGUGAUCGCCACAUUGACUUGCUUCACAUUAAGUCCAUCAUCGCAGGAACUCACCCGCUAGGACCGUCCUUACGGGUCUACUCCAACCCGGAUGCAUAACUCCGGAGCGCAUCGCCCGAGGGGGAGCGACCGCCCUCGAGCACGGAACUCAUAGCAAGCAUGAUCGAAAUCCUUAACUCAAAGGAUUGUAUGUUCAAUCUUGACUUUACACUAACUCUAGUGUUCAUUACAUCACUUUAUGUUGCCACUCUAGCAAUCAUUGCUCUUUGCAUUUCCCUUACUUUUGCUAACUCUAGCAAUCACAUUCUUUAUGUCACGCCCCGGGCCUGAUGCCAAUUGGGCCCGACCCGAGCACGUCAAACAGACGCCGAACGGACAGAGUUUCCCUAUCCGCCCAAGGCUCAUCACAUGUACAUUUUCAAUAAGAAGUGCGCUAGCGGAAACAUACACAAACGGCUUACACGAGGGUAAGCAAUAGCCAUUAGUGCAAGAAAAAGGAAACUAAACAUUCACAAGUAAUAUGAUUCAUUUUAGAUCAUAUACAUUGCAUUCAUCUAGUAAUUUAUCGAAUUCUUACAUUCAUUACAUCAUUUCAUUAUUUCUUUCUUACAUCACAUUUACCCCAAUAUAAGCUUUACAUUCAUUCUUUACAUCACUUUGGUUCUUCGGCUCACACUAACUCUAGUGUCACUUUACUUUACGUUUCCAAAUGCCACUCGAUCUAUGUCAUUGUGCCACUCUCUUCUUUUGCUUACUCUGGGUGCUCACAUUUUCUCUCAUGCAUACAUCUAGGGUUUUGACAUUAUUAGGUUCUCAACCAUCUCAUUAUGCAAGUUGUGCUCACAAUCAUNUUUUCUUCAAAACUUCUGCGAUCAACUCUUCAAGACUCCAACGAACUUUACGAAAUUCGCCAACCUAUAAAAUCCUUAACACACAACUUCCUGGAGCUGCUCGAAUCGAGCCUCCUGGCGCUGCAUCGCGCCGAACAUUGCAGCGACCUGCUCCCGUAGUUCCUGCAUUUUCUCCGAUCUUGGCUGCUCGGGCUCCGCAGAAGGCGGUACCGGAGCAGACCUACGCACAUACCGUCUCGGGGACAUUUGCUCCUGAAAAGCAACAACUCGAUUAGUUAUCUUAAUCUGNCAAGGAUCUAUCCAUUACUCACCUAGCCGUCUCGAUCACUACACAUCCGAGACCGUCUGCGGGACCCCAAAUAGGCCAUCCCUCGGGAUCCCAAGUAGGCUAUCCCUAUCCCACGGGACCCCAAAUAGGCCAUCCCUCGUGACUGACUCCGGAGCGCACUACUUGUGUGGAGCGACCACCACAAGUUGUGUCACGCCCCGGGCCCGAUGCCAAUUGGGCCCGACCCGAGCACGUCAAACAGACGCCGAACGGACAGAGUUUCCCUUAUCCGCCCAAGGCUCAUCACAUGUACAUUUUCAAUAAGAAGUGCACUAGCGGAAACAUACACAAACGGCUUACACGAGGGUAAGCAAUAGCCAUUANCUCCUAGGUCAUCCUAGACUCUCUCUUUACUUGCUCUUGGCUUUGAUACCACGUUAUCUGUCACGCCCCGAGACUGCUACCAAUUUGGUUCGGUCCGGGCCCGUCGAACAGACGCCGAACGGACAGGACCUCCCCUGUCCGCCCAAGGCUAACCAAAAGAUCAUAUAUAAGAAUUUACCCAAGAAUCAAUUCAUAGAUACACGAUCACGAGGAGCACCACCAGUGCUAACAAGACGAGAGCAAGAUACAAGUAUGGAAACAUAUACAAAUACAUAAAGAGAGAAGAUGCUAUCUAUUACAUUCAUUUGACUUAAUACAUUUAAUUACAUCUUUUACAUUCUUCCAAAAUAUAAAUACAAUCACUCAAACCUCACCCUAUACAACAUCUACUCUCAAACAUAAUACAGGGUAAAGCUAAUGCAAAAGGUAGGUAGCUAAUGCAACUAGAGCGCUAGGCCCUUACCGCGAUCCUCGAGCUCACCCGGGACACCCGAACUCGAACCUGUAAAAAGUGGGGUGAGAACUAUCUUCCAUAGUUCCCAGUGGGUUCGGCCGCCGACUCCGCCGGUCUCCUCACUAGGUCCAAGUGGGCGCAAGUANNNNNNNNNNNNNNNNNNNNNNNNNNNNNNNNNNNNNNNNNNNNNNNNNNNNNNNNNNNNNNNNNNNNNNNNNNNNNNNNNNNNNNNNNNNNNNNNNNNNNNNNNNNNNNNNNNNNNNNNNNNNNNNNNNNNNNNNNNNNNNNNNNNNNNNNNNNNNNNNNNNNNNNNNNNNNNNNNNNNNNNNNNNNNNNNNNNNNNNNNNNNNNNNNNNNNNNNNNNNNNNNNNNNNNNNNNNNNNNNNNNNNNNNNNNNNNNNNNNNNNNNNNNNNNNNNNNNNNNNNNNNNNNNNNNNNNNNNNNNNNNNNNNNNNNNNNNNNNNNNNNNNNNNNNNNNNNNNNNNNNNNNNNNNNNNNNNNNNNNNNNNNNNNNNNNNNNNNNNNNNNNNNNNNNNNNNNNNNNNNNNNNNNNNNNNNNNNNNNNNNNNNNNNNNNNNNNNNNNNNNNNNNNNNNNNNNNNNNNNNNNNNNNNNNNNNNNNNNNNNNNNNNNNNNNNNNNNNNNNNNNNNNNNNNNNNNNNNNNNNNNNNNNNNNNNNNNNNNNNNNNNNNNNNNNNNNNNNNNNNNNNNNNNNNNNNNNNNNNNNNNNNNNNNNNNNNNNNNNNNNNNNNNNNNNNNNNNNNNNNNNNNNNNNNNNNNNNNNNNNNNNNNNNNNNNNNNNNNNNNNNNNNNNNNNNNNNNNNNNNNNNNNNNNNNNNNNNNNNNNNNNNNNNNNNNNNNNNNNNNNNNNNNNNNNNNNNNNNNNNNNNNNNNNNNNNNNNNNNNNNNNNNNNNNNNNNNNNNNNNNNNNNNNNNNNNNNNNNNNNNNNNNNNNNNNNNNNNNNNNNNNNNNNNNNNNNNNNNNNNNNNNNNNNNNNNNNNNNNNNNNNNNNNNNNNNNNNNNNNNNNNNNNNNNNNNNNNNNNNNNNNNNNNNNNNNNNNNNNNNNNNNNNNNNNNNNNNNNNNNNNNNNNNNNNNNNNNNNNNNNNNNNNNNNNNNNNNNNNNNNNNNNNNNNNNNNNNNNNNNNNNNNNNNNNNNNNNNNNNNNNNNNNNNNNNNNNNNNNNNNNNNNNNNNNNNNNNNNNNNNNNNNNNNNNNNNNNNNNNNNNNNNNNNNNNNNNNNNNNNNNNNNNNNNNNNNNNNNNNNNNNNNNNNNNNNNNNNNNNNNNNNNNNNNNNNNNNNNNNNNNNNNNNNNNNNNNNNNNNNNNNNNNNNNNNNNNNNNNNNNNNNNNNNNNNNNNNNNNNNNNNNNNNNNNNNNNNNNNNNNNNNNNNNNNNNNNNNNNNNNNNNNNNNNNNNNNNNNNNNNNNNNNNNNNNNNNNNNNNNNNNNNNNNNNNNNNNNNNNNNNNNNNNNNNNNNNNNNNNNNNNNNNNNNNNNNNNNNNNNNNNNNNNNNNNNNNNNNNNNNNNNNNNNNNNNNNNNNNNNNNNNNNNNNNNNNNNNNNNNNNNNNNNNNNNNNNNNNNNNNNNNNNNNNNNNNNNNNNNNNNNNNNNNNNNNNNNNNNNNNNNNNNNNNNNNNNNNNNNNNNNNNNNNNNNNNNNNNNNNNNNNNNNNNNNNNNNNNNNNNNNNNNNNNNNNNNNNNNNNNNNNNNNNNNNNNNNNNNNNNNNNNNNNNNNNNNNNNNNNNNNNNNNNNNNNNNNNNNNNNNNNNNNNNNNNNNNNNNNNNNNNNNNNNNNNNNNNNNNNNNNNNNNNNNNNNNNNNNNNNNNNNNNNNNNNNNNNNNNNNNNNNNNNNNNNNNNNNNNNNNNNNNNNNNNNNNNNNNNNNNNNNNNNNNNNNNNNNNNNNNNNNNNNNNNNNNNNNNNNNNNNNNNNNNNNNNNNNNNNNNNNNNNNNNNNNNNNNNNNNNNNNNNNNNNNNNNNNNNNNNNNNNNNNNNNNNNNNNNNNNNNNNNNNNNNNNNNNNNNNNNNNNNNNNNNNNNNNNNNNNNNNNNNNNNNNNNNNNNNNNNNNNNNNNNNNNNNNNNNNNNNNNNNNNNNNNNNNNNNNNNNNNNNNNNNNNNNNNNNNNNNNNNNNNNNNNNNGGUUCCCGAACGUCGUCCCAGCGCAGCCAGAGCUGCUGCGCGCAGUGCAACCGGUCUCUCUUUGUGGGACCGGUCUCUCGGGGACCGGUCUCUCAGGCAGGGACCGGUUCCCGAGAGCUACUUUCUCAGGACUUAGCCGAUUUUUCGGCUGUCUCAUUUCAUACGCGUUCGGGGACCGGUCUCUCCCUUCAGGGACCGGUCCCCGAGAGCUGAAAACCUACAGUUCUGCAGAAUUUGAUUCUUUAGCUCUCGAAAACCUCCCGUAACUCACUUUUGAUCAUUUUAACACCUUCGGACUUUCCGAAGUGUUCCGUCCUCGCACUUUGGUCAAUUUGACUAAAGUUCGAUAUUUAUUUUUCGAAUUUUCGGUAUAUUACAAGUUGGGAGCAGACAAUGAGUAUGAUCCCAAUUCUCCCACCUCAAGGGUACCCUACCCUCUAGGGUUGCUGUCACCAUGGUCAAUAGGUUCUAUGUGCGCUACGACUCACAAUGCCACUCGUUCUUUGUUAAUUAAUUACUAGGUGCCACUCAUUCUUUUAUUUCAACUAUUUUCAUCACUACACUAUAGGAUUACAAAACUCGACCCAAUUCUCAUCAAUCCCCUAUAUCCAGUUACUAAAGCAUAAUACGAUAUCAGAUGGGAAAUCAUAAGGAAAGGCGAUGCACAAUCAUCCUACAAUGCAUAUGAACUAAGGAUACAAAGUCUUAAAAUACUAAGACAUAAGAGGGAGCCCGAUUGCUUCGGGAUGGACACCACCCACCUCUUGGCGAUGCUGCGACGGUAGAAAACUCGACGCUGCGGUCAUUGCACGUCGCUUCCACUCCUCGGGGCGAAGCGAGCCCUCGAGUAUCCGAUUCGGCGAUAACUCCGCACUCGCUCGUCGGAUCGACAAACCGUCUUCGCCGACGCGUCUAAGGACCUAGCAAUUAGGUUUGGGACCCAUUAAAAUAGAUCAAAACCCUAGAUUUGCCAAAAUCCCAAAUCUGUGCCCUAGAAUGGCAACGAGGGAGAAAUCCGUGGUGCGAGCUUCGAUUUCGAGCUCGAACCAUCUCCCUUGCUUCAAUAGGUUCCAUUCGAACCAUUUCCAAGCCAUAAAAUCCUCAAACCCUAAAAACACCAUUAGAGGAUUUAGAGCUUACCUCUAUUUAAAGCUCCAAGCUUGCUCUAGCUUGAAGAAGAGAGGGAAGAAGACCUUCUUCUUUGUCACGCCCCAAGAACGAUACCAAUUUGGGUAGGCCCAAGCUCGUCAAACAGACGCUAAACGCACAGAGUUUCCCCUGUCCGCCCAAGGCUCAUCACAUGUACAUUUCAACAAAGAAAGCACAAGCGAAAACAUACAAAAACGGCUUACACGAGGGUAAGCAAUAGUCAUUAGUGAAAGAUAGGAAACUAACCUUUACACAAGUUCUAUGAUUCAUUUUGAUCAUAUACAUUGCAUUCAACUCGUACAUUUUUGAUUCUUUACCUUUCAUUACACCUUUGCAUCAUUUCUUUCUUACAUCACAUUUACCUCAAAAUAAGCUUUACACUCUUUCCUUUGCUUUAUACAUUAACAUCAUGAAUCAUCAAAUACAAAAGAUGAUAAAAGGGUAGCUACUAACAAAAUGUAACCCAACUUUGGUGGCCUCUGUCUAAGGCGCGAUCCCUUUACCUUGGUCGCUCGCCGGCUCGCUCGGUCCCGGCUCUGUGGAAUAGUGGGGUGAAAACUAUAACAAAGUUCCCAGUGGGUUCGGCUCCAACAUCACCGACUUUCCCACUAGGACUAACUCAGGCAUAAUAGAAAGGAUAAGCUGAAUGUAGUAACCAAUCUAUAAUACAAUGCUAAUAUGCCUGAACAAUAAGCAGGAAAAAAUGCUCAACAUUAUCAUAUGCAGAUUAUGCAAGUUCUUUAGUUCUUUGCACUUUACACUUUAUCUUUGUUCUUUGUUCUUUGCUCUUUGUUCUUUUAAUCUCAAGGCUAACCCGAGGGUUUCGCCCCAUUAACUUGCUUCACAUUAAGUCCAUCAUCGCAGGAACUCACCCGCUAGGACCGUCCUUCGGGUUUACUCCAACCCGUGAUACAUAACUCCGGAGCGCAUCGCCCGAGGGGGAGCGACCACCCUCGAGCACGGAACUCAUAGCAAGUAUGAUCGAAUCCUUAACUUCUAAGGAUUUUAAGUUCAAUCUUGACUUUACACUAACUCUAGUGUUCUUUACAUCACUUUUUGUUGCUACUCUAGCAAUCUUUGUUCUUUACCAUUCAUUACUCUUGCUAACUCUAGCAAUCUUUAUUCUUUACGCCCCACUUUGUUUUCACUUUAGUCAUUAGCAUUAUUCAUUACAUCACAUUGAUUCUUUGCCUCACACUAUCUCUAGUGUCACUUUACUUUACAUUUUCAAAUGCCACUCGAUCUAUGUCAUUGUGCCACUCGGUUCUUUUGGCUCACUUUGGUACUCACAUUUUCUCUCAUGCAUACAUAUAGGGUUUUAACAUUCAUAAGGUUCUCAACCAUCACAUUUAGCAAGUUGUACUCACAAUCAUGCAACAUCACAUUUUCAUCAUCACUUUACCCUAAAAUGCAUGCAACAAUGUAUAUACAUAUGCUCAAUUGAAUGACACAUUAGGCAUAGAGAGAAGUUCAACGAGUUUGGAAAGCACCACCCACCUCGUAGGUCUAUUUAGGUUCUCCGAUGAUUUUCUUGAGAUUUAUAGGCUCCUCGUUCUUCACCUGCGGCAAACGAAGCCAACUUAGGCCAUUUUGCCCAUAUCUUUCUAUAGACUUUUCGUAACGUUAAUCCGAGCGCACCAACCCGUCGGAAAUACCCCCAAUUAGAUUUUUAGAGGGUCAAUUGCACUUAAAAAUCCCCAUGAGCAAAAGCCCCAAUUUGGGUGCCCUAGCUCCAAAGCAUCAUCAAACCUAGGGCUUGAUCUCAUUGGGAAGCAAAAGUAGCUUCAUUAUACUCUAAAAAGUCCAUUAGAACCAUUCUUAGCUCACUCCAAACUCUAGUUUGGAUUUCACCAUGAGAAGUGGGUUGAAGCUCACCUUUGAGCUUUUCAAGGUUUUAAUCUCUAAAGAAGCAAAAAAAAGCUUCAAAACUCCUCAAACAUUCCAUUAAAACCCAUUUCUAGGUCAUUCGAAACUCAUUCUAGGGUUUUACUAUACUAGAGAUCAAAGCUGUCACGCCCCGGGACCGAUGCCAAUUUGGCCCGACCCGAGCACGUCAAACAGACGCCGAACGGACAGAGUUUCCCCUACCCGCCCAAGGCUCAUCACAUGUACAUUUUCAUCAAUAGAGAAAAGCACUAGCGGAAACAUACACAAACGGCUUACACGAGGGUAAGCAAUAGCCAUUAGUAAAAGAAAAAGGAAACUAAACAUUCACAAGUAAUAUGAUUCAUUUUAGAUCAUAUACAUUGCAUUCAUCUAGUAAUUUAUCGAAUUCUUACAUUCAUUACAUCAUUUCAUCAUUUCUUUCUUACAUCACAUUUACCCCAAUAUAAGCUUUACAUUCUUUCUUUACAUCACUAUUCAUCAAAUACAAAAGAUGAUCACAAGGUACUUUACUACAAAAUGAAACCCAACAUUGGUGGCCUCUGACUAAGGCGCGAUACCUUUACCUCGGUCGCUCGCCGGCUCGCUCGGUCCCGGCUCUGUGGAAAUAGUGGGGUGAGAACUACAACAAAGUUCCCAGUGGGUUCGGCCCCAACAUCACCGACUUUCCCACUAGGACUAACUCAGGCAUAAUAGAAAGGAUAAGUAGGAUGUAGUAACCAAUCUAUAACAUGAUGCUAAUAUGCCUGAACAAAUAGCAAGAAAUAUGCUCAACAUUAAUUAUAUGCAGAUUAUGCAAAUUCUUUCGUUCUUUAUCUUUACAUUUGUUCUUUGUUCUUUGUUCUUUGAUCUUUAAUCUCAAGGCUAACCCGGGGGUUUCGCCACAUUGACUUGCUUCACAUUAAGUCCAUCAUCGCAGGAACUCACCCGAUAGGACCGUCCUUACGGGUCUACUCCAACCCGGAUGCAUAACUUCGGAGCGCAUUGCCCGAGGGGGAGCGACUGCCCUCGAGCACGAAACUCAUAGCAAGUAUGAUCAUAUCCUUAACUCAAAGGAUUUAUAAGUUCAAUCUUGACUUUACACUAGCUCUAGUGUUCUUUACAUCACUUUAUGUUGCAAACUCAUGCAAUCACAUUCUUUACUUUUCUUUUACUUUUGCUAACUCUAGCAAUUAUAUUCUUUACAUUCUUUACUUUUGGCUACCUCUAGCACUUCGUGUUCUUUAUUCCCCACAUUACUUUAACUUUAAACAUUGUCAUUUUCAUCAUUCUUUACAUCACUCUAGUUUUUUACAUCACACUAACUCUAGUGUCUCUUUACUAUACAUUUUGAAAUGCCACUCGAUCUAUGUCAUGGUGUCACUCUGUUCUUUUGCUCACUUUGGAUGCUUACUUUUUCUCAUGCAUACACAUAAGGUUUUCGACAUUAUUAGGUUCUCAACCAUCUCAUUAUGCAAGUUGUGCUCACAAUCAUGCAAUCAUCACAUUUCAUCAUUACUUUACCCUAAAAUGCAUCAACAUAUCAUAGUCAUAGAACAUAUGCUCAAAGGAUGACACAUUAGGCAAGAGAGAAUUUCAAUGAAGUUUGCGAAGCACCACCCACCUUGUAGGUCUCUUUAGUGCUCCGAUGAUUUUCUUGGGAUUUUUUGUCCUUCGUUCUUUACCUGCGGCAAAUGAAGCCAACUUAGGCCAUUUUUGCCCAAUCAUUCAUUGGCUUUUCGUAACGUUAAUCCGAGCGCACCAACGGUCGGAAAUACCCACCCAAUUAGGUUUUUUAGAGGGUCAAUUGCACUUAGAAACCCUCAUGAGCAAAAAGCCCAAUUUGGUGCCUGUUCUCCAAUGUGUAUCAAAACCUAGGUUUGAUAUCUAUGGAAGCAAAAGUAGUUCACUAUACUCUAUAGUCAACUAGAACCAUUCUUAGGCUUUCCAAACCCUAGAUUAGAUUUCCACCAUUAGAGGUGGUCCAACGCUCACCUCUAUAGAAUCUAGGUUUGAUCUCUUUAGAAGCAAAAGAAAGCUUCAAAACUCUUCAAAUAUUUCACUAAAACUCAUUUCUAGAUCAUUCAAACCCAUUCUAGGGUUUUACUACAUUAGAGUUCAAAGCUUACCUUGUAAGGCUUCCUUUUCUUCAAGCUAGAGAUGAAGGAGAGGGAGUUUUUCUUCUUCUUCCUCUUCUCCACUUUCUUCCUCUUUCUUCCUUCUUUUCUUCCUUUCUUCUUCUUCUCUUUUGCUUUCUAGGAAGAGAGGGAGAGAAGAGAGUGUGAGAGGGUGAGGAAAUGAGAGAAAUAUCUCAUUUGGCCUCAUACAUAGAUAUUGGGUUGCCAAAAUGCAAAUAAACCCUUCAACUUUUACUCUGUGCACUGCCUGGCUGGGCUGAUCGCGCGGCAGAGACCGCGUCUCCCGAGCAGGACCGGUCUCGAACGUCCACCUGCGCAGCCAGAGCCGCUGCGCGCGAUGCGACCGGUCUCUCUCUGAUGGACCGGUCUCUGGGGGACCGGUCUCUCAGGCAGAGACCGGUUCCGAGAGCUAAUCUUCCAGACUUUAGCCGAUUUUUCGGCUGUCUCAUUUCAUACGCGCUCGGGGACCGGUCUCUCCCACCAGGGACCGGUCCCCGAGAGCUGAAAAUCUGGCAGUUUUUGUAGAAUUUGAUUCUUUAGCUCUCGAAAACCUUCCACAACUCAUUUGUUGAUCAUUUUAACACCUUCAGACUUUCCGAAGUGUACCAUCCUCGCACUUUGGUCAAUUUGACUAAAGUUCGACAUUUCUAUUUUUCGAAUUUUCGGUAUAUUACAAAAGCUUACCUCAAGCUUUCCCUAAGUUGAUCCAAGGAGGAAGAAGAAGAGGUAGGCUCACUACUUGAUCUUCUUCUUCACCUUCUUUUCCUUCUUUUCUUUCUUUUCUUUCUUUCCUCUUCUUCUUCUUUGUCUUCUAGGAGAGAGAGAGAGAGAGAGAAGAGAGUGUGAGAGGGUGGGGAAAUGAGAGGUGAAGGCUCUCAUCCCACAUAACAUAGCCCAUAUGUUGCAAAAAUGCAAAUAAGUCCCUAAGCUUUUAUUCCAUUACACUGCCCAGAUUGGGCAGAUUUCGCAGGCGGGGACCGGUCUCCCCGAGCAGGGACCGGUUCCCGAAGGUCCACCCUGCGCAGCCAGAGCUGCUGCGCGCGAUGCGACCGGUCUCUUCUUGAGGGGACCGGUCUCUCGGGGACCGGUCUCUCAGGCAGGGACCGGUUCCUGAGAGCUGGUUUCUCAGGACUUAGCCAUUUUUCCUCGUUUCUCAUUUUUCAUGCGUUCGGGGACCGGUCUCUCCUUCAGGGACCGGUCCCCGAGAGCUCAAAACUGCAGAGUGCAGAUUUUGAUUCCAUAGCUCUCGAAAACCUCCCGUAACUCACUUUUAAUUAUUUAAACACCUUCGGACUUUCCGAAGUGUACCAUCCUCGCACUUUGCUCAAUUUGACUAAAGUUCGAUAUUUAUUCACCGAUGUUUUUGGUAUAUUACAUUCUUCUUCUUCUUGGACUUCUCCUUCCACUUCUUCUUCUUUUCCUUCCUCUCCUUCUUUUCCUUCUUCUUCUCCUUCUUUUCUUUCCUAGAGAGAGAGAGAAAGAGUAUGAAAGGAAGAGAGAGCAAAUGAGAGGAAGAGAGGUCCCCCAGCCUCUAUUAAAGGUCAUUUUGCAAUUAGGCCCCUCAACUUUUCUUCUUCUGAACCAGCCCUCACUGGGCAUUUUCGCAGUGAGGGACCGGUCCCAGCUCGGGGAGGCCGGUCCCCGAAAGCUACAAUUCCGAGCAGAGGGGUUUUCGCGUUCGGGAACCGGUCUUUACCUGAGAGACCGGUCCUCGGGAGACCGGUCCUUGUCCGAGAGACCAGUUCCCGAGAGUUGUGUUUUCGGGACUUAGCCAAAUUCCGGCCAAUCGUGCUGGGCCAACGUUCGGGAACCGGUCCCUGCCUGCCAGGGACAGGUCUCAUCAGAGACCCGCGCAGCCCAGCCUGAUGGGACCGGUCCUUCCAUGCCAGGGACCGGUCCCCGAGAGCAUUUCUGCUCCAGUGCAGGUUUUGCACUGGUGCUCUCGCGGACCUUUCCUUAAUGCACUUUAUGCAUUAUAGCCACCUUCGGACUUUCCGAAGCUUACACACUCAACGAAUAGUCGAUUCCAAAUCGAAGUCUAAUCCUCCGAUUUCGAGGAUUCACUUCCUUACAGGAAGAGUCCGCGAGAGCACCAGUGUGAAAUCUGCACUGGAGCAUAAUUGCUCUUGGGGACCAGUCCCUGGGAGGGAGGGACCGGUCCCAUCAGGCUGGGCUGCGGGAAUCCUUAGGGCGAUCCGUCCCUGGUAAGGGAAGACCGGUCCCCGAACGUUAGCCCAGCGAGAACAGCCGAAAUUUGGCUAAGUCCCGAAAAUCCAACUCUCAAGAACCGGUCUCUCGGACAAGGACCAGUCUCUCGGGGAUCGGUCUCUUAGGCAGGGACCGGUUCCCGAACGCGAAAUCCCUUCUGCCCGAGAUGGAAGACUCUCGGGGACCGGUCUCCCCGAGCUGGGACCGGUCCCUUACUGCGAAAAUGCCCAGUGAGGGCUGAUUAAGAAGAUAAAAAGUUGAGGGGGCUAUCUACAAUGGCCUUUAAUAGAGGCUGGGGCACCACUCUUUCUCUCAUUUGCUCUCUCUCCCUCUCACACUCUUUCUCUCUCUCUCUAGAACGAAAGGAAAAGAAAAGGAGAAGGAGAAGAAGAGAAAGAAGGAAAAUAAGAAGAAGAGGGAGGAGAAGACAAAGAAGAAGAAGAAGAUCAUCUUCUUCCCUCUCUCCUUCAAGCUAGAGCAAGCUUGAAGCUUUGUGUAGAGGUAAGCCUCAAACCCAUCCAUGGUAGAUUUAUUGAGAUUGGGUUUUAUUGCUUAGAAAUGGUUCGAAUGGAACCUAGAGGAGAUAAAUAGAUGGUUCGGGCUCGCAAUUGAAGCUCGCACCACGGGUUUCCUCACCGUUGCUAACCUAGGGCACGGAAUCGGGAUUUUUGGGAAAUCUAGGGUUUUGAUCUAUUUCGAUGGGUUGUAAACCUAAUUGCUAGGUCGCGAAACGCGUCGGCGAUGACGGUUCGUCGAUACGACGAGCGGGUGCGAAGAUAUCGCCGAAUCAAGCGCUUAAGGGUUCGGAUCGACUCGAGAAGGCGAAGCGUCGACCAAGGACUACGAAAUCGAGUUUUCUACUAGUGCGGCAUCACCAAGAGGUGGGUGGUGACCAUCCCGAAGCAAUCGGCUCCUUUUUAUGUCUUAGUAUUUCGAGACCUUGCAUCCUGUGUUUACAUGCAUUAUAGGAUAAUUGUGCAUUGCCUUUCCUUAUGCUUUCCUAGCUGAUAUCAUAUUAUGCAUUAGUUGCUGGAUAUAGGGGAUUGAUGAGGAUUGGGUCGAGACUUGUAAUCCUAUAGUGCAGCGGUGAGAGAACGAUGCCAUAGUUAAAAUAAAGGAACGAGUGGCAUCUAGUUGUUAAUUAAAAUAAAAGAAUGAGUGGCAUAUGUGAGUUGUAGUAUAUAUGAAACCCAUUGCCUAUGGUGAUAGUAACCUUAGAGGAUAGGAUACCCCUUGAGGUGGGAGAAUUGGAUCCUACUCAUUGUCUGUUCCCGACUUGUGGUGGUCGCUCCACACAAGUUGUGCGCUCCGGAGUCAGUCACGAGGGAUGGCCUAUUUUGGGUCCCGUGGGAUAGGGAUGGCCUAUUUGGGGUCCCGAGGGAUGGCCUAUGUAGGGUCUUGCAGACGGUCUCGGAUUCGUAGUAUCGAGAUGGCUAUGUGAGUAGUAGGCGGAUCCUUGAAUGAGCCACGAGAUUAAUGAACAAGUAAACAACCUUACUUCUUGGACAUAUGAAGAGCUAGUUGAUUAUCCAUUUCAUUGUGCAUGUAUUUUUAUAUACAUGAUUUAGGCACGGUAGCAUAGCUUUGCUAUUCUGUUAUUACAGCUUCCCAUAUCUAUCUAUCUGUUUAUCUUCUUGUGCCCGCUUGGACCUAGUGGGGAGACCGGCGGAGUCGGCGGCCGAACCCACUGGGAACUAUGGAAGAUAAUUCUCACCCCACUCUUUUCAGGUUCGUGCUCGAGUGUUCCCGGCGAGCGCGAGGAUCGUGGUAAGGGCGUAGCGCCCUAGUUGCAUUAGCUAUCCACCCAUUUUGCAUUAGCUCUACCAUGUAUUAUGUUGAGAGUAGUUGUUGUAUAGGGUGAAGUUUGAGAGUGCUUGUACUCAUGUUUUGGAAAAAUGUAAAAGAUGGUAUUAAAUGUAUUAAGUUGAAUGAAUGUAAUAGAUAGAACCUUCUCUCUUUAUCUACUUGUAUGUCUCAUACUUGUAUCUUGCUCUUGUUUUGGUUGGCACUGGUGGUGCUCCUCGUGAUCGUGUAUUCAUGAAUUGAUUCCUGGAUAAUUCUUUUACAUGAUCAGUUGGUUAGCUUUGGGCGGACAGGGGAGGUUCUGUCCGUUCGGCGUCUGUUCGACGCGCCCGGAUCGGGCCAAAUUGGUAGCGGUCUCGGGGCGUGACAGAUAAAGUGGUAUCAGAGCGUAAGAGCAAGUAAAGAGAGAGUCUAGGAUGACCUAGGAGACUCUAGAUUGUUAAACCCUAAGAUUAUAGGGGCGUGAGUGAAUGUGAACCUAUGGCGGUGGCGGAAGUUGAUUGAUUGGUUCGAAGUUGAUAUUAUGUCUCUAGCUGUGAAUAGAGACGGAUCCAAGUGAUACUAGUUUCUUGGCUCGGAGUGGUUGUGUCGGCGGCCGACGACGCGACGCUAAGAGUCGAGAACUAGGACACUUGUGGGCUUCCACCCGAUUUCAUUGUCGAGUCGUUUAAUUUCAUGAGCUAAGAAGUUAUCGGGUAAGAUAACUAACUGAGUUAUUGCUUUUCAGGAGCAAAUGUCCCCAAGACGAUAUGUACGCAGGUCUGCUCCGGUACAGCCUCCUGUGGAGCCCGAGCAGCGAAGAUCGGAGGAAGUGCAGGAGCUGCGGGAGCAGGUCGCUGCGAUGUUGGGCGCGAUGCAGCGCCAAGAGGCUCGGUUAGAGUAGCCCCAGGGAUUCGUGGAGCGGCAAGCAGCGGCGGCGGCCGCGACGGAGACGGAGGGCCGCGCGCCGUUAGCAGCUGAGGUUGAGGGCAUAGCGACGGUUCCGGUGGCGGCAGUUCCCCCGCCAGCAAGUGAACCUCCGACAGCUUCGGGUUCGGUGACACCUGAUACAACGGCCGAGGAAGUGGAGCGGGAGCGUGCGCUGACGGCUCUAAUGAAAUUCCUGAAGUUUAAGCCACCAACCUUUGAAGGGGGAAAGGUGGAGCCGUCGGUGGUGGAGUCUUGGAUUGACUCUAUGGAGACCCUCUUCGAGGACCUAUAUACCUCGGAGAAGGACAAGGUGCACCUCGCCACACACUGUUUGAAAAAGACGGCGAAAGUGUGGUGGAAGCGGUUGAAGCGGGAUCGGCCCUCUGACCUUCCACCAAUGCUCUGGGAGGAGUUUAAGGGGGCAAUGUUUAGAAAUUACUUCCCCGACACCGAGAAGCGAAAGUUGAAGGAGAAGUUUUGCAAAUUGAGAUAGGGGGAUCGCUCAGUAGCAGACUACGAGCAGGAGUUCUCCCAUAUCAUAAACUGUGCCCCAGAUGUGGUUAAAGAUGAUGGGGACAGGGCCAAAUGGUUCUUGCGGGGACUUCGGCCGUGGAUAUAUCGGGCAGUGCAGUUGUUCAAGCUCACGACUUUUGCCAAAGUGUUUGAUAGGGCGCUGUGGGCAGAGCAUGGAGAUGCCCACGUGCGGGAGGAACGCGAGCUGCUGACUGGACCCCAAGACAAGGGGAGGAAGCGAUCGGGCGGCGGUUCGGGGGGACAAUCUAGUUCGAGGAGGCCCCCGAAGUAUCCGCGGUCGUAGUCGUGGGGCCGUGGGCCGCAGCAAUGCAUUAUCUGUGGAGACCGGGGUCAUCGAGCGCCGCAGUGUAGGCAACGUCAAGGUAAAUGCUACGACUGCGGACAGGAAGGGCACAUAAGCCGCAACUGUCCAAUAAGGGCCUCGUCUGCUCCGUCAACCGCGUCGACUCCAGCACCCCCGCCUCAUCAUGUAGGGGCCCCAUAUGUUCCUGUAUCAGCGGGACGCGCACUGAUGCCGCGUCAGCCGGAGGUGACUCGAUCAGCGCCGAGCGGACGGGUAUUCACCGCUCAGGCCCAAGCCGAGGAGUCUGCCCAAGCCGAGGAGCCUGAUGUUGUGGCAGGUAUGGUUCUAAUUAAUGGAGUUCGCUCAAGGGCUAUGUUCGAUACAGGCGCCACGCACUUGUUUAUUAGUAGAGCAUUUGCACGCAUGCAUGCAUACCCAUAGAAGCAAGUGGCAAGUGGCGAGUCGAGGGCCCUGAGUCGUCAUUCAAUACUUAUACGGAGUGCUCGUCGUGCCCAGUACAAGUAGGUGACUGGAUAAUGCCCAUCCGGAUGUUGGAGCUCAAUAAAUUGGAGGCAUAUGACGUCAUUUUGGGCAUGGACUGGCUCUCGAAGUAUUACGCCACGAUCGAUUGUAAGAAUAAAUCGAUCACUUUUCGGGAGCCAGGACAGAAGGAGUUCGUUUAUCGAGCCUAUCGGAGUUCUUGCUUCGUCGCGACGGUAUCGGCGACGAGAGCUAGGAAGUUGGUCACCGGCGGUUGCGUGGCAUUCUUGGCGACCGUCGUGGAAGUGGAUCGAGUGGUGCCGAAUUUAGAAGAGUUAUCGGUGGUGCGGGAAUUCACAGAUGUAUUUCCCACGGAGUUACCGGGGAUGCCGCCGGAUAGGGAGAUCGAGUUCGUUAUAGACUUGGUUCCUGGGACGGCGCCGAUCUCAAAGGCCCCAUACCGCAUGGCGCCGGCAGAGCUAAGGGAACUGAGGGAUCAGUUACAAGAUCUUCUCGACAAGGGGUUUAUCAGGCCGAGCAUAUCGUCGUGGGGAGCCCCGGUGUUGUUCGUGCGCAAGAAGGAUGGGUCGUUCCGACUCUGCGUGGACUACCGAGAGUUGAAUAGGGUCACGAUAAAGAAUAAGUACCCGUUGCCCCGAAUUGACGACUUAUUUGAUCAGUUGCAGGGGUCACGAGUGUACUCGAAAAUAAACCUACAGUCCGGCUGUAAGGGAAGUGAAUUCUCGAAAUCCGAGGAUUAGACUUCAUCUGGAAUCGACCAAUUGUCGAGGGUAUAAGCUUCGAAAAGUUCGAAGAUGAUUUGAAUGCAUAAAGUGCAUUAAGGAAGAGUCCGCGAGAGCAGCAGUGCAAAUCUGCACUGGAGCGGAAUUUGUUCUCGGGGACCGGUCCCUGGUGGGGAGGGACCGGUCCCAUCAGGCUAGGCUGGCGGGGACCCAUGAGGCAACAGGUCUCUGGCAGGUUAGGACCGGUCCCCGAACGUUAACCCAGCGAGACAAGCCGAAAUUUGGCUAAGUCUCGAAAAUCCAUCUCUCGGGAACCGGUCUCUCGGAUAAGGACCGGUCUCCCGGGGACCGGUCUCUCAGGCAGGAACCGGUUCCCCAACGCGAAAUCCCUUCUGCCCGAGAUGGAAGGCUCUCGGGGACCGGUCUCCCCGAGCUGGGACCGGUUCCUCACUGUGAAAAUGCCCAGUGAGAGGCUGCUUAAUAGAUGAAAAGUUGAGGGGCUUAUUUGCGAAUUGGCCUAUAUGAGAGGUGGGGGACCCCUCUCUCUCUCUCUGUUGUCUCAUUUGCCCUCUCUUUCUCUCCCUCUCUCUCUCUAGAAUGAAGGAAAAGAAGAAGAGAAGAAGGAGAAGAAAGGAAAGAAGAGGUAGAGAAAGAAGAAGGAGAAGAGCAAGGAGAAGAAGAAGAUCAUCUUCCUCUCUCUCCCUCAAGCUAGAGCAAGUUUGGAGCCUGGUAAAGAGGUAAGCUCCAAACCCAUCCAUGCUGGAUUUCUUGAAGUUGGGUUUUGUAGCUUAGAAAUGGUUCGAAUGGAACCUAAUGAGGUUAAGGAGAUGGCUCGAGCUCGAAAUGGAAGCUCGCGCCACGGAUUUCCUCACCGUUGCCAAUUUAGGGCACGGAUUUGGGAUUGUUGGAAAGUUAGGGUUUUGAUCUUGUUUAAUAGGUUGUAAACCUAAUUGCUAAGUCUUCGAACGCGUAGGCGAAGACGGUUCAUCGAUCCGACGAGCGAGUGCGGAGAUAUCGCCGAAACUAAUACUGGAGGGUUCGCUUUGCCCCGAGAAGUUGAAGCGAUGCAAAAGGACCGCGACGUCGAGUUUGCUAACUACGCGGCACUACCAAAAGGUAGGGGAGUGCCAUCUCGAAGCAGUCGAGCUGCUUUCUAUGUCUGAGUUAUUAUGUUGAUCAAUUGCAUAUUGAACAUGAGGCAUAUAGGGAACUAAAUUGCUAAUAACUAUAUUUGCAUGCUAGUGUUGAUGUAGCUUAGUUGGUAUAGCACUAACCUAGUAUGCAUGAGUUGAAUAUGAGAUGGUUAACCCUAUAUGUGUUGGAUGUACAUGUAGCUAUGAAAACAUAGUACAGUGUGGACUAGAGUACUGAGAACUUGUCAAAAGAACGAGUGGCAUCUAGUUAACAAUGAACACAAACGAGUGGCAUCUAGUUGAUAUUGAAUAUGAGAACACUAGUGUAGCAAAACACUAUGAGCUUGGGUAUUGAGAUGCUUGAUUCUAUGAUGACACCAACCUUAGUUCGUAGGACCAGUUCGUAAGUUCAGAUUAUACUCACAUAGCCUGUCUGCGCUUGUCGGGGUCGCUCCCCACAGGCUGUGCACUCCGAAGUAUUUGUCACUCGAGGGGCAGUUGCCAUGCGCUGCCUGGAUAGUCAGUGUAUCUGUCCGCAGGCGGUCUCCGGGAAUUGUUCAGCGAGGCUUUUCCCUAUGAGACUCAUAAUGUAAGGUACCGGACUUCUAAAACUAUGAAGUUACGGUGUGCAUUUGGUUGGAAAGCCAUUUGAAUCGUCCCGGUGAAGUUCGAUGAAGUUCGGAAGCAUUCGGGCGUUUCAGUGCGCGUAGGCGCGGAAAUGAGACCCGAAAGGCUAUGUUUGUCACGCCCCGAGACCGCUCCCAAAUUUGGUCCGGUUCGGGCACACCGACAGACCGCCGAACGGACAGAGUUUUCCCUAUACGUCCUAGGCGUCGCAACAAGUACAAUACAAAGGUUCCAACCAGGAACAGUACUCAGCAAACAGAAUUGUAUCAGGAAGGUAUCAAUCAACAUAAACACAUCCUAUGGUAUUACAUCCAUUCAUUUUACAUCACAAUUCCAUUACAUUCAACUUCCAAUACAAUUAAGUUAUUACAACAUUUAUUGAUUACAAUUUGAUACAUUUGCUUGCUUUCAUUUUCUAUACCCCUAAGCUACGUCGACGGGGUACUGCUAGCUCUGGUCUCUGGGGGUAGGGCGCUAUCUAUGGAGCUACGCCCUUGCCUCGCGCCGCCGCGCCGCUCACGUGCGAACCUGUAAAACCCCAAAACAACGUGGGGUGAGAACCAACUCCAUGGUUCCCAGUGGGUACAGCCACCCAAGGGAGGAGCUCGACCAACAGGUCCAAGGGAGGCAAAUACAAGUUAGUCCAAUAAACAGAUAGAUAUGUAUAUCAUAAACAUGCAACUAACUUUACCUUGCUUUGCCUCACAACUGCAAUGAUGUCAUGCUAUAUGCAACAGGAAUAUAUGCAACAACUAGUAGAAUUAUUGAUUCUACAAUCAAUCUUGCUAAUCUUAGCUCGUGCCAUCCAACUCUAAGGCUUCCACUACCUUAGGUUUAUCACAUUUACCACUAGCCCUCAAGGUUCUAUCUACCUUAUUCCAACUAGCCACCCGACUCGGCCUCGAGUCAAUCAAUAGCGGAUAAUCCGCGCUCUGCCCGGCUCGAGGUGAAGGACCCUGUCGCAUGCACCUCAGCCUGCAAGCCAAGAACCACAUCGCCCAACGGUCCGCCCGAAGGUCCAUGCACCGUGGUAAGGGAUCCGCCAGUGGGAGAGGAAACAUAGCCGCGUACACCUAUAGCCGAGAUCCCCGAUAGGGAGAGGAACAUGCCGCGUACACCCUAGCGCUCUUUGUUUUUGCUUAGUCAUAAUCCUCAAAGUUCUUCCGGUGGGAGAGGAACAUCGCCGCAUACACCCGCGGUCCAAGAACUAUUGAGUUCACAAGUACUGGGAUUCCGGAAUCGACUUCACAAGUCAAGGGUCCAUAUCCAACCCUAUACUAUUGACCUAUUUAGGUCCAAUACACUUUCCACCCUAGGUCCAACUGACUCUAGGUCUAAUGCCUCGAUUUCACAACCUAGGUUUACCUUAACUCUAGGUUCAGUUCUCAACCUAUGUUCUUUAACACUAGGUUAGAUGCCACACACCUAGAUCCCGACUCUAGGUUCAUACUCAACCUAUGUUCUUUAACACUAGGUUAGAUGCCACUCGUUAUUUAUCCUAGGUUCAACAACGCUAGGUUCAAUGUCAUCUAGGUUCGACCUAUGUUUAUUAACACUAGGUUAAUGCCACUCGAUCUACUUGAUAUCCUAUUUGUCAUAUCGAGUCCAUAUGCACAUGCAUCUUAUCUAACAUGCUCACAUGAUGUUACAUGCACCUAGCAUACAUUCCAAUGCACACAUACAUUGUCACGCCCCGGGACCGGCGGAGGCCCUCCCGGUAGCGUGCCCAGACCCGCCAUAUGUCUACACAUAUAAGGCGUCUACAAGAAAAGCGGAAGUCUAUUUGGAUGAGAUUGUCGCAUUGCACGGGUACCUACUUCUAUCGUAUCAGAUCUGAUGACCCGUUUUGUAUCCACUUUUGGAGGAGCUGACAGGACGCUCUGGUACCCGUUUUGCGACUUUCGAUCACACACUUUCCACCCCCAGAGUGACGGGCAGUCGGAGCGUACUAUACAGACUCUCGAGGACAUGCUUCGAGCCUGCGUGAUCGACUUCCAGGGAGGAUGUCGCAGCAUCUACCGAUGGCAGAGUUUGCUUAUAACAAACAGUUAUCAAGCAAGCAUUCAAGAUGGCACCGUUCGAGAACUAAUGGACGAAAGUGUAGAUCGCCACUUCAUUGAGUGGAAGUUGGUGAGAAGAUUGGCUUUAGGCCCAGAUGCUCGAGGAAGCAGAGGACGAGGUUCGCAUUGCUCGGGAGCGAUUGCUGACAGCCAAGAGUAGGCAGAGGAGUUAUCUGAAUCGCGUCGACGAAGACUUGGAGUUUUAGAUUGGAAACCAUGUGUCUUGAAAGUCUCGCCGACCAAAGAAUUCGAAGAUUGGAAUCCGGGCAAGUUGAGCCCCCGAUAUAUUGGACCGACGAGUUUUGGAGGCGUGUGGCGCCCGGUAGCGUAUCGACUCCUUUACCGCCAACUAUCGGCGUGUACACAAUGUAUCCAUGUAUCGGUCCUUCGAAGUACAUCCACGAUCCGGCUUCACGUGUUGGAUAUACACCUUGGAGCUGCGGGAUGAUUUGAGCUUUGAAGACAACCUUGAGGAUGUUAGCUCGCGAGGUAAAAGAUUGGCGGAACGAGAAAUUCCUUACGUGGAGGGAGCUUUGGAAGCAAACCAACGGAGCGCCGAGGCCACUUGGGAGCUGGAGAGCGCACUAAGGGAGCGCUAUCUCUAUCUUUUCAGACGGAGGCUUGAGGUACUUGUCAUUUCGAGUGCGCGACGAAACUCCUUUUAGAGGGGUGAAGUAACGCACUGACCUUUGCAAUGCGAGGUUCGAGUGUUUUGAUGUAUUUCGAGCUUUAUCACACUUUGGUGGAGGGUUUGUAGAAUGUUUUCCGACCCAAAAAGUUCGAAAACUGGAAUUCUGCACAAGUCCUGAAGUUUUUUACUCUCGGGGACCGAUCCGCUGGAAGAAGACGCGGUCCCCAGUGAGCAGUGCUGCGGCAGCCCUGAGGCAACCGGUCCCUGGCGGCGAACCGGUCCCCGAGCGCGUCUUCGCAGUGAGAGACCGUCCGCGCAGGAGAGACCGGUUCCUGAACGUUGGUUUUCGGGUUCCGCGCGAGAGACGGUCCCUGCUGGGAGAGACGUCCCUCUGGCGAAAACUGCCCAAGACCGGGCUGAUCCAAUAUUGGAUUUUUGAGGGCCCACAGAUUUUGUUACAAGAGAAGGCUUAUAUGGCCAUUCUCCUUCUCCUCUUCCUCACUUCACCAUUUCUUUUGCUUCUAGAGAGAGAGAGAGUGGGAGAGAAAGAGAGAGAAGAAGAAGAAGAGCUUGUAGAGGAUUGGGAGCUUCAUCUUCACCUUUUCUUCUCCUUUUUGGUGAUUGAGCUUGCCUUUGAGCUUGGUGUGGACCAAAUUUCAACCCUAGGCAUUUUGAGCUUGGAUUAAAAGCUUCAAAGGGUUAGUACCAUGUUUCUUCCUAUAGAUUCUUGUUUUGGUGGUUUUUGGGGAGAUGAAACCCUAGAAAAUGAGAUUUAGGGUUUGAUUUUGGCAUUUUUGAUCUAGGGCUUUGACUAAAAUUGUUGGUUUAGAACCUUCCUAAGGCUUGGAUUGGAAGGGUUCUAGCUCUCUUUUGGAGCUUAGGAAGAUUUCUCCUCUUGAGGUGAAUUUUGGGCCCUUUUUGCUUCUACUUUAAUGUUUGAUCUCUUGGUUAGUCGUAAGCUCUCGUAUCUCUUCGUGAUUAUUUUUAGGGUAUUUGAGACUCGGGGACAACUUUGUUCGGCGAAACGAGCGCCUACGCACGGUUCGGUGGUUUGACCUAAGCCACACAAUGAGAAAUUCUCAUUUGUGCUUAAUUAAGUAUUGUUAAAUGAAAAAGCAUGCAUAUUCUUGUUAUAAUGUAUUUAUUGUGAAUUUAGAAUGUUAAAAGGCCUUAUGUUAUAUAUGAUGAAAUUGGACCUCUAUAUAUGUAGAGAGUAGCUUGUAGGCCUAUAGUUGCUCUACAUUCUAUAUGAACGUGGUUUCAUGCUCCUAUAGUGUAAAUAGAUUGAUUCAUGCAUUUAAACCUAAGUUUAUUUGGACAUGAAAGUUGACAAAAUUGCCAUAUAGAGCUAUCGAACUAGAAUGUAUGGGAAUUGGAGAGCUAUAUCAUCAAGCGGCAUUGAGCUCGGGACAAUGUGUGAACCUAGUGGUUAGAGCUAUUGAGGGAUUGGGUAUAUGUGAACAUUAAUUGACUAAGUGUCAUCAAGGGCCCUAGCGUAAUGAAUGUUGGAACUCUCAUCUUAUGACUUAAGACUAGAUCCUUCAGGAUGCUAGUUAUGAUACCAGUUAAGACAUAGGAUUGGAUAUUUAGACUUGGACUAUGCUGCUUGCCAUUUGUGUCUCAUUCACACAUGCUUGUAAGGGUCGCUCCCUACAAGCCGGCACUCCGGAGUUAGCCUAUGCGACCUAUGUUCGCUCAUGCGGUAUUGAGAAGCCUACGGGGUCUAGUGGACAGACACAUUCCAAGAGUAGGAAUGUCGGGCUACACAGGCACUUAGGCGCACAAGCUGGACUACCUUUGGUAGGUCCUUAAUUGGAAAUGAAAUCGAUACGGUGUUGAGAUGGUUAAUCACUACAGAUAGGUUUAGUAUCGAAUUACAUUUAUAUGCUUUUAGCAUAGUGUUGAGACAUGUUAAUAUCUUGAUAGUCGUCUUUUUGCAUUAAAGCAUGUUUGGAUGCAUGACAGAACUUGCAUACUGUAUUCAUAAAGAUAAUAACAUAUCUAUUUUGAUAUCGUAAUGUACAUCACCAUGACAUCGUUAUACUUGAGUUUAUGUAAGUUAGCAUUUAAUUAUGCCUUUAUAUUGCUAUCAUUAUUGUACUUACCCUUUUCUUUGGGCUAGUGGUGCAUUGGAGCUAGAGGUCAGUAAUUGCCCACGCGGGAACUAUAAAAUUAUAGUCUCACGCGCCUCUUUUUCCGGAUGUUUUUCAGAGCUUCCACUAGGGUGAGCCAGGACGCGCGGAAGGGAGUUGCUUCGAGCUAGCUCCUACGAGGACGACUGCUAGGUGGUCUACCUCCGUUGUACUUUAUUUUGGAGAGGUUGAGAGUUUUACCAGUGUACUAGAGACCAACUUUUUAUAUAGAGGCUGAUACUUGUAUAAUCUUAUGUUUACUUUAUAUGUAUUAGUUAUGUUCUAUUACUAAUUUAGUAUAGAUGUUAGAACUUUACUCGCUCUGAGUAUCAUUAGUUGCCUUUUUAAAUNNNNNNNNNNNNNNNNNNNNNNNNNNNNNNNNNNNNNNNNNNNNNNNNNNNNNNNNNNNNNNNNNNNNNNNNNNNNNNNNNNNNNNNNNNNNNNNNNNNNCAAAUCAAAUUGACAAAAUCAAAAGGGGAUUUCUUCGGAACCCCAAAUCAAAUUGCAAAUCAAAGAUGAGUAUUACACGAAGCUUAACUGCAAAUUAAAUGUUCAUAUGACGAACCAAAUUGCAAUUAAGUUCGAAUUCGAACCCAAAUUGCAAAAUCAAGUUCACUACAAACACAAAUACAAUCCAAACAUUCCCCAAAUAAACCAAACAACAUCACAAUCAACGGCAAAUCCAACCCAAAAUAAUCGCUAACCCACUUCCACCAUAAAACAAAACCAAAAACUCAAUAAACCACAACCAAACCCAAUGAAAUCCAAACCCAUUUUCACACAUAAAACAAAACCCAAGCUAAAUCAAAUCAAACCCAACCUGAACCAGUCCAAAUAAGAACCAAAACGCCGAAACCCUAAAAUCAAACCCUAAACCCAAACCAUCAAAUACACCUAAACCAAAACACCAGAAUAAAACCCAAACUGGACCAAAUAAAUUCCAAACCCCAAGCCAAGUCCACAAUAAACCGAUGAACAAACUUGGACCCAAUAAAUCAAACCAAACCAGUCCACAAUAAAAACAAACCAAACUUGCGACCAAAAGAUCCAAACACCAAACCAAGUCCACACAUAAAUCAGAACCAUAAACUCAAACCCAAAUAAACCCAAACCACAAGUCAACAUACAAAAGCCAAGAUUCAUGGACUCAAGUCCACCCUCUUCAUCACAUGAAGCCAAAACCAAGUUCAAUGGACCAAAUCCCAUGAACCAAAACCAAUACUCAUGGGACCAAAUCCAUGAGACAAAAACAAGUUCAUGAACAAAUACCAUGAACCAUACCAACCUCGAUGGACCAACUCCCAUGAGCCAAAUCAGUUCAAUGGACCAAAUCCCACGAACCAAAACAAACUCAUGGACAUAAUGCCAUGAGCAAAACAAACCUCAUGGAUCAGAUCCCAUGAGCCAAACCAAACUCAUGGACCAAAUCCAUGAGCCAAAACCAAGUUCAUGCGAACCAUAUCAUUGAACCAUAACCAAAACCAUCGAUGAACAAGAUCCAUGAGCCAAAACCAGUAUGUACAAAAUUCAAGAUGAACAAAACAAACCUCAUGGACCAAUUCCCAUGAGCCCAAAAUCAAACCUCAUGGACCAAAUCCCAUGAACAAAAACCAAACUCAUGGACCAAAUUCAUGAGCCAAACCAGUUCAUGGACCAAAUCCCAUGAACCAAGAACCCCAAACCUAUGGACAAAUCAAAUGAGCCGAAACAAUCCUCGAUGGACUAAAUCGCAUGAGCCAAAAACAAACCUCAUGGACAAAUUCCCAUGAACAAAGAACCAAAUUCAUGGGACAAUCCUCAAUGAGCCAAAAACCAAAACCUCAUGGACCAAGAGUCCCAUGAGCCCAAACCAAACCUUAUGACCAAAUUCAUGAACUCAUACACAAAAACCUCAUGGACCAAUCCAUGACCACAAUAACCUCAUGGACCGACGAACCCCACAAACCAUACACCAAACCUCAUGGACCAAAUCCCAUGAACCAUAAAUCCAACCUAAUACCCAUAUCCCAUAAACCAAUACCCAAAUUCCAUGAACCAAUACCCAGAUCUCAUACCCAUAUCUCACGAACCAAUUAAACUCUAAUACAUAGAGUUUAAUAUCGAUUAGGUCUUAACACAUAUACUUAGGGCCUAAUCAAACUCAAAUUCAACUGAAUCCUAAUACGUAUAUUAGGAUUCAAUAAACCUAGAUAUGAUUCAUUCAAUCCCAUCUAUAAAGGUCUCUUAAUCGAAGGUGCCCCAAUCUACAGAGGGUAAUUAACAGUAGAUGCUUGCAUUUAUUGGAAGCCAUGGACCCGCAAUACCUGAUACCCACAUAUACAUAUAAAUACUCAUCUGAAUCAUGAAUACUACCCCACCGCCCCGAAAAAUCCAUCGACCGUGCGAGGUGCGUCAUUCGUGGUGGCAGACACCACCGACCUCGUAUGGUUAUAAAGGUGCUACGGUUUAAUUCUCGUGAUUUUUGGACGCUUAUUUCUUCCGACUGUGCAAAACGAAGCCAAAAUAGGCUUUUUCUUCAAUAUCUUUGCGUGGACUCGUCGGAUUUUCGAACCGAGUCUCCCAACGCGUCGGAAAUACCUUCAAUUAGGUUUUCAUAAGGUCAAUUUACAUUUAAACCCAUUUAUGACAAAAGCCCUAAUUUAGUGCCCUAACAAUGCCCUAUAGUAACAUAUACCAUGUAGAUCUUAGGGCAAGGCAAAAACAAGCUUAAUGUCGUCUAGGAAUCCUUUUAAAACCAUUUCUAGGUCAUUUAAACUAUUCUUAGGGCAUUUAAAACAAACCCUAGAAUUCUACCGUGAGAGCUCAUGGACAAAUAUGGAUUUUCAUGAGUUCCAUGGUCUCUACAAGGUUUCCUCACAUGUAAGAAGAUCAAAUCCAAGUGUUCUAGGGUAUAAAACCAAACCCUAACAUCAAUCUUACAAGAAACCUUACAUUAGCCUAGAAGCUCACCAAGCUACACCUUGUAGGAGAGUGUCACGCCCCGGGACCGGCAGCGGCCCUCCCGGUAGCGUGCUCAGACCCGCCAUAUGUCAACACAUAUAAGGCAUCUACAAUGAAAGCGGAAGUAAAAGUAAGAGAUAGAACAAAUAAGAUAAGUAGCAACUAAUGAUAUCAGAGCGAGUAAAGUUCUAUCAUCUACACACAAGGAAAGAAGUAAGGCUAAACAAUAAAAGAAACCAUAAGUAAUACACUAUCAGUCUCAAAAGUUCAAAAAAUGGUGGUCUCUAGUACACUGGUGAAACCCUCAACCUCUCGCAAAAUAAAAAGAAAAUACGUCGAUAGUAGCUAAAUAGGCUACGCAGCCUCUACUAAUCAAUUGCCUAGCUCGAGAGGAGCUAAUCGUCAUCGCAAACAGCGAACUCUGGCAUCCUCGGUACACAACCUCCGCCUGCCCCAGCUCUCUAAACGUCACCGUUCGAUCCUUGCAAUCGAUAGUGGCGUAGUACCUAGUCAACCAGUCCAUGCCCAACACUACAUCAAACUCUCCGAGUUUAUGCAACGCUAACAAGUCCACGGGCAUAAUCCAAUCUCCAACCCGAACAGGGCAACUGAGGCAAAACUCUCAAAUAUCCAAAGAGUGAUCGGGUACAGUAACUCGUCCCGGAUGCAACAAGGAUACUAGUGGGAUGCCAUGCAACUCGGCAAACAGCCGGUCAAUGAAUGAAUGCGAUGCACCGGUAUCAAACAAAGCUCUAACUCGAAUACCAUAAAGUAAAAUGAUACCUGCGACCACAUUCUCGGCUGCCGCCGCCUCCUCAGUCUGGGCCGCGUACAUGCGCCCGCUCGGGGCCUGUCGUGACCCCUCCGCCUGUCGCAGAACUGGCGGCCGUCCUGCCUGGUGAUGCGCAGAAGAUGUCCCCUGGCUGGGACCUGGCGAUGCUGGUGCAGAUGCCGCAGAUGGCGCUGGCAAUGGACUCCUCGGGCAGUCCGACUGGAAGUGGCCCUCCUGGCCACACAAGAAGCACCUGCCCCGGCUGCGUGAACACUGCCGCGGGUAAUGAGGACCGCCACAGAUCACGCAGCGGGGAGCCUGACGACGAUCGGGUCCUCCUCGCUGAGUAGACUGGCCACGUCCUCGCGACUGGCUCCGGCUCCUGGGAUGCCUCGGCGGCCUCUGUGAGUGCGUCUGACUCGCACCCUCAGCCGCGGGCCUCUUCCCCUUCCCUUUCUCCAAGCUCUCGCGACGCUCCUGCAGAUCCGCCGCUCCCGCCUCCACGAUCAAAGCUCGAUCCACAACCUCCCGGUAGGUCUGGAGGUUGGAAGACUGCACCAACCGGAAGAUAGAAGGCCGCAAACAGCGCUCAAAGAUGCGGGCCUUGUCCUCGUCGUCCCUCACAACAAAUGGUAUACAGUGUAGUAUCCGGGAGAACUCCCUCUAGUACUCAGCCACUGACCGCUCGUCCUGGCGCAAGCUGCGCAAAUCCUGCUCCAUCUUCCUCUUGACGCUGGUAGGAAAGUGGUGCGCCAGUAGAAGCUCCUUGAAUCGUGUCCAAGUAAUCGCCGCCAAGUCGGUGUUGGGGUUGUCCUGGAUAUCCAACCACCAACGAUAGGCCUCGCCGUCCAGAAAGUGAGUGGCGAGCCAAACUCUGUCCCUCUCCUCGACGAAGGUAUCUCGAAACAACUUCUCCAUAUGCAUCAACCACUUCUCAACAAUCCAGUGGUCGACGUUCUCGCCAUCAAACGUCCUCGGGCUGCACCUCCUGAACUCGCUGAGGCGCUCCAUAAGCCGAUCCCGCUCAGCUCCCUUGGCCAUCACGGGGAAUGCGGCCACCGUCGUCGGUCUCUGAACUGGUAAUGCAGCAACCACCUCCUCCCGAGGUGCGGUCGCCGGUGCCGCACGUGAAGAGCUGGGCGCGGGGGACUGCGCCCUCGGCGCGACGUCCACUACGGGUGCUGGCAGUGUGGGAACCUGGGUCUCCCUCGAAGCUGCCGCCUGCUGAAGUAGGAGGUCCUCGAGAUGCUUCAUCCGCGCCUCCUGCCGCUGAGCCACCUCGGCCUGUCGCUGCGCCGCUGUCGUCUGCUGCGCCAACAGAUCAGUGAGAACCGCAAGCUGGGCCCUCAAGUCACAGACCUCGCUAGAUCCGGAAGUAGCGGAGGUCUCGACCUUCUCGGGGUGUGCCGCAUCAUCCUCCCCAGCAGACUGGGAGCGUGUAAUCGGCAUCGACACUACAGAACAUAAAAGCGCAAGUUAGUAACCCACGCUAUUGCAACCCCGCUCAAAUAAAUAAAAUCCAAAUCAUGCGAAAGUAGGGAAGUGUCCUUCACUACUAACUCCCGAUGUUACGUUGUCGGCCGCCAACGUAACCCUCCGCGAAGUUAGAAGGCAUACACUCCGGUCAAACUCUAACUGUUUAGAGUUAUCAUCAAACCCAAUCAAAAUACUUUUGCUCACAAAUCAAUAGACCUCGUCUCUCACGAGCCUAAUUCCUAUAGUCCAACCGGUAUAAGGUUUGCUAGGUCCUCUAAGACUCAACCCUAGGUUCUGAUACCAAAUUAAUCUGUCACGCCUCGGGACCGGCAGCUGCCCUCCUAGUAGCGUGCCCAGACCCGCCAUAUGUCAACACAUAUAAGGCGUCUACAAUGAAAGCGGAAGUAAAAGUAAGAGAUAGAACAAAUAGGAUAAGUAGCAACUAAUGAUAUCAGAGCGAGUAAAGUUCUAUCAUCUACACCCAAGGAAAGAAGUAAGGCUAAACAAUAAAAGAAACCAUAAGUAAUAAACUAUCAGUCUCAAAAGUACAAAAAUGGUGGUCUCUAGUACACUGGUGAAACCCUCAACCUCUCGCAAAAUAAAAAGAAAAUACGUCGAGAGGUAGACCACCUAAGCUCGUCUCUCUCUGAAGGGCUAACUCAAAGCGACGCCCUUCCCACGGUCCCUAGCCUCUCCCGGCGUGGAAGGCUCUGUAAGAAAACAUAAAACAGAGGGCGUGAGAACUAUAAUUUAUAGUUCCCAGUGGGCAAUUACUGACCUCAGCUCAAUGCACCACUAGGCCCCAAAGAAAAGGGUAAGUACUAUAAGCAAUAAUGAAAAUAAUAAUAAAAGAAACGGUUUGCAUUUAAGAAAGCAAAGUAAAAUGCUAAACUACUAUGUUGCACAUAAGCAAGAUGUCAAAUGGUUGUACAUCUACUAUAGUCAAAUGAGGUAUGUCCAAGCAUGAAUACUAUAUCCCAACAUAGCGAACAAGUAGGUAACAUGAUCUACUAUGAUAAUGUACGAAGGAUAUGCUCUAUCAUGGCAAUGAGUAUACUAUGAUGCAAUAAAUAGGACUAUCAAGUAUACUACCCGUCUCAACACUAUGAUAUAAGUACGUCAUAGUAAUCCAACUACUAAUCCUAUCUAGUAGUGAUUAUUCAUUCUCAACCCUGUGUCGAUUUCCAUUUCCAAUUUGAGGACUUACCAAAGGUAGUCCAGCUUGUGCCGCCUAAGUGCCUGUGGUAGCCCAACAUCCCUACUCUUGGAAUGUGUCUGUCCCACUCGACCCCGUAGGCUUCUCAAUACCGCACGAGCGAACAUAAGUCGCAUAGGCUAACUCCGGAGUGCCGGCUUGUAGGGAGCGACCCUCACAAGCAUGUGCGAAUGAGCACAAAUGGCAAGCAAGCAAAGUCCAAGUCUCAAGUACCCAAUCCUCAUGUCUCUAACAUGGUAUAGUUACUAGCAUCCCGAAGAUCUAGUUUAAGUCACAACAUGAAGUUUCAAUACUACUAGUCUUGUGCCCUUUUAUGACACAUAGACAUUUUAAUGCACAAGUAUAUCCAACUCUCUCAAUGGCACUAUCCACUAGGUUCACACAUGACCCGAGCUCGAUGCCCCUUCAUGACAUUAGCCCAAUUAUUCACAGAUAGCACAAGUCCCCGAGCCUCUUUAUGGCCUACUAAGAACCCUCAAGUUCAAUAUGGGAAUAACUUUAAAUGCAUGCAAAAGAUGCUCAUUUUCACAACGGGAUUUAUGAUUCCAAGUCUCAACGGGAUGCCAAACAUAUGCGAGUACCACAUGUUAGUUCUCUACUACAUGGAGGUCCAAACUUUCAUUACACAUAACAUAGACAUAUUAAGCAUCCUAAAAUUCACAAUAAAUAUAUCUAACAUGAUUAUGCAUGCUUUUCCAAUUAACGAUGCUUAUUUCAUCACAAAUGAGAAUUUCUCAUUAUAUGGCUAGGUCAAACCCACCGAACCGUCGCGUAGGGCCUCGUUUCACCGAACGAAAUUGUCCACGAGUCUCAAAAUACCCUAAAAGUAUUCAGCGAAGAGAUACAAGGGCAUUACGACCAACCAUUAGGUCAAACAUCAACAAACAAGGCAAAAGGGCUAAAACUCACCUCAAGAGAGGAAAUCUCUUCCAAAGCUCAAAAAGAGAGCUAGAACCCUUCCAAUCCAAGCCCAAGGAAGGUUCUAAACCAACUAAUUUAGCCCCAAAAGCCCUAGAUCAAAAAGCCCCAAAAAUCAACCAUAAUACCCACUCUAGGGUUCCAAAUGGUAAAACCUACCAAAUCAAGGAUCAAAGGGUAGAAUCCAAGUACUAACCUCCCAAGAUGCCUCCAAGCAAGCUCCAAAUCUUCUAGGGUUGAAGAUUGGUCCUCCACCAAGUUCUACAAGCAAGCUCUAAGCCUUGCAAGGGUGGAAAGGAGAGAAAGGGGUUGAGCUCCAAGCUCCCUCAAGCAAGCUCCUCUUCUUCUUCUCCUCCUUCUUCUCCUCCUUCUCUCUAUAGAAGGUGUAGGAAGGGGGUGAGAAUGAGAAAAUGGGAGAGGGAAGAGGAGGAAAUGGCUAAUAAGCCCAUCUAGUGUAACAAAAUCCGGAGAGGCCCCUCAAAAAUUUAAAUUUACAUCAGCCCGAACUGGGCAGUUUUCGCCCAGAGGGACCGGUCUCUCCCCAGCAGGGGCCGGUCUCUCUCUGCGAACCCGAAAAACCAUCGUUCGGGAACCGGUCUCUCCCUGCGCGGGACCGGUCUCUCACUGCGAAGGCGCGCUCGGGGACCGGUCUCGCCUGCCAGGGACCGGUUGCCUCAAGGCUGCCGCAACACUGCUCACUGGGGGACCGGUCUCUCCUUUCAGGGACCGGUCACCGAGAGUAAAAACUCUCAGGCCUUGUCCAAAAUUCCAGUUUUCGAACUUUUUAGGUCGGAAAACAUUCUACAACCCUCCACCAAGUGUGGAAAAGCUCGAAAUACAUCCAAGCACUCGAACCUCGCAAUUUGCAGAGGUCUAGUGUAUUACAGAGAGCCCUAGACCCUUCAAUGCUCCAAAUCCACCUUCAAAUUCUCUCCUUCCACGUGAGGAAGAGCUCCUAGAGAGAGAGAGAGGGAGAAAAAUAGGUUGAGAAGGUGUUCUCACUGCUAUGAAUGAGAGAGGAGUUGGGGCAUAUUUAUAAGCUGCUACAAUUGCAACCAAGCUCUCCAUUUCUUUUUAUUUGCAGCAGACUCAACCUGCUGUUCGCAGCACUGAGAACCAGUACGCGGGUGGGUGUCACCGGUUAAGACCCUAUUCAACAGCCCAACCCAAGAACUACUGUUCUCGAAUUGCUGCGGGGUACCGGUACGCCAUGGUGCUUCACCGGUUAAGCAGCUUGACAAAGGCCAAACCCGAGAGCUGCUGUUCUCCGGUUGCUGCAGAGUACCGGUACUGCCCUGGUACUUUACUGGUUAAGCAAUGCCUAGACUGCAGUUUUGGCGCGCCGAGUAAUGCUAAAACCCUUCUAACGCAUUCAGAACUCAACUCUAACCCUUCCAACAUUGUUGGAAUGCCAAAUGGACUUUGUCCAACUAUUCCUCUCACACACUUUGGUCAAUUUGACUAAAGUUCGAUAUAUUCUACCGAAGUUUCGGUAUAUUACAUUCUGCACCCCUUAAAAUUAGUUUCGUCCGCGAAACUAACACAUACCUUAGCUCGUCGACUCAAAUAGGUGAGGAUACAUCUUUCGCAUUGUCUCCUCAAGCUCCCAAGUGGCUUCACGCACUGCAUGAUUGCUCCACUGGACUUUAACGUAGGGGAUUGUGCGACUCCACAACUUCCUUUCUUCUUGAUCGAGAAUACACAUCGGAUAUUCCUCAUAGGUCAUAUCCUCGCGCAACUCCACCGGUUCAUACUCUAGCACAUGAGUCGAAUUGCGGAUAUACUUGCGGAGAUUUGACACAUGAAACACAUUGUGAACUCCUGCAAACCUCAGUGGUAAUGCAAGCUUGUACGCCACCGCACCGACCCACUCCAAUAUUUCGAACGGUCCAACAUACCGAGGACUUAAGCAUUCCACGGACUCCAAACCGCUUUACUCCUCCGGCUUGCGCCGUGCCCAAUGGCCCCGUGGUAGUCAACAUUCCCAUCCUAGGAACGAGCCUCCCCCACGGCAUCCCAUUUCGGUGCCCAAUCCCGCACGGGCGAGCUUAUAUCGCGAUGGCUAUCUCCGGAGUGUCGGCUUACGGGGAGCGACCCUCACAAGCAUGUGCGAAUGAGCACAAUGGCAAGCAAGCGUAAUCAUCCGUCUCAAGACCAAGUCAUCAUGUCUCAAACAUGGUAUAUAGGCUAAUAUCCCAAUGGCCUUACACUAUGUCAUUAAAUACAAGUUUACUCAUUUGCUAAGUUGAAUGCCACUUCAUAACAUUUAAAGUCCACUAUGUCAAGCAUAAGUUCUAUGUCCAAGAGCAUGAUAUUCUUGCCAUUUUCACUAACUGAAAAAUGAUUCCAAACCAUAUAAAAGAAUGCUAUACACUUGCAUGCAUACUAUAUGCAAAUCUCUCUACUACAUAGAUCAAAGAAAAUAUACAUGAACUUCUAUUUUUAGAACAAAGAAAAUAACAUAGGGGGGAUUUCACCUAUUUCGGUGAGGUCAAACCCACCAAGAGCUCCUUGGAAUCCUUCGUUAGCGCAAAAGAAGGUGUCCAGCCUCCUAGCUCCCUAAAGAAAAUUCUACAAGGGUUAGACGCAACGAACGAAUACCCCAAAGAUCAAACAUUAACCAACCCAAGAAAAUGGUAAAACUCACAUUGUAUGUUGAAAACCUCUCUCAAUCUCCAAAUGAGAGUUAGAACCCUUCUAAUCCAACCAAAAUGAAGGUUCUACACCUAUCAAAUAAGCCCUAAAAGCCACAAAUCAAAAAUCCCCAAUUAAAACCCUAGAUUCUCAUUUCUAGAUUUUCAUCUCGAAAACUCUACCAAAACAAGAUCUAAAGAGUAGAUCUAAGAUACUAACCUCUCAAUAAGCUCCAAUCCAAGCUUGGAAUGAGCUAUGGUUGAAGAUUGAUCCUCUAGAAAGCUCCUCUCCUCAAUCCAAAGCUUCUCCAAUAGUGGAAAUCCAACAUGAAGCAAAGAGGAGGAAAAAAAAAGAGAUCAAACCAAGCAAAAAUCAAGAAAAAUGGGAGAAAAACCAAGGGCGAGGAGUUCUACUUGGUUCUCAGCCAUCCAAGGGGCUGUGAGGGGUUAAAUAGAGAUGUAACAAUCUCAAAAAAACCUUCCAAUAACGUGCAGUCAGCACUGCACUGCGUACCGGUACGCGGGGAAGAGUACCGGUACCACGCAGCAGCUUGCGCAAACCCGAGCCUGGGGUUGGCGAGAAAAUGCAUUGGGUACUAGUACCCGCCCGAUGCAGCACCGGUACCAGAUCCAGUUCCGGUACCAGGUCAAUGCAGUACCGGUACUCAGCCUAGCAGAGGCAAACUCGAGAGCAGCCCAAUAUCCUGCACUUUAGAGGUUUGGGACUAAGUUUUAAACCUUGCUCCUCGGGAUGCGAGCCAUAGGUCGGAACACAGUCUACGACCUUCCAGAAUAUCUGGAAAAACUCAAAACGCAGAUCAAACACUUGAACCUUAUAAUUUGCUAAAGUUCAAUGUGUUACAGCUUCUACCGCACUUGGUUCAAUGUACAUGUCGACAACUCGGGGAAAUCUACUAUCCCUAUGUUCAUCAUGUCAUAAGUGUUUCUACUACACUAAAUUCACAUGCCACUCGUCUAGGUCAUCAUAUAAUUUUAGAUGCCACUCGUUAUGUCAUUACCUAUACAUCAAGUUCAUCACUUGUUUUCGGCACUAUAGGAUUCAAUGUCAAUCCAAUCCUUACACAUCCACUAUAUUAUGUGUUCAACUCAAAAUGCAAUAUCAACUAUGGAAGCAUAUAAGGAAUGGAAAUGUAACUAUUAACAUCCUACAAUGCAUAAACAACAUGAAAGAUGCAUGGUCAACGAUGUAACAUCGACAUAGAAUGAAGCUCGAUUGCUUUGGAUAGCACCCCCCACCUCUAAAUAAUGCCGAGGUGCGAGAAUACGAAGCUCGAAAUUUUUAGACGUUGUUUCGGCCGUAUCCGGCGGAAACGAAGCAAAAACGGUCAUUUUCUUCAAUACCGUGCCACAUGCCCGUAGGAACUCCCGUUUGAGUUGCCCACAACGUCGAUUUUACCUUCAAUUAGGUUUACAAAAGGUAAAUUUAACCAUAAACCUCAUAUCUAUGAAAACCCCAAUUUCAACACUAGGGUUCCCCUAGCAUGAACAACAUGGGUUUUGCAUGAGAUUCCAAGGUCUCUCUUAGGUUUUCUUUCAUGUAAGAAGAUCAAAACCAAGUGUUCUAGGGUAUAAAUCCAAACCCAAACCAAGAUCUUACAAGAAACCUCACCUUAGCCUAUGAACACCACAAGCUCCACCUUGUAGGAGGGCUCUUCACCUUCAAAAGUCUUAAAUCUCCUUCAAAUCCUCCUUCAAUCUCCUCCAAUCCACCUUGGGAGAGAGUUCCUAGAGAGAGAGAGAGAAAUGAGAGAGGAGGAGUGUUCCCAGCUUAUGAACAAGAGAGGGGGAGAUGGGGUCCUCUUAUAUGUUCACACAAUUGCAAAUAAGCCCUCCAUUUUAUUUUAUUUGCAGCAGAUCAACCCUACUGUUCGUGGCGCUAGGUACUGGUACGCGGGCUCGCUUCACCGGUACACCGCUCAGCAGAAGCCAAAAAUUUUGUAUUGAACACGGUGAAUGGUUCACCGUGUUCAACUUAAACACCUGGGCCCGCCCUGCCCACGUGGCGCUGACGUGGCGCUGGCGUGGCAGGGGUAGGGCCAUUUUUGCAAAUAAUUUUUGGACGGGGCUAUUUUUACAAAUAAAAUUUGUCAGGGGGCUAUUUGCAAAAAAAGCCCUAUAUGUAUGUAUGUAUAUGUAUGUAUAUAUGUAUGUAUGUAUAUGUAUGUAUAUAUGUAUGUAUGUAUAUGUAUGUAUAUGUAGACCUGGCAAUCUCGACCCAAACCCGCGGAUACCCGCGGGUUACCCACAAAAUUGCGGGUAUGGGUACCAACUUUUCCUACCCAAAAAAUUAUGGGUAAAAUAGGUGGGUACCCAUUAAGUUGUGGGCAUUCUGGGUAACCCGCGGGUACCUACGGGUACCCGCAUGUAUAUUUUUAAUUAAAAAAAAUAUAUUUUUUGUUUACCCAUCCUAAAAACCCUAAACCUAAUUUCCUUUCGUUUAUCUUUUUUUCGUUGUUGCCACCUCUCAUACUGUGUCGCCUUUGCAACUGCACUCCUCUACUAUUCUCUGGUGGCCCGACCUAUAUCGAACCACCAAGUGCUUAUUUACGAUCUUCGCCUGCACCUUCACCGGCUUUUUUGUGUUUAUCUGAAAAAUGUAUGAUUUUUUCGGCUUUUUCUUCCUUCUUGCUAAUUGUUGGUAAAUAACAUUGCAGUAGAUAAUAUAGCAUUCCGAAUACAUAGAAUAAGUUUAUGUUAUAUUACUUUCUUGUUGAAGAUAAAACUUGCUAGUGAUUUGAUUUCUAAUUUUAAUGCAUCGUCCUUCUCCAACUUUACAUCUGCUUAUUUUCAAUACAAAUGUUUAGGCAAGGGCCCUUUAAUUUUUCUUGUAGCUUUUAUCAAAUAUGAAAUAAAAAAUUAGCUAGCUUCAUAUUGCUCAUUACAUUAUUUGGUUGAAAGUUAAUAUGCUGAAAUUUGGAAAAUUUUCAAAAAUAGUGGAGUAACUUUUUUUUUCCCAUUAUGUAGUAUGGAUUCAGAACAUGUGCAGAUAGUGGACGAAAAUAAUAAUUGUGAGACACAACAGCCUGAUAUUAUUCAAACUACUGUUAAACAAGAAAGGGUUAGUGAUAGUGAUUCUGCAAGAAAGAAACCUCGCAAAUAUUCAGAUGUGUGGAACAGUUUUGACACAUAUGUUGAUGAUGAUGGGAAUAAUAGGGCAAGGUGUAUAUUGUGCAAGGCCUCUUAUGCGAUAGGUACUAAUACUCAUGGGACAACAAAUUUAAAACGCCAUAUCCAAAGUUGUCCAAAGAAAAUUAACCAAGAUGUAAACCAACUACAUUUUGGUUACGAGGCAAAGUUACGUGGAAAAAAAUUUAACCAAGAAACUUAUCGUGAGAAGAUGGCGAUUGCAAUUAUGAAACACAAUUAUGCUUUCUCAUUUGCUGAGCAUGAAGGAAUUAGGGAUGUGCAUUUUUACUUGAAUGAGGACGUCAAACCCUAUACUAGAAACACAGCAAAGACCGAUUGCCUGAAAAUACAUAAAAGGGAGAAAGAAAAUAUUAAGCAUAUUCUAGGGAAGGUUUCUAGUAGAAUAUGUCUUACUUCUGAUU
rnacentral:lncRNA from 1 species